rnacentral:lncRNA from 1 species
AAUUAGUCUAUAUAGAAUAUUGGCUACUUCAAAUGGAAACUUGUGAUCAAAAGUGUAAUUCCCUCUAUCAGUGAACUAUACUUGCCAGGAAAUUAACCCCAGGCGAGUACCACCACCUCCUACUAUUUCUUAGGUGUCUCAGAGUUUGAUGAGGACUUCCAUGACGUGUCUCUUCGACAGGCAGCGAAAUUGGGCAAUUGACUACAUUAACUCCAACAAAUUUAUGCAGUCACCUUCCUCCGGACUAUCCUCUUUCUUCGCGCUUUAGUUGCCCUUAUUUCCCCUUUAAUACAGUCAACAUUAUCUUGUUUGAUGCCAAGGAGACCAAGCCCAGAAACAAUGGCAUUCUUUGAUAUCAACCACCUGGGGACUUUUGAGCUGAGCCAUGACAUCCUGAGAUGGCCUGUUGUGUAAGCCUUCUUCAAAAGGUCAUCCGUUAAUCUUUCUCCUAAUUAGACAUUCAAAACCCUGCAUGGAAUCGAUUUGAGAAGUUGGACAAUAGACAAACUCCAACACAUAUAGACAGUAAAGAAGAAUUUAGACCGCAAUCACUGUGGCUCAACAAAUGGGCCUAUUAAAGCCUAUUAAAAGUUGGAACCAUAUUCACCACUCGCAUUUCCUUAAGAGAGCUAUACCAGAAUUCUGUAAAUUUAAAACUUUUCUUACAUAAUUAACUGUAAAACAAGAGAAAUUGUACUUCCGUAGCAAAGUCUCACUAUUGGUAAGUAUCUGGACUUGGAAAGGAUGCUAGUUGAUGAAGUAAAGGAAAAUUGAAAUCAGACUUUGAGGUGACAGAUCUAUACACUUCAAUAGGAACCACAUUGACAUCAUAUGAGACAAAUAAACAUUCCCCAGUCAAAGUUUAACAAACAAAACAUUAAAACAAGAGUAGGUUGGUCUAUCAAUGUAUAUAUAGACAUGUCGAUCAAUAGACAAAUACGUAAAAGAGGGAGGGAGAGACCUCAAAGCCGUGCUACUCCAAUAACUUCAAAAUUGUUCGUGACCACUCUAUCAAAUCCACGCAAUAGUUGCAUACACUCACCGAUGGGUUUGUCACAGAUAACCUGUUAGGCAUUAAAAAUUGCCCAAAUUAAACAAAUGUUAGACCAGCUUAGACAGUAAACGGAACAAUAUUCUAAUUUUACUUUAUUUAUAACGAAUAAGUGAACAAAGGAAUAAAAAGGAAUUUUGGCAAAGAAUCCUGCAGCUAAUCCCACCAUACACCGCUCUGCAGGCUUAUUUGGGAGUCAAAAUUCUCAAAAUGUACUAAGAAAUGACAUUUGUUCACUAAUCCCACCAACAAGGAGGAAGUGACGUGAAGAGAAUUUACUAAGAAAUGCCAGUGUAUUAAUAUUGAAGGAAAACAUUCACUGACGACCAAAAUCGCUGAUAUAUGCUUAAUUUCUCACUCACUAAGAACGUUCAAUUCAUUCAAAUGAAACUUCCACAGGAAGGUCUCAUUAUUAAGGCUUUAGCUUCACCUCACAUGCUCAACAAUUCAAAUUUGAGGAUGAUAUUUCUCCAAAUGGAGGGCUCUAUUUGGCUUGCCAACAAUCUUCCUCACAACUAUCAUCCUUGCUAUAUCGGUUGCACUGAGCAAUCUUCAUUCUGACAUUUGCCCUAUUAACCUGAGUACACAAGAAUCCGAAACAACUGUUAGAAAUUUUAAUCUUUAUAUACAGCCAAAAUGGUGAAUAAGAUGAUGUACUGAUAAUAAAUACCUGAGUUAAUAAAUAAUUAAGGGGCCGGUAACAAUCUCAGCAUCUUAUCAAGUGGGGAAAGCCUUCGCAACGAAGAUGCUGCUUGCUUUCAAGCAAUAAUAACUUUCCAAUUCCAUAAGAUAGCUUAAUGCCCUUUUAAGAAUAUCUCCACCAGCCUAACAAUUAUUCAUGGAAAUCCAAUUUGCAUUUGUCGCCUUCAAUUUUCUCAUCUUUGUCUAGAGUAUUGUUUUUGCAUUAACUUAGCUAGCUUGCAAACCACCUGCAGAUGGUUUUAAAUAAUGUGUGAGAGUGUGAAUUCAAACGAAUUAAUUAAAUAUGAUGACAGGAGAAACAAAAUUAAAAUAACCACAAGAAGUAGAAAUAUACUUUUGUUAUAUUCAGAGCAUCUCCUACUGUCUUCAUUUCCCUUAGCUCUGUUUCCUUUUGAGCUCGAACGCAAUGCCUCAAGGCUCAAGAUAAUUUGAUGACCAUCAAUCUUUUUGCAGCCACAUGUAGACUUGAAAAACUGUUGGCGGCCCUAAAGAACUUGAAAAUUAGAAAAGAUUCAGAAUGAGUGACUAAAUAUUAUAAUCAAAACUAAUUAAACAAACGCGCCUUGAAAAUCUGAAACUGAAUUAAUCAAAUGUAUAUGCCCCUUCACUGCAAUUGCACGUGGUGGAAAUUUUACUGCGAAGACUUUCUCAAACCUUGAAGAUCACACUCGGCCUGACAACAAAGAAACAAAGUCAAUAUACGAAGAUGAUUUUACUAACAAGUGAGAGCUUACAAAUAUUUGAAGGAUAACGAUCACUCAUAACCCAUAUCCCCAGUAUUCCCUAAUAUUUCACUCAAGUGGGUUCAAGCUCCCAAAAUUCACUACAGUGAAAUGUCAAAACAAAACUCUCUUCUCAAAUUUGAUGAUGAUAUCUCUCGAAGGGAGGCAAAAGAAUCUAACACUGAUCAAAUUGGCUUGUGAACAAUUAAUCUUCCUCGCCAUCAUUCAUACCAGGUGCGGUGAACAAUCUUCAUUCUGACAUUUGCCUUAAUAAGCUGCUUAGUAACCUUAACCUGAUAACUCACACAAACAAAAACAACUUGCCUAAAGUUUAAUAUUUCGAGCAGAACAGUAAAGAAGAUGAUAUCUAUUGAUGCUAAAAUUUGACCUGUGUUACCCUGAUGUCAAAAGUCAUAGCAUCUCAUGUGGGCAAAAUCUUCGCAACACGAGAUGCUUGCAAAAUUGGAGCAGCAUCUUAUCACCUGUAAUUUAAUUGAGACAAUAACUUUCCCCAACCAUUUCAAUGCAUUAUUGGCAACUAAAUUCAGAGGGUGCUAAUUAAAUACCCUUUUAACAAUAUCUUCUUAUUCUUCUUCAAUCUAACAAUUAUUUGGAAAAUCUAAAUGACAAUCAUGCAUCGAUGGCAUGAAAAUUUGGCUACAAAGUAGCCUGGAAAAGGCUGCUCUCUGAAUGAGAGCAUGAAUUCAAACAAAUAUGAUGAAUGAAUAAAUAAAGGCAUAAUACCACAAGAAGUAAAACUUUUCCCCAGAUUUCUGUUUCUGUUUGUGCUAAAACCAAUGGAAACCGAUGGAAAUGAAUUUCUACGAAUUAGACAUAUCAGCCAAAACAGGUACUCCGUACAAGCAAAGUAAAAGAGGGUUACAAAAAAUUUUAAUAUUGAUAUGAUAAUUAAAAUUAUAAUGAAAAUUUCAGUUACCAUAUAAUUAAUAGAUAACUCUGUACACAAUGAUUUAUUGCAUAUUAAGAUUGUAUACCUGAAUUUUAAUUGCUAUACAAAAUAUGGUAGUAUCAUUAGGAGACCGCACCAAAUGUACCGAAUUGAAUGUGCCUUUUCACAGCCAUUGUACAAGCUUUGAAGCUUUACCACAAAUGCUUUCUCAAACCCGUGAUCAUGAUGCACCCGAGAGAUGCAAGAUAUGAAAUUGUUACUACAGCAGGCAAUAACCACAGUGUUAAAACAAAUGUUUAUACAGGAUAAAUGAUUCCAAGAAUGAAACAAGAUAGCAAUGAUGAUCUCAGCACCUUAACAUCACGCAAUAAUAAUCAUCAUGUCUUUCAAGCAGCUAUCCAUCCUCAAUUGAAACAGAGCAGAUCCGGCCAUCACUUCCUUCUUCAAAGUCCAGCAACCAAACGUUGCACAAUAACCACAGUGAUAAUCCUUGGUUACCCCAAUGUUCUCCAUAGAGUCUCCAAAGUCAAUCUAAAAAUGAAAUGCAGGUGGAAAUCAAAAUUCUAUUAACUAAAUAAAAUAUAAAGUGCAAUGCUUGUGCUUGAGCUUGCUUUAACAUCAUCAUAAUAGCGAAUUUUGAUACACCUUUACUUCUCUGUGGUUCAAUCAUUUACUUCCCUGUUCUUGUUUAUUCACAACAAGAUAUCAAUAGAAGAUGAUGGAAAUGAAAUUCUAUAAAAUAAAGCAAGUGAAUUACCAGUAGACCAUUUUAGCAAUCCUUUGGCUAAACUUUUCAUUUUCUUAGCACACUGUCCUGCAGUACUGCCUGCAUCAUUAAAACCAAAUUAGAUUGGACCUGUGAAUUGCUAGUGUGGUUCUGACAUUUCCUCGAAUCCCUGGUGAACAUAAUUAAACUCGUAUGAAAUAAAACAAAGUGGGCUAAUGUACUACUAAAAACAAUUACACAAUUACUUUAAAGAAUUAAUGUCACAUAAAUUAUAUAUAAAAAAAUACGAUUAUCAUUAUACAAGAUAAAAUUGAUAAUUUAGUUUUCGACAUUACUGCAAAUGUAUGAAGGAGAUUUUGUCACUCAGGAAGUUACACAUAACAAAUUUCCGUACAUUAAAAAAUAAAUUACAUUGGGAUUUUCUAUGAUGUUGUAUGAAAUUUUACAAAAAAGCACAUAUUUUUUAAAAGUAAAUAAAUAUAGAAAUUUCAACAGACUAAACUUGUAUUUUUUUUUUAUUUAAUCUUUAGAAAACAAGUUUAACAUAUUUGAUAACUAGGAAGUUUUACAUAUUUAUACCAUGAUUGAUUCUAUAUAGAAUUAUUAAAUAAUAAAGUAAUGCCAUAAUCUAAUUGGUCUUGUUAUUGACAUGUACUCACGCAUUCUAUAUUUCUAACUUUGUACAUUUUAUUGAUAUGUACAAAUUGUCAAUGUUUGCAGUGUCGUUGUUUGAAGUAACAACAAAGUAAAAUAGAGGUGAGAAAUUACCGGUGGGUGAUAGUAAUUGCAACCAUUCGAGAAUUUACCACUCGGACUCGAUGUAGGGAAUGUGAGAUAUCUUAUGCCAGUCUUCUCCUUCCCCCUCUCUAUAACGGUUUUCCAGAAGAGGACAUCUGUGAAUAAUCAAUUCCUGCAGCGUCGUCGUCCGAAGAAGGUAAUCCGGCAGCACCUUUAAUUUGGGGCAAUACCCAAUUUCCAAGGAAGAAAGACGUGGUAUGUCUGUUGUCUUGCGAUCUUCUAGAAUGGGCAGUUCUUCUAGAAGAUCACAAAAAUAAAUACGCAGUUCCUGCAGUGCCGUCGAUUGAAGAAGGUAAUCCGGCAGCGCCUUCAAUUUGGGGCAACCUCUAAUCCACAAGGAAGAAAGACGGGGCAUGAUGGAGAUGUUUUCCUUCCUCGUAAUCCUGUAAUUCCACUCUUCCAACUCUUCCAUUCCCCCAAUGUCGAGUGAUUUUAAUUUGGGAAAGGCAGUAACUGAUGAUGACGAUGAAGAUGAAGAUGGGUCAUCCUCACUGCUUUCUUCUAUUCCCAAAAACUCAUUACCCACUCUUUUUACACUUUUCAAAAUGUAUAGUUGGAGUUUUUCCAGAGGUAAUUUUCCCAAAGGAGGCAAAUGCUCACAGUUAAAACAAAACCAAAGAUUUAAUUCCCUUAGAUAGGUUAGUGAAGUCAACCAUUUGGGAAAAAUGUCGCCUCCGUAGAAACAAAUCUGUAAUUCCUCUACAUUCAAAUGCGGUUGUAAAGCUUCAAGAAGUUGUUUAUCUUUCUCAUUCUUCCUCCUCCCUUCUUCGCCUUCCCCAUCUACGACUCCAUCAAACACAAGAUGCAAACGAAGGAGGUUUUCCAUAUUGUGAAGUCCUAUUCUCUCAGCCUCAUCUAAAUGUGAUACAUUACUCAGCCCUUCUAUUCCACAUUUACGAAGGAGUUGAAGAUUUUUCAGAGAUUCAAGCCUACACGUGCUGCCGCCAUCAACACCUCCACCCACAACAAACUUUUCUAAUGUUCGAAGACUGGUUAAUUUGGAAAUCCCUAUUGGCAUGUACUUCAAUGAAUAAGUUUGACCAUUCAGUAAACUCCUCAUGUUCAUUAACUUCCCAAUCCCCGCUGGCAAUUCUCUAAGAUUUGGGCACCGCCUAAUAUCUAGCUUUCGUAAAUUAUAUAAUUCACACAAAGUCUCAGGCAGUCUCUCUAUACAUAAUUCAGAUAAAUUAAGAUAUUUUAAAUGUAUCAAUUUUCCAAUAUUUUCUGGAAUUUCUCUAAUGAAAUUUGGGCUAGGAUGAGAAAAUGAGGACAACUGUCUUAUAACUAAUGCCCUUAAACACGCCAAUUUACUAAAUAACCCCGGAAGGAUGCUACUACGAAGAGACGGACCUUUAUCAUAAAUUAAGAGGGUCCGCAAUCUAUUAAGUCCAUAAAUGGACAUAGGAAGUGGAGCGCCUCCUUCAAAAUUUAAUCCUAGGUGACAGACUUUGUCACCAAAAGAAUUUAUGACUGACUCUUUGUUACCAUCAAUUUCUAGCCACAAACAUUCUUUUCUACUUACAAAUUGGGCAAAAUCAUGUACUAUGUCAUGCAUUUUACACCUCAUAAACUCAUUAUCGCCACCGUAUGUUUCAAACUCUUGAAAGAAAGAGUGUGUUGCUAAGAUGUUGAAAUACUCUUCUCCAACCAUCUCCAUUUCUUCGUCUUCUUCUGCAUUAAGGUAACCUUGAGCCAUCCACAUAUCAAUCAAUUCCUUUUUAUGCAUAUAGUGGUCUUUUGGAAAGACAGCACAAUAUGAGAAACAUUGUUUUACCAUAGAAUUAGAGGGCAAAUCGUUAUAACUCAACAACAAAGGAGCCAAAAGACCUUUCCUAAUCUCUUCUACCUUCCACAUUUCACUCUCUAAAAUUCUUUGCCACUCUUUUACUGUACAUUUAGAGCGCAAGAGAUUCCCUAUUACCUUUACAGCAAGAGGCAGGCCUUUGCACUUGCGUGCAAUUUUUCGUCCGAUUGGUUCUAAUUUUUCACAAUCCUCGAAAGAGCGACCGAAAAAUGCCAACCGCUUGAACAACAACCAGCAUUCCUCUUCAGCUAGUUGUUCAAUGGAGAUAAUAUCUAACUCUAUUGUUCGCAUCAUACGUGCAACUGACUCAUUACGUGUGGUAACCACAAUUUUACUUCCAGGAAGACCAUUCUUUAGACAAAAGAAGAAUUGAUCCCAUAUAUUAUAAUUCCCAUCCCAUACAUCAUCUAAGACAAUAAAAAUUUUUUUUCCUUCAAUUGAUCUAUGGAUAUGGCUCAUAAGAGAUUGGAAUUCGCUUAAACCAGAAGCUUCUUUUGACUCGCCUAGUCCUUCAAUAAUUGCUUUGGCGACCCUCAUCUCAUCAAAAGUGUCUGAUACACACACCCAUAUAACUUUUUCAAAAUUUAUUUUCACCCCAUCAUUAUUAUAGGCUAGUUGUGCAAGAGUGGUUUUACCUAUACCCCCUAACCCAACCAGUGAGAUGAUAUGAGGAUGUUGUUCGCCACUCUCACCCAACAACUUACCUAACAGCUCAUUUUUCUCGUCAUCUCUACCAAAAAUCUCUCCCUCAUCAAUCAAGGAGGUGGUUGGCACUCGCUCUGAUUUCUUAACAUUGUUACUCACAUUCUCAACAAAUUUAAACAUAUCUUUUCGAGUGGCAAUACCAUCUAGCUUUUCACUGAUUUCGCUAAUCUUGACAGCAACAUCAUCACGAAGAAUGAGUUGUUUGAAACCACCUAAGUAGUUUGAGGCAGCACGAAAGAAGGAACAUACCUUCUUCUUAGGAGGAGCAAGAGCAAGAGCAUCGUCAUCAUCGCCGCCCUCAUCAAGCUGCAAUUUCCGUGUUUCAGUGAUCCACUCUUCCAACACAUCUUCCAUGUCGUAGGAUGCGUCUCUGAGCUGAUCCAGCCAAAGAGUAACAGCUUUGUCCUGCUUCAUUUGCCUCUGCUCUGCAUCUUACAGUACAGCUUGAAUGACUUGAAGAUUGGUAGUAAGCUUUCCCACUUCUUGUUCGACACCCGUCACAAGCCUCCACUUUUCUUUCACCUGAUCUUGAGCAAUGGAUUUCAGCUGGUCCAGGAGAGAGGAAACGAUCGCAUGAGCCAUUCAGAGGAAAGUAGGUUUUAUGUAUUCUGUGAGAAUGUUCAUUCAAGCAUGUUUGCAUUCUUCUUAUACCAUAUGAGAUAUUUAAUUUUUACCCUCGAGUCAAUGUCAAUAAUUGUACAGCGUCUGCCCUGUUUCUCUGAUUCAUAAUAAUUCAUUGUUAAUUCUGCAGAGUACACAGCGUCAGCACUUGUGAAAUUUCUUACAUUUGUAAAAUCAUGCAGCCGACCCUUGUGAACUAACUAAUUAACUAAAUUUUCUUACAUUGUCAAUAAGUUAUGAUUAUUGUGAAUUUUCCAUCCCCUAUAUAAAUUCUUAGAUUUAUUUAAAUUGUGAGUCAUAGAAGUAUAUUACCUAAAUUAUUUUAUCAGGCCAUGUUCCGAUACUAGGAGUAAGUACGGAAUUGGACUAAUUUUGUGAUUAUCUAUUUAUCUCAUAUUUGAUAAGCUUAAUUGAAUUGGAUUUAGGAACCAAAUUUAAAUUUAAUCCUAAAAUUAUGGAAUUGAUAAUCCUAAUUUACGCAUAACUUUAGUUGGGAUAAAAUUAAAGAAAAAAAGUUAUCCAUUUAUGAGACUUUAAUUUAUAUCAUUAUCGUUUAUUUAUGCUUAAUAUUUAUUUAUUUUUUUUAAUUUAUGAUUUACUUAAAAUUUAUUUUUAUUUAUUAUCUAUCAUCUGAUUAAAUUAGAACUUUACUUCUACUAACUCUUGAUAUUAAUUUUUCAUUACUUGCAUAUUUGAUAAUUUGUCAAUAAAAUUAACCAUUUAAUAAUUUAUUGCAUAAUAGAUUGUAUUAAACUUACUAAUCACUAAAAAAAUAUUUAAAAUCAUCAUGAAAAUUAAUAAUACCGUCAAUUAAUUGAUUUUAUAUACUUUUUUAAAUAUUUGAUAAAAAAUAAUUAAGUAUUUAAAUUUUUAUUUCAUUUUUUUAUUUGUUUAUUUUAUUAUGGAUACCCAAUAACUUGCAAUAUAAUUAAUUUUCUUAUUCAGACUACUCAGCAUCAGCUCCUAUAAAAUUUCUUACAUUAUAAGCAACAAAAUAUUUAUAAACUACAACAAAGGGCUUAAAUCAAUCCACCGAUUAACCUUUUGAAGUUAUAUAUAAUAUAUUAACUGUUGAUCUAGAAUAGUCUUAGUGGAUAGAUUUUUUUUAAUUAUAAAUAUCAAUAAAUUUUUUUUAUCGUUUAAUAGAUAUUGAUGAAAUUAUAUGGAGUAAUUUCGCCCAAUCAUAUAUAUUAUAACAAAAGUUGGAAAAGAGAAAAAUAAAACAAAAGUUGGAAAAAUCAUGCAGUCGUUGGGAAUUUCGAAAUUUGAGAAUUUUGCCCGUAGCUACAGGCUGCAGCGAUUUUUGACUUUCAUGAUGCAAACAAACCAAUCAUCAUUAAUUUCAAUAGAAAGAAGUAUUCUAGGUGGAAUUGAUUUCUGGAGCAGAAUAUGAUGUAUUUGGGACUUCCUACUCUAUUAGAUAGGUUAAUAACAUGUUAAUUGUCACAUCAUUAAUUUUAGAUUAUAAAUUUUAUAUUCAAACUUUGUAUGACUGCUCCUUUUUCAUUUGAAAAAAAAAAAAAAAAUUAACUUCUAGCAUGAUCUAAUUAAUUGAUCUUGUUUCAAAAGAAUCAAAAAAAUAAAUAAAAUAAAAUAAAGUAAUGCCAUAAUCUAAUUGGUCUUGUUAUUGACAUGUACUAAUGCAUUCUAUAUUUCUAACUUUGUACAUUUUAUUGAUAUGUUUCUCUUGAGAGAUAAGAAUCAUUAUGUGGCAAAAUUUUAUUAAAGCUGGGAUUAUUUAUGUUCUAAUACUUUGAACAUUAAUUUUUAAUCUACUCUUUAGAAUACAAAAAUAAUCCUUACCUAAACAUCUUUCAUAAAUGUUUUUUGCUGGGGCUGCUAAAAUUCAUAAUCUAAUAUUAGUUGAUGUGGCAUGUGUCCUAUCACAUAAAUGUAGAUAAUAAUAAUUAAUUCAUUAACAAAAUGAAAAAUGUUAGUUUACAAAAUACAAAUCCGAAUUUUUUGUGUGUUAGAGGGAAUUUAAAAGGGAGAGACUAAACAAAUGUGGUGACAAAUUACACGUAUUACCAAAAUUGAAAAUACAAAGUUUAGGCAACUGGAAACAUCUCUGUCAAUGGCAAUGAACCCAUUACCUCCAUUUAUAAUUAACCAAAAAUCAAAUAAAUUAAAAAAGAAAACACAAAGCAAGGAUAACUACUAGUUGUUUUGAUCAUCCCUGCUUCUUUUUCUUAGCAUAGCUCUUGUAAUGAAAAUUAACAAAAAGGGCCAAAAGGGAAGCAUUAAACACAGUAUUGAAGCACCAACCCCAAAACACAGGGAAACCAAAUCCCGUGAAAUGAUAAUUCAGCAUCAAAAUGAAAAAUGUUAUGGAUGGCUGUGAUGGGUCUGAGGAUGUGGGGUCCAAUGAGAGGUGAUGAUGAUGGUGAUGUUGAUGUUGAUGUGUGGUAGAGGAUGGAUGUGAGGGAGAGGUAAGUAAUGAUGGAGUGAAUGAGGAUGCGUGGGAAGGAAGCUAGGGUUUGGUUUUGAGUCCAUGUGAAGUUGAGGACUUGUGGGUGGCUUACAAGCAAUAUUGGAGUGUUAAGCUGAUUGAAUUUGAACAGUGCUACUCCAAUAACAUCAAUAUGGUUGAUGACCGCUCUAUCAAAUCCUUUGGAUAAAUGAAUUGACCGCUCUAAAAUAAAUGAAUGAGAUAGGAUAAAUUCGAAUAAAUUAAUCUGCAUAAUGACACAAGAAACAAAUAUAAAUUGACCGCAAGUAGAAAUAUACUUUUGUUAUAUUUAGAGCAUCUUCCAAUUUCUUUCCCUUGAGCUCUGUUUCUGCGAGUGCUCAAAAGCAAGACACAGGCCUCAAGAUAUAAUUAUCAUCAUCAAUCUUUUGCAGCCACAUGCAGUACUUGGAAAAUGUUUAUGGCCCUAAAUAACUGGAAAAUCAGAAAACAUUAAGAACAAGAGACUAAUCAUUUUAAUCGCAACAAAACAUGCACACUAUGAAAAUAUAAAAUUGAAUUACUUCGAAUGGAUGUGCCUCUUAACAGGAAUUGCACAAGCUAAUGAGCAAGUGAGCCUUCGAAUGAAAAUCUAAAUCCUUGCAGCCUGCGUCAUGCAGCUUCUCCCAAUGAGUAAGUGAACCUUGAACAGUUAUCACUCAGCUCAAACUAAAAUGAAAUUACUGUGGACAUGUGAAUUAAAAAUAGAUGUAAAAGUAGUUUUCUCAAAGCAAAGUCAAGAUAAGAGAUUAACUCUACUCCUUAUUUACAUUAAAAAUAACGAACAAUGGAAAACAGAGCUAGAGAAGAACUUACCUGUGCGUUGAGAUCAUGUGGGGAAUGUGAGAUAUCUUCUUAGAUUUGGUUUGGGAAACUCCAUCUUCUUCUGAAAGUUCUGACAGUUCCCUAAACCCAGGCCAAUACAAUUGCAACAGAAACUGCAUGCUUUAACCAGUAUCUGAUCAUCUCCUGUUAUUUCAAGACAAUAAUAACUUAAUUGCAACACUGCAUGCUUCAACCAAUAACCUUUUCGACUUCAACACUUCUUUUGUCCCCCACCCGAUGCCCUUUUCACAAUUCUAUGAAUCAGAUAAAUCAGCCUUCUUCACAAAACUAAAAUUUCGGUCCCCAUGUAGCAGAGUUUCUUAUUUUUCCUUUGUACACAAAUGCAGACACUUAAGCAAAUUAAGAUUUCUUACCUAAAGCAAAUUAGGAUUUCUUUUGAUCCUGCAAGUUACAAUUUCAGUCCCCAUGUAAUAGUAAAAAUUUGUACACAUAUUUAUAUAGCAAAUUAAUAUUUCAUACCUCACAAUAUUUAUCAUAACCAUCAAUCUUUAGAAACCACAUGCAGACUUGUUAAACUGUUUAUGGCCCAAAAUAACAGGAAAAUUAGAACAGAUUUUUAAGAAUGAGCGACUAAAUAUUUCAAUGGCAACUAAAAUUACACAUCUUGGAAAUCUGAAACUCAAGUACUCAGAACACUGUAAGUGCAUUGCAUAAUCUUGGGUAAAAAAUACACAGCAAUUAAACAAGCUGGGAACUUUAGUGCAAAUGCUUUUUCAUAAUCUUCAAUUGCAUAAGUCAGUUAGAAUCAAUCUUUCUUAAUCUUUCAAUUCACAUAUGAGAGCCUGAUAACACAAGGAAACACUGUAAGUGAAUUGUCAACUGUGACAAAUUUUGGGUAAAAAUUAUCAACUGUAGUUAUCUGCAUAACAUUUAGUGUCAACCCCAAAUUCCUUCCUGAUCCGUGGAAGCAUUUCAGCCCACAGACGGUUAGCUUUGUCAAUAUACGGCAACUCAGGAUUCUAUAUUUAAACUAUGAUGUUUGAUGACUUGCUGAUACAAAAGACAUUGCCCCAAGCACUUUUUUACAUUAGCUAAAAUCAAGCCAGUCACUUCCAUUUGUUGCAGUUUUAAUGCAGAAAGAAAAAAGGGGGAAAAAAAUCUGCAAGAUGCCACUUGUAAUACCGCAUGUUCGCAGGAGCAGAGUUAAAUAAUUACAAAAUUACAUUCUUUAUUGGCCACAAAGCUGCCUAGAAAAAGGCUUUAAAUUCUUAAUGAGACAACGUAUUCGAACAAAUAUGGUGAAUGAAGAGACAAAGGCAUAACACCUCGGGAAGUAAAGCUCUGUUUCUGUAUGUGCUCAAACCAAUGGAAACCCAUGGAAAUGAAUUUCUACGAAUUAGACAUGUCAGCCAAAACAGGUACUCUGUACAAGCAAAGUAAAAGAGAGUUACAAAAAAUUUUAAGAUAAUUAAACUUUUAGUCACCAUAUAAUUAAUAGAAAACUUUGUACACAAUGAUUUAUAUGAGAUUAAGAUUGUAUACCUAAGUUUUAAUUGCAAACUAAAUAUACACAACAUGAUAUUAGCAUUAGAAGACUGCACCAAAACGCACCGAAUUGAAUGUACCUCUUAACGGCCAUUGUACAUGCAUUGAAAGUUUACCGCAAAAGCUGUUUCAAACGUGAUGCAUCUUAGAGAUGCAAGAUGAGAAAUUGUUAUUACAACUAGCAUUGAAACAUGUGUGAAAACUGUUAAUGGACCUAAAUAACUUGAAAAUCAGAAAAGAUUAGGAAUGAGUGACUAAGCCUGCUAAUCGCAACUAAACGUGCAAACCUUGAAAAUCCAAAAUUGUACUCGAUGAAUGUGCAAUUGCUCAAGCAGGUAAAUUUCCUGCAAAGGCUCUUACAAACCCUCAAAGAUGAUACUCUACAUACCAUGGUAACCUGAGUAACAAAAAGAAACACAGUGAAUAUUAAAGGGCAUUCUGACAAUGCAAAUUUGUGUAAAUUAACAACUGCGGUUACCUGCAUAAUAGUGUCAAUACCGAAUUCCUUCCUCCAUGGAAGCAUGUGAUCAGCCCACAUGUGCUUUGCUCUGUAGCUUUUGAAUACCUGAAAUUGUUAUCACAACCAACGGUGAAAAAUGGGUGAAAAAAGGGUAAUAGUAGCAUAAUUGAAUUUGCUUAUAGAGGAUAAACCGAUCAAAGAAAAAAACAAGACAGAAAUGAUGAUCUUAGUACCUUAAUAUCAUGCAAUAAUAAUCAUCAUGCCUUCUAGGCAGCUAUCCAUCCUCAAUUGAAACAGAGCAGACCUGGCCAUCACUUUCUUCUUCAAAGUCCAGCAACUGAACGUUGCACACAACACCACAGUGGAAGUUCCAUCACCAGCCUAAUCCUUGAUUACCCCAAUGUUCUCCAUAGGGUCUUCAAAGUCAACCUAAAAAUAAAAUGAAAAUGCAAUGCAUUAUUAUUAGGGAUCUAGUGCUUGAGCUUGCUUUGACAUCAUGGUAUUAGCAAAUUCUGAUAUAGCCAAAAUGGUGAAUAAGAUGACGUACUUGAUAAGAAAAACCUGAUUUAACAAAUAAUUAAGGAGCCGGUAACAAUCACAGAAUCUCAUCAUGUGGGGAACGCCUUGGCAACAGAAGAUGGUGCUUUCAUUCAAGCAAUAGCAACUUUCCAAUUUCAUAAGGUAGUUUAAUGGCCCUUUUAAGAACAUCUGCACCAGCCUAAUAAUUAUUCAUGGAAAUUAAUAAUCAGAAUCAUGUUAGAUUGAGAGAUGAAACAUAAUAAGCGAUUUGGCCACCAUAUAUGCAUUUAUCACCUUCAAUUUGCUCAUCUUUGUCUAGAGUAUUGCUUCUGCAUUAACUUAAUUAGCUUGCAAGCCACCUGAACAUGGUUUUAAAUAAAGUGUAAGAGCUCGAAUUCGAACGAAUUAAUCAAAUAUGCUGACAGGAGAAACAAAAGUAAAUAACCACAAGAAGUAGAAAUAUACUUUUGUUAUAUUCAGAGCAUCUUCUUGCGUCAAGUUCUUUUCCUUUAGCUCUGUUUCUGUUUGUGCUCAAACGCAAUGGCUCAAGGGCCAAGAUAAUUUUAUGACCAUCAAUCUUUUUGCAGCCACAGCAGACUUGAAAAAAUGAUUGUGGCCCUAAGGAACUUGAAAAUUAGAAAAGAUUCAGAAUGAGUGACUAAAUAUUAUAAUUGAAACUAACUAAACAUUAUAAUCGAAACUAAUUAAACGCCUAGAAAAUCUGAAACUGAGCAAUUGCUUCUGGUGGAAACUUUACUGCAAGGACUUUCUCAAACCCUUGAAGAUCACACUCUACCUGAUAACAAAGAAACAGUCAAUAUACGAAGAUGAUUUUACUAACAAGUGAGUGCUUACACAUAUUGGAAGGAUAAUGAUGAUUCAUAACCCAAAUCCCCAAUACUCCCUAUUAUCUCACUCAAGUUCGAGCUCCCAGAAUUCACUACUGUGAAGCUCUCACAACAAAAUUCCCUUCAAAGAUUCUCUACUCAAAUUUGAUGAUGAUGUCCCUCCAAAGGAGGCAAAAAAUCUAACACUGAUCAAAUUGGUUUGUGAACAAUUAAUCUUCCUGGCCAUCAUGCAUACCAGGUGUGGUGAGCAAUCUUCAUUAUGACAUUUGCCUUAAUAAGCAGCUUAGUUUCCUUAACCUGAUAACUUACACAAACAAAAACAACUUGAUUAAAGUUUAAUAUUUAGAGGCAGAACAGUAAAGAAGAUGAUAUAUAUUGAUACUAAAAUUUGACCUGUGUUAUCCUGACGUCAAGAAUCACAGCAUCUCAUGUGGGCAGAAUCUUCGCAGUACAAUAUGCUUGCAAAAUUGAAGCAGCAUCUUAUCACCUGUAAUUUAAUUAAGACAAUAACUUUCCCCAACCAUUUCAAUGCAUUAUUGCCAACUAAAUUCAGAGGGUGCUAAUUAAAUAGCCUUUGAACAAUAUAUUCUUAUUCUUCUCCAAUCUAACAAUUAUUUCGAAAAUCUAAAUGACAAUCACGCAUCGAUGGCAUCAAAAUUUGGCUACAAAGCAGCCUGGAAAAGGCUUUACUCUCUGAAUGAGAGCAUGAAUUCGAAACAAAUAUGAUGAAUGAAGAAAAUAAGGCAUAAUACCACCAAAAGUAAAACUUUCUCCCAGGGCUCUAUGUUUCUGUUUGUGCUAAAACCAAUAGAAACCGAUGGAAAUGAAUUUCUAGGAAUUAGACAUAUCAGCGAAAACAGGUAUUCUGUACAAGCAAAGUAAAAUAGGGUUACCAAAAUUUUUAAGAUUGAUAUGAUACUUGAAAAAUAGGUUUGCACAGAAUUAAUUAUUCUGUCAUUGAGAUUGUUCUUUUAUAGAGAUUUCCAGCGCACAUAAAACUAUUAAAUCAGUAAACUAAAUCACUGAUUUAAGGAAAGAAUAAUUUCUAGGUAGAUUUUCCUAAAAUACAUAGAUUUGCACCUAAAUAGCUAUGUUACAGCUAAUGACUAAUUUACAGCACAUAUUUUUUCUAAUUUUCUAACACUCCCCCUCGAGCUGGUUUGAAGAUAUCCUCCAUAGCCAGCUUGCCAACUAGAAAAUUGAACUGUUUUGUGUGUAGUCCUUUGGUAAAGACAUCAGCCACUUGUUCUCCAGUAGGAAUGUGCUCCAUAUGAACCAAUCCAUUAUCUAUCUUCUCCUUGAUGAAAUGCUUGUCAAUCUCCACAUGUUUUGUGCGGUCAUGAAGGACUGGAUUGUGUGCUAUUGAGAUUGCUGCCUUGUUGUCACAGUACAACUACAUAGGAGAUGAUUUUGUCGCUUUUAACUCUUCCAACAGCCUCCUAAUCCACAUGAUCUCACAAAUGCCAUGGGUUACAGCUCUAAAUUCAGCCUCAGCACUGCUCCUAGCUACCACAUUCUGUUUCUUGCUUCUCCAAGUAACCAAAUUACCACCUACAAAUGAACAGUAUCCAGAAGUGGAUCUUCGGUCUACUUUGCAGGUAAAUUUACUGCAAAGGCUCUUACAAGCCCUCAAAGAUGAUAUUCUACAUACCAUGGUAACCUGACUAACAAAAAGAAACACAGUGAAUAUUAAAGGGCAUUCUGACAAUGCAAAUUUGUGCAAAUUAACAACUGCGGUUACCUGCAUAAUAGUGUCAAUACCGAGUUCCUUCCUCCAUGGAAGCAUAUGAUCAGCCCACAUGUGCUUUGCUCUGUAGCUUUUGAGUACCUGAAAUUGUUAUUACAACCAGCGGUGAAAAUUGGGUGAAAAAAUGGUAAUAUUAGCAUAAUUGAAUUUGCUUAUAGAGGAUAAACCGAUCAAAGAAAACGACAAGAUAGAAAUGAUUAUCUUAGUACCUUAAUAUCAUGCAAUAAAAAUCAUCAUGCCUUCCAGGCAGCUAUCCAUCCUCAAUUGAAACAGAGCAGACCUGGCCAUCACUUUCUUCUUCAAAGUCCAGCAACUGAACGUUGCACACAACACCACAGUGGAAGUAGUUCCAUCACCAGCCUAAUCCUUGAUUACCCCAAUGUUCUCCAUAGGGUCUUCAAAGUCAACCUAAAAAUAAAAUGAAAAUGCAAUGCAUUAUUAUUAGGGAUCUAGUGCUUGAGCUUGCUUUGACAUCAUGGUAUUAGCAAAUUCUGAUAUAGCCAAAAUGGUGAAUAAGAUGAUGUACUUGAUAAGAAAAACCUGAUUUAACAAAUAAUUAAGAAGCCGGUAACAAUCACAUAAUCUCAUCAUGUGGGGAAUGCCUUGGCAACAGAAGAUGGUGCUUUCAUUCAAGCAAUAGCAACUUUCCAAUUUCAUAAGGUAGUUUAAUGGCCCUUUUAAGAACAUCUGUACCAGCCUAACAAUUAUUCAUGGAAAUUAAAAUUCAGAAUCAUAUUAGAUUGAGAGAUGAAAUAUAAUAAGCGAUUUGGCCACCAUAUAUGCAUUUAUCACCUUCAAUUUGCUCAUCUUUGUCUGGAGUAUUGCUUCUGCAUUAACUUAAUUAGCUUGCAAGCCACCUACAAAUGGUUUUAAAUAAUGUGUGAGAGUGUGAAUUCGAACGAAUUAAUCAAAUAUGCUGACAGGAGAAACAAAAGUAAAUAACCACAAGAAGUAGAAAUAUACUUUUGUUAUAUUCAGAGCAUCUUCUUGCGUCAAGUUCUUUUCCUUUAGCUCUGUUUCUGUUUGUGCUCAAACGGAAUGGCUCAAGGGUCAAGAUAAUUUUAUGACCAUCAAUCUUUUUGCAGCCACAUGCAGACUUGAAAAACUGGUCGUGGCACUAAGGAACUUGAAAAUUAGAAAAGAUUCAGAAUGAGUGACUAAAUAUUAUAAUCGAAACUAAUUAAACAUACACGCCUAGAAAAUCUGAAACUGAACUUCUCAAAUGUAUAUGCCUCUUCGCAGCAAUUGCUUGUGGUGGAAACUUUACCGCAAGGACUUUCUCAAACCCUUGAAGAUCACACUCUACCUGAUAACAAAGAAACAUAGUCAAUAUACGAAGAUGAUUUUACUAACAAGUGAGUGCUUACACAUAUUGGAAGGAUAAUGAUUACUCAUAACCCAAAUCCCCAACACUCCCUAAUAUCUCACUCAAGUGAGUACGAGCUCCCAGAAUUCACUACUGUGAAACUCUUACAACAAAAUUCCCUUUAAAGAUUCUCUACUCAAAUUUGAUGAUGAUGUCCCUCGAAAGGAGGCAAAAAAUCUAACACUGAUCAAAUUGGCUUGUGAACAAUUAAUCUUCCUGGCGAUCAUGCAUACCAGGUGUGGUGAGCAAUCUUCAUUCUGACAUUUGCCUUAAUAAGCGGCUUAGUAUCCUUAACCUGAUAACUUACACAAACAAAAACAACUUGAUUAAAGUAUAAUAUUUAGAGGCAGAACAGUAAAGAAGAUGAUAUAUAUUGGUACUAAAAUUUGACCUGUGUUAUCCUGACGUCAAGAAUCACAGCAUCUCAUGUGGGCAGAAUAUUCGCAGUACAAGAUGCUUGCAAAAUUGAAGCAGCAUCUUAUCACCUGUAAUUUAAUUAAGACAAUAACUUUCCCCAACCAUUUCAAUGCAUUAUUGGCAACUAAAUUCAGAGGGUGCUAAUUAAAUAGCCUUUGAACAAUAUAUUCUAAUUCUUCUCCAAUCUAACAAUUAUUUGGAAAAUCUGAAUGACAAUCAUGCAUCGACGACAUCAAAAUUUGGCUACAAAGCAGCCUGGAAAAGGCUUUACUCUCUGAAUGAGAGCAUGAAUUCGAAACAAAUAUCAUGAAUGAAGAAACAAAGGCAUAAUACCACAAAAAGUAAAACUUUUCCCAGGGCUAUCUGUUUCUGUUUGAACUAAAACCAAUGGAAACCGAUGGAAAUGAAUUUCUAGGAAUUAGACAUAUCAGCCAAAACAGGUACUCUGUACAAGCAAAGUAAAAUAGGGUUACAAAAAAUUUUAAGAUUGAUAUGAUAAUUAAAAUUUCAGUCACCAUAUAAUUAAUAGAAAACUUUGGACACAAUGAUUUAUUGCAUAUUAAGAUUGCUAUAUAAAAUAUAAUAUUAGCAUUAGGAGACCGCACCGAAGCAUACCGAAUUGAAUGUGCCUUUUCACAGCCAUUUUACAAGCUUUGAAGCUUCACCACAAAUGCUUUUUCCAACCCGUGAACAUGGUGCACCCGAGAGAUGCAAGCUAUGAAAUUGUUACUACAGCAAGCGUUGGAACAUUUGUUAAAAAAGGAAGUUUAUGAAAAUACGCCUUUGGAUACCAGUCUUCAGGAAUCAAUUCAUCCGUAAUAACAAUUUUCAAGAAUUAUCAACUGCUUUAAGCUCAUCGACAUCACAAAGAUCUCAACUAAAAUAGAGCAGAUCCGGCCAUCACUAUCCCUUCUACUGCUCUUUUCCUUUAGAGAAUGAUUGAAUUACAGAAUGCGUGUAAGGCAUUCUUAUUCAAGGUCCAAUGAUCAAACCUUGCACUAUAACAACAGAGGUAGUAGUUUCUUCGCCAGCCUAAUCCUUGGUCUCAGGAAUGUCCUCAACAGAGUACUCGAAAUCAACCUAAAAAUUAAGAAUGAGUUGGAAAACUGUUUAUGGCCCUAAAGAACUUGAAAAUAAGAAAAGAUUAAGAAUGAGUGACUAAACAUUUAAUCGCAACUAAACAUACAAACCUUGAAAAUCUAACUUUGAAGUACUCUUGAAUGAAUGAGCAGUUGCACGAGCUGGUGACAACUAAGGUUACUGUGAAGUCUCUUACAAAUCCUUAAAGAUGAUACUUUACAUACCACGAUAACCUGAUAACACAUAGGAACACAAUAAACAUUAAAGUGUAUUCUGACAAUGCAAAUUUGUGGAAAUCAUCAGCUGUGGUUACCUGGACAAUAUUGCCAACACCAAACUCCUUCCUCAAUUGAAACAUAUGAUCAGCCCACAAAUGCUUUGCUUUGUAGCUUUUGAGAGCCUGAAAUUGUUAUCACAACCAACAAUGAAAAUUGGGUGAAAAAAUUGAUAAUAUUAGCUUAAUUCCAUAUGUUUAUAUAGGAUAAACCGAUCAAAGAAUGAAAAAAGAUAGAAACAGAGCAGACCCAGCCAUCACUUUCUUCUUCAAAGUCGCACCAUAACCACAGUGGUAGUCGUUCCACUGCCAGCCUAAUCCUUGGUCACCCCAAUGUUCUCCAUGAAGUAUUCAAAGUCAACCUAAAAAUAAAUAAAAAUGCAAUGCAGGUGGAAAUGAAAAUUCUAUAAAUUAAAUAAAAUAAAAAUGCAAUGCUUGAGCUUGAGCUUGCUUUAGCAUCAUCGUAAUAGUAAAUUUUGAUAUAUCUUUACUUCUCUGUUCUUGUUUAUUCACAACAAGAUAUCAAUAGAAGAAGAUGGAAAUGAAAUUCUAUAAAAUAAAGCAAGUGAAUUACCAACAGAACAUUUUAGCAAUCCUUUGGCUAAACUUUUCAUUUUCUUAGCAUACUCUCCUGCCUGGUGAACAUAAUUAAACAAGUAUGAAAUAAAACAAAGUGGGCUAAUGUAGUAAAAACAAUAACACAAUUACUUUAAAGAAUUAAUGUCACGUAUAUUAUAUAUAAAAAAAUACGAUUAUCAUUAUAUAAGAUAAAAUUGAUAAUUUAGUUUUCAACAUUACUGCAAACGUAUCACAGAGAUUUUGUUACACAUAACAAAUUUUCGUACAUAUGAAAAUAAAUUACAUUGCAUGAAAUUUUACAAAAGAGCACAUAUUUUUUAAAAGUAAAUAAAUAUAGAAAUUUCAACAGACUACACUUGUAUUUUUUUUUAAUUAUUUAAUCUUUAGAAAACAAGUUUAACAGAUUUGAUAACUAGGAAGUUUUACGUAUUUAUACCAUGAUUGAUUCUAUAUAGAAUUUUAAUUCAAAAUAUAAUUAUUUUUAUUAAUUUCAUUGCAAGCAACAACGAAGUAAAUUAGAGGAGGAGGAGAAAUUACCGGCGAGUGAUAAAUUACCGCGACCACUUGAUGUGGGGAAUGCGAGAUAUCUUAUGCCAGUCUUCUCCUUUCCCCUCUCUAUAACGGUUUUCCAGAAGAGGACAUCUGUCAAUAGUCAAUUCCUGCAGCGUCGUCGUCCGAAGAAGGUAAUCCGGCAGCACCUUUAAUUUGGGGCAAUACUCAAUUACCAAGGAAGAAAGACGUGGUAUGUCUGUUGUCCUGUGAUCUUCUAGAAUGGGCAGUUCUUCCAUAUUUGCACAAAAAGAAAUCCUCAGUUUCUGCAGUGCCGUCGUUCGAAGAAGGUAAUCCGGCAGCGCCUUCAAUUUGUUGCAAGAACGAACUUCCAAGGAAGAAAGACGGGGCAUGAUAGAGAUGUUUUCCUUCCUCGUAAUCCUGUAAUUCCACUCUUCCAAUUCUUCCAUGUCCCAAAUUAUGAGUGAUUUCAAUUUGGGGAAGGCAGUAACUGAUGAUGAUGAUGAAGAUGAAGACGGGCCAUCCUCACUGCUUUCUUCUAUUCCCAAAAACUCAUUACCCACUCUUUUUACACUUUUCAAGUACCAUAGUUCGAGUUUUUCCAGAGGCAAUUUUCCCAAAGGAGGCAAAUGCUCACACUUAAGGCACGAGCGAAGAUAUAAAUUCCUUAGAUUGGUCAGUGAAGUCAACCAUUUGGGAAAAAUGUUGCGUCCAUAUAAUAUAAUCCCUAAUUUCUCUACACUCAAAGGCGGUUGUAAGGCUUUAAGAAGUUGUUCAUCUUUCUCUUUCUUCCUCCUCCUUUCUUCAUCUUCCCCAUCUACGACUCUACCAAACUCAAGACGCAAACGAAGGAGGUUUUGCUGAUUGUAAAGUUGUAAUCUCUCGACCUCAUCUAAACGGGACACAUUACCCAGCCCUUCAAUUCCACAUUCUCGAAGGAGUUGAAGAUUUUUCAGAGAUUCAAGCCUACAAGUAUUGCUACCAUCAACACCUCCACCCACCACAAACUUGUCUAAUGUUCGAAGACUGGUUAAUUUGGAAAUCCCUACUGGCAUGUAUUUCAACGAAUAAGUUUCAGCAUUCAGUAAACUCCUCAUGUUCUUUAACUUCCCAAUCCCCGCUGGCAAUUCUUUAAGAUUUCGGCACCGCCUAAUAUCUAGCUUUUGUAAAUUAUAUAAUUCACACAAAGUCUUAGGUAGUCUCUCUAUGCCUAAUUCAGACAAAUUAAGAUAUCUUAAAUGUAUCAAUUUUCCGACAUUUUUUGGAAUUUCUCUAAUCAAACUUGAGUGAAGACGAACAGGCGAGGAUGAUAGCCUUAUAACUAAUGAUUCCCUUAUAACUAAUGCCCUCAAACAUGCCAAUUUACUAAAUAACUUUCGAGUUUCUCUAAUCUUAUAUGUGUUUGGACAAAAACAUAGGCGCAACAGCCUUAUAACUAAUGCCCUUAAACAUUCUUUGCUACUACUAAAAGACGAAAGGAUGCUACUAAGAGACAGAUUGAAAUCACUUCUAUCAUAAAUUAAAAGGGUACGCAAUCUAUCAAGUCCACGAAUGGAUAUAGGAAAUGAAGUGCCUCUUUGAAAAUUUAACCCUAAGUGACGGACUUUGUCACCAAAAGAGUUUAUGACUGAGUCUUUGGUACCAUUAAUUUCUACCCACAAACAUUCUUUUCUACUUACAAAUUGGGCAAAAUCAUGUAUUAUGUCAUGCAUCUUGCAGCUCAUAAUAUCAUCAUCAUCAUCUUUUUUAAACUCUUGAAAGAAAGAGCGUGCUGCUAAAAUGUUGAAAUACUCUUCCCCAAUCAUCUCCAUCUCUUCGUCUUCUUCUGUAUUAAGAUAACCUUGAGCCAUCCAUAGUGAAAUUAGUUCCUCUUUAUUCAUAUUGUAGUUUUUUGGAAAGACAGCACAAUAUGAGAAACAUUGUUUUACCAUAGAAUUGGAGGGCAAAUCGUUAUAACUCAACAACAAAGGAGCUAAAAGACCUUGCCCAAUUGCUUCUACUUUCCACAUUUCACUCUCUAAAAUUCUUUGCCACUCUUUUACUGUACUUUUAGAGCGCAAGAGAUUCCCUAUUACCUUUGCAGCAAGAGGCAGGCCUUUGCACUUAUGUGCAAUUUUGCGCCCGAUUGGUUCUAAUUUUUCACGAUCCUCAAAGGACCUACGUAGAAAUGCCAUCUGCUUAAACAGUAACCAACAUUCCCCUUCUCCCAACUCCUUGACAGGGAUAAUAUCUAUUGAUCCCAACUGUAGUGCAACUGACCUAUCACGUGUGGUAAUUAGAAUUUUACUUUCAUGGUGGCCAUUCUUUAGACAAGAAAAGAAUGGGUCCCAUUUUUUGUAAUCUACAUCCCACACAUCAUCUAAAACAAGAAAAAACUUUUUUCCUUCAAUUGAUGUAUGGAUAUGGCUCAUAAGAGAUUGGAAUUCGCUUAAAUCAUAAGCUUCUUUUGACUUGCCUAGACCUUCAAUGAUUGCUUUGGCAACCCUAAUCCUCUCAAAAGUGUCUGAUACACACACCCAUAUAACUUUUUCAAAAUUUCUUUUCACCUCAUCAUUAUUAUAGGCCAGUUGUGCAAGAGUGGUUUUACCUAUACCCCCUAACCCAACUAGUGAGAUGAUAUGAAGGCCUUCUUGUUGUUCACUACUUUGACACAACAACUUGCUUAAGAGCUCAUCUUUCUCAUUAACUCUACCGCAAACCUCUCCCUCAUCAAUCAAGGAGGUGGUUCGCACUCGCUCUGGUUUCUUGACAUUGUUACUCACAUUCUCAACAAAUUUAAACAUAUCUUUUCGAGUGGCAAUACCAUCUAGCUUUUCAUUGAUUUCCCUAAUCUUGACAGCAAUGUCAUGACGAAGACUGAGUUGUUUGAAACUGCCACAGCAGUUUGAUACAGCACAAAAGAAGGAACGUACCUUCUUCUUAUGAACGCCCUCAAUCUGCAAUUUGAGCCUUGCAGUGGUCCACUCCUCCAACACAUCUUCCAUGUCGUAAGAUGCGUCUUUGAGCUGAUCCAGCCAAAAAGUAACAUCUUUCUCGUGCUGCAUUUGCCUUUUCUCUGCAUCUUCCAGCACAAGUUGAAUGGCUUGUAGAUUGCUGGUGAGCUUUUUCACUUCUUCGUCGACACCAGUAACAAGCCUCACCUGUUGUUUCAGUUCAUCAGUUGCAACUGAGCUCAGCUGCUCCAGGAGAGAGGAAACGAUCGCAUCAACCAUUCUGACAAAGAAGAUGAGAAUUCUGAAGAGUUAUUAGAUGUGCUUUUGUUGCGAAGAUAUGAAAGAAAGGAGUUAUUGCAUUCUUUUAUACUGCAUAGAAAAGGUUUAUGCUUAUCCCCACCCCACACGUCAAUGAUUGUAGAAUGUUUAAUUUCCCUGAUUCUACUCCACUAGUUGUGAUGCGUAAUUAUAAAUAUUCUCAAGUUAUGUAUGAAAAUCCCACAAAUUUGGAUCUAGUAAUGAUUUUUAUGUAUUUUUUCAUAAUCUUCUAAAAUACUAUAUCUGCAUGUUAUUUCGUGCAGAAAUAUGGCAUUGGGUGAAAAAAGUUAUGCUUAUCCCCACCCACACGUUAGUAAUUGUAGUAGCAUCUGUAAUUUCCAUGAUUCUACUCCACGGACGAACACAUUUUUUGUACUAACAUCUUUAAAUUCCCACACGUUAGGAAUUUGGCACAUAAUCUCAAACUCGUCGCAUCUUUAACGUAUGAGGUUGAUGAAUAAAUUCUUUUCUCAUAUCAAUUUAAAACUCCGAGAUUAUGUGCCAAAUUCCUAACGUGUGGGAAUUUUACCUCCUAAGUAAUCCGGCCCACUGCCAAGUGCCAACUUUUUCUCUGUCGAGUUAAUGAUGUUGUUUUGUUUUCCUUGUUUUAAUUAAUGUUGCGGAGAGAAACAGAUCGAUGCAAAUGGCUAGCCAGGUUUUGCAGAAACCGUGAAUGGUCUUGCAUGCAUGUGACAUAAAGCUUUAUAUAUAGCUUAUUCCUCCAUCAACAUUUCAAUGGUUCCAUCUCACGUGCACUUGGCUAUGAAUAAGGUCCAUGCAUGGAUCGAUCGAUUUAGGAGUUUGGACCAUCUCAUGCUGCAGAGUUAUGUGUCAUGUAUGUGUGUUGACACUUGCCAGUUCAUUUUUGUUAUAAAGAUUAUUGAUACUCGUAAAUGUACUACUUACAAAUCAUAAAUUUUGAGUUUGACACUUUAGUUUCAUUUUGUAAUCCCUACGCUCUUUAAAUAUUUGUAAUAAUAUAUUUCAAACUUUAACUCAGACGUAAUGAAUGAAGGGGGAUCCUCUUCUUAUAUAAAUUUUUAUUUUUUAACGUUCAAGUUACAUUUGAUUACGUGUACUUAUUAUCUAGUUUUGACUAUCUAAUGACAUUUGAUUACGUGUACUUAUUAUAUGAUUUUUUUUUAAAUGAUGGGUCUGGUGAGAUUUUUUACAUCUUGGAUUAGUAGGUCAAGAACGGGCAGGGCAGGGCCUUCUCUGAAGUCAAUCUUGUGAGCAACACCAGCUUUUUGGAUAAUUGGCAGCCCCAAUUCAUAAUUUUCUCAGUUGAUGUCCAUGGCCAAAAUCUGCAACCGAAGCUUAUUCUACUCUUAUUAAUCGAGAGAUAAUUUUAUCUCUAACUAAUUUAAUUGGGAGGAAAAUUGAGAGAGAUAUCCACUCUGUCCUUAUUAAUUGAGAGAUAAUUUUACCCUUACCCAAUUUAAUUGGAAAGGAAAUCGAAUUCCAACAAUAACUAGGACUUGAAUCCAUGCACUUAAGCUAACUUUAAGUUUUAGGAUGCAUGGUUAUAAUGUUCUUUAUUUAAAUCCUAACAAAUGGUGGGACUUGAACUUGUGCCUACAAACAUUGAGUGCUUAGGGGCUGCAAAAUUUCAUAACUUAAUUUUAGUUGAUGUGGUAUGUGCCCUAUCACAUAAAUAUGUAGAUAAUAAUAAUUAAUACAUUAACAAAAUGAAAAAUAUUAGUUUACAAAAUACAAAUCCAAAUUUUUUGUGUGACAAGGGACUUAAAAGGGAGAGACUAAACAAAUGUGGUGAAAACGACAUGUAUUACUAAAACUAAAAAUACGAAGUCUAGGCAAUUGAAAACAUCGGGUUUUUUAUUUAAAUAUCCCCAAUUUGUCCUUAAAUACCAAAUUUAUACCCUAUUAUAUACAUAUACCUCACGAAGAUAGGGAAAAUAAAAAAUAACCUUAAAAAAAUCAAGAAUCCACACAUUUCUUCCUCUCAGUGCAGGAAGAUGUCGAGUACGAAGUCGGGUAAGUCGAGAAUUUAGUCGAGCAAGAAUUGGAGAUAAGUAAGUUGAGUAUAUGGUCCAGUAGGAAGUUGAGUAAGCAUAUUAAAUGAGUCCAGUAUUAAGUGGUAGAGUAUUAAGUAAAAGUCAAGUAAAUUUUUUAAACAAGUCAAAUAAAAUUUAUGUAAUUUUUAAAGAGGUUGAGUAUUAAGUCGGGUUAGUACAUUGGGUCGAGUGUUAAUAUUUUUAAAGAAGUGAAGUCUGGUAAGUUGAGCAUUCAGUCGAGUAAGAAGUUAAGGCAAUUGAAUAAGUCGAGUCUCUAGUCGAGUACGAAGUCGGGUAUAAAGUCUGGUAAGUUGAGCAUUCAGUCGAGUAAGAAGUGAAGGCAAUUGAAUAAGUCGAGUGUCUAGUCGAGUACGAAGUUGGGUAUGAAAUCUGGUAAGUUGAGCAUUCAGUCGAGUGAGAAGUGAAGGCAAUUGAAUAAGUCAAGUAUCUAGUCGAGUACGAAGUCGGGUAUGAAGUAUGGUAAGUUGAGCAUUCAGUUGAGUAAGAAGUGAAGGCAAUUGAAUAAGUCGAGUACGAAGUCGGGUAUGAAAUAUGGUAAGUUGAGCAUUCAGUCGAGUGAGAAGUUAAGGCAAUUGAAUAAGUCGAGUAUCUAGUUGAGUACGAAGUCGGGUAUGAAGUUUGGUAAGUUAAGCAUUUAAUCGAGUAAGAAGUGAAGGUAAUUGAAUAAGUCGAGUAUCUAGUUGAUUACGAAGUCGGAUCUGAAGUCUAGUAAGUUGAACAUUCAGUUGAGUAAGAAGUGAAAACAAUUGAAUAAGUCGAAUAUCUAGUCGAGUAAAAAGUCGAGUAAGUAGAUUGAAUGAGUAGGGUAUUAAUUUUUUGUUGGCAUUUUAUUGAGGCUAUUUUUGUACUUUCUUUGGUUUUUUAAGUAUGUAUAUGCAAAGUACAGAUUUUAAUAGAUGGAUGUAUAUUUUGGGUAUUACGAGAGAAACGGGGUAUAUCCCACGCAAUUCCUUCGAAAACAUCUCUGUCAAUUGCAAUGAACAGAUCACAACCCUUCAUAAUUAAACAAAAUCAAACUUGAAAAAAAAAAUCACACACACACACACAAAACAAUCACAAAAACUAUUUGUUCUGAUCAUCCCUGCUUUUUUUUAGCGUAGCUCUUGGAAUGAAAAUUAACAAAAAGUGUCAAAAGAGAAGCAUUAAACACAGCAUUGAAGCACCAGCCCAAAAUCCCAGAGCAACCAAAUCCCGUAAAAUGAUAAUACAGCAUCAAAACCGAAACAACAAAACUAAACACAAACUGAACAAUCUAACAAUCAGUGACCAAUCUCUUCCACUUUGGCCGCAACCCCAUCACACACAAUAGAUAGUACCCGUACAUGAUCACAUGCACACUUGCAUUAGUCACAAGUGCAAUAGGAAACAAAGACUGCUUCGUCUGUAACCAAAGGUAGCACAUUACGACGACGGUUGCAUGGUGGUAGACGUGGAGGAACGUGAGCCAUUGGAUGGAUUUUGACAAAAUGAUCAAAAGGGUGUCUAAGAAUUCGAGUAUUUUGGAGAGGUAGAAGAGGUAAGCGUAGAAGAAGAGGGGGCCAGACGGAGAAAUGGUGGGGGGGAAACAGAGGGUGUAAUGGAGGUGGGGCAAAUGGACGAUGAUGGAGAGAGUGCAGCCAACGGCCAUGAUGAGGGAGAGGAGGAGGAGGGUGAGGUUAUGGACGGCUGUGAUGGGCUUGAGGAUGUGGGGUCCAAUGAGAGGUGAUGAUGAUGGUGAUGUUGAUGUUGAUAUGUGGUAGAGGAUGAAUGUGAGGGAGAGGUAAGUGAGGAUGGAGAGAAUGAGGAAGUGUGGGGAAGAAGCUAGUGUUUGGUUCUGAGUCCAUGUGAAGCUGAGGAUUUGGGGGUGGUUUACAAGACAAUAUUGGAGUGUUGAGGUGAUUGAAUUUGAAGCCAUGGCUAGUUUUUGGGGGAAGAAAGAUUUUGGAAGAGAUGAUGUUGAGAUGAACGGGGGAGUUUAUAAAGUUUUGGGAUAAUGUGGAGGGUAUUUUGGACAUAUUGUUGUCUCAGCUUAAAUUUUGGGAAAAAGAUGAUCAAUAAGAAGCUCUUUUUUUCAUAUCAAUUUAAAACUCCGACGGUGUUUCCAAAAAUUGUUUUUCUUUUUCCGUUUUUUAAUUUUAAAUCAUAAAUUUAGUAAAAGAAGUUGAAUCAAGUGAUCACUUUUUUUUUAAUGUAAAACAAUUAAUUUCUUUUGUGAUUUAAGCAAAUAUUGAGUUGCAUACUUUAAAUAUAUUAAUAUUUGAUUCGAAAUUUCAUCUACCGAAACUACAAAAAUUAAUAUUUUCUAUUAAAUCAAAACCAAAAUUAAAGAUGACUCCUUGUCUGCCAACUGUCAUUAAACAAAGCCAUCACUCACGUGAAAAAAAAAAGUGAUAUAUUCAUUUUAACGUAAUUUCAUACCAACAUAUCAUUCUUUUUUUUCCAAUAAUGACCUCUUUAAUUAUAAAAUAUGGUAAAAGGGGAUGGGUUCGAGGUAUGGCGUCCGGGCCUUUGUGACAACGGUAUCUUUGGACGUGGGUGUCGUUAGAUUUUUGGCUAUUUUCUGGUCAAUCAAACUGGUGGAUCACAUGCAUUUUAAUGACCUCUUUAAUUAUAAAAUAUGGUAAAAGGGGAUGGGUUUAAGGAAUGGCGUCCAGGCCUUUGUGACAAAGUUGGAUGUGGGUGUCAUUAGACUUUUGGCUAUUCUGCUCAAUCAAACUCGUGGAUUACAUGCACUCAACGCGGACAUUAUGGAAAUGGGAGAAAAUUAUGUUAGUAAUAGCAUCUUCAAAAGUUUCUAUACAUUUUACUCUUUAAAUAUUUAUUUACUUAUUUAUAUGAUAAAUAGAAAGGUAAAAAAAUAUAUUAUUCUCCAAAAAACUCUUCAAAUAAAAAUAAGUUAAUAUUAUUUUAAUCAAAUAAUUAUUUUUUAAAGGAAAAGUUAACAGCAAUUAAAGCACUUCUCUUUCUCUCUCUAAUAAAAAGUAAUAAAAUAUUAAUUGAAGUGUUUUUUAGAACCUUAAAUGUUGAUGUGACUCUUCAAAUAAGUAAUAAAAUCUUAAUUGAAGAGCCUUUUGGUGAUGGUUUAAAACCCACUGUUUCGUUCUAAACUAAGUGAAUUUAUCUCGUGAGCUAAGUAGUUUAGGAGAUAACUCAAAUAAUUAACUUUUUAUUAGUUUAAUAAUAAGAAUUUUCGAUUAUAUUUUAAAAGUAUAAUUCAUUACAAAAAAUUACUUAAUAAAAAUAACUGUUAUUUAACAUAUUACAUUUUUUCAAUAAUAAAAUAAUUCAAAUUUUUAAUUAUUAUAACAAAAAAAUUUGUAAUAUAAUCCAUUCAUAUACCACAUCACGUAAAAUGUAACCUAGUACUACAUGUAAUCUUGUUACUACUAUUCCUAUAAUAUUCUACCACAUCAUAUACUAUCAAAUUCCAUCCGGCAUGCCAAAUGUGCAAAGUUUGAGUAAGACUUGUUAAAGUUGAGUAACAUCUUAUAUGGCCAAGCGCAUUGAGUAUGGAUUUGCAUGAUCGAGUGAGUACAACUAAAGUCGGGUAGAGUCUGGAAAAUCCCUAUAAUGUUGAGGUUGGAGAACUAUACUUUUUAAGGUACAUAAUUAAACAAUUUUGGUAAAUAUUUACUAUUAUAACUUAAAAAUUAAUUUGAUUUGAUCUCAUAUAUUAUUAUAAUAAAAAAACUUAUAAUAUCUUUAUUAAUUUUAUUAAAAAUUAUUAUUUAGAAGUCAUAUAUUUAUUACACAUUGUCAAAUUUCAGCUUUUUGUUUUUAACAACAGCUAGUAAUAUCAAACAAGACCUAAGUUGAGUAUGAUCAAUUAAUUAAAAUUAUGAUUUUUUUUUGUAUAAAAUAAUCAUUAGAUAAUUAGUCUGUAAAGAAUAUCGGCUACUUCAAAUGGAAACUUGCGAUAAAAAAUGCAUCACAAAAGUAACAAUGACACACUAUAUAAGAAAUCUGAAAUAGAAUUUGCAAAAUUGAACUGAGUUACGGAGAGUAAAUAAGACUCCAAAGGAACAUGGCAAUUAUUAUUAUCUAGGAAACAAUUCAUAGCUAAAACAAAAUUAACUAUACUUGCCAGGAAAUAUGGCGAAUUCCACCACCUCCUACAAGUUCUUAGGUGUCUUAGAGUUUGAUGACGACUUCCAUGCUGUGUCUCUUCGACAGGCAGCAAAAUUGGGCAAUUGACUACAUUAACUCCAAGAAAUUUAUGCAGUCACCUUCCUCCGGACUAUCCUCUUUCUUUGAGCUUUGGUUGCCCCUAUUUCCCCUUCAAUAGAGUCAUCACUGUUUUGUUUGAAGCCAAGGAGCCCAAGAUCAGAAAAAUGGCAUUCUUUGGUAUCAAUCCCUCGAUCCCCAAGUCACGUCACUAACUUUCUGUUGAUCGCGUAGCUAGUUCAUGUAUGCCACAGCAGCGGAAGGUAGCCUGAAGAAGAAAAAACCUCUCUCUCUUUCUUGCUCAGUAACCACCUGGGCACUUUUGUGCUGAGCCAUGACAUCCUGAGAUGGCCUGUUGUGUAAGCCUUCUUCAAAAGGUCAUCUGUCGAUCUUUCUCCUAAUUAGACAUCCAAAACCCAGCAUGGAAUCCAUUUGAGAAGGUGGACAAUAGACAAACUCCAACGCAUACAGACAGUAAAGAAGAAUUUAGACCGCAAUCACUGUGGCUGAAUAAAUGGGCCUAUUAAGCCUAUUAAAAGUUGGAACCAUAUUCACCACUCGCAGUUCCUUAGAGAACUUUAUCAGAAUUCUGAAAAUUUAAAACUAUUCUUACAUAUUUAACUGUAAAACAAGAGAAAUUGUACUUCCGUAGCAAAGUCUCACUAUUGGUAAGUAUCUGGACUUGGAAAGGAUGCUAGUUGAUUAAGUAAAGGAAAAUUGAAAUCAGACUUUGAGGUGAUAGAUCUAUAUACACUUUAAUCGGAACCACAUUAACAUCAUAUGAGCCAAACAAACAAAUUCCCCAGUCAAAGUUCAACAAACAAAACAUUAAAACAAGAGUAAUUUGGUGUAUCAAUGUAUAUAUAGAGAUGUCGAUCAUUGACAAAUACGUAAAAGAGGGAGGGAGAGACCUCAAAGCCGUGCUUAACAACAUUGCUACUCCAAUAACUUCAAAAUGGUUGGCGACGUCUCUAUCAAAGCCACACAAUAGCUGAUAUCUCAUGUUUGCAUGUAGUCCAAUGAAAGCACCAUAACCAAGAACAUUAGUACUCACAGAUGGGUUUGUCACAGAUAACCUGUCAGGCAAUAAAAAUUGCCCAAAUUAAACAAAUGUUAGACCGGCUUAGACAGUAAACGGAACAAUAUUCUAAUUUUACUUUAUUUAUAACGAAUAAGUGAACAAAGGAAUGAAAAGGAAGUUUGGCAACAGUCUUUUUACCAGCCAGAUAGUUUGACAAAGAAUCUUGCACUGCUCCUGCAGCUAAUCCCACCAUACACAACUCUGCAGUCUUGUUUGGGAGUCAAAAUUCUCAAAAUGGGUAACUCUGUUCAAAUAUACUGUUUGGGAACUUUUGUAAUGUAUUUUGCAAGUCAAACAGGAAGGUAUUUCCAUAAGAAGGUUCACUUCACAUGCUCAACAAUUCAAAUUUGCGGAUGAUAUUUCUCAAAAUGGAGGGCUCUAUUUGGCUUGCCAACAAUCUUCCUCACCAUUAUCAUCCUUGCUAUACCGGUUAAACUGAACAGUCUUCAUUCUGACAUUUGCCCUAUUAACCUGAGUACACAAGAAUCCGAAACAACUGUUAGAAAUUAUAAUCUUUAUAUAUAGCCAAAAUGUUGAAUAAGAUGAUGUACUUGAUAAUAAAUACCUGAGUUAAUAAAUAAUUAAGGGGCCGGUAACAAUGUCAGCAUCUUAUCAAGUGGGGAAAGCCUACGCAACGAAGAUGCUGCCUGCUUUCAAGAAAUAAUAACUUUCCAAUUCCAUAAGGUAGGUUAAUGCCCUUUUAAAAAUAUCUCCACCAGCCUAACAAUUAUUCAUUGAAAUGUGUGAGUGUGAAUUCGAACGAAUUAAUCAAAUAUGAUGACACGAGAAAGAAAAUUAAAAUAACCACAAGAAGUAGAAAUAUACUUUUGUUAUAUUUAGUGCAUCUUCUGUGUGUGCUCAAACGCAAUGCCUCAAGGCGCAAGAUAAUUUUAUGACCAUCAAUCUUUUGCAGCCAUAUGCAGACUUGAAACAUUGGCGGUGGUUCUAAGGAACUUGAAAAUUAGAAAAGUUUCAAAAUGAGUGACUAAAUAUGAUAAUCGAAAUUAAUUAAAUAUACACGCCUUGUAAAUAUGAAACUAAAUUACUCAAAUGUAUGUGCCUCUUCGCAGCAAUUGCUCGUGGUGGAAACUUUACUGCAAAGACUUCCUCAAACCCUUGAAGAUCACACUCUUCCUGGCAACAAAGAAACAGAGUCGAUAUACGAAGAUGAUUUUACUAACAAGUGAGAGCUUGCAAAUAUUGGAAGGAUAACGAUUGCUCAUAACCCAAAUCCCCAAUACCCUCUAAUAUCUCACUCGAGUGAGUUCAAGCCCCCAAAAUUCACUACAGUGAAACUCUCGAAACAAAAUUCUCUUCAAAUAUUCUCAACUCAAAUUUGAUAAUGAUAUCUCUUGAAGGAAGGCAAAAAAUCUAACACUGAUCAAAUUGGCUUGUGAACAAUUAAUGUUCCUGGCCAUCAUUCAUACUAGGUGUGGCGAACAAUUAAGCUGCUUAGUAUCCUGAACCUGAUAACUUACACAAACAAAAACAACUUGCCUAAAGUUUAAUAUUUAGAGGCAGAACGGUAAAGAAGAAGAUAUAUAUUGAUACUAAAAUUUGACUUGCGUUACCCUGAUGUCAAGAAUAGCGGGAUCUCAUGUGGGCAAAAUCUUCGCAAUACGAGAUGCUUGCAAAAUUGAAGCAGCAUCUUAUCACCUGUAAUUUAAUUAAGAUAAUAACUUUCCCCGACUAUUUCAAUGCAUUAUUGGCAACUAAAUUCAGAGGGCGCUAAUUAAAUACCCUUUUAACAAUAUCUUCUUAUUCUUCUCUAAUCUAGCAGUUAUUUGGAAAAUCUAAAUGACAGUCAUGCAUCAAUGGCGUCAAAAUUUGGCUACAAAGCAGCCUACAAAAGGCUUCACCCUCUGAAUGAGAGCAUGAAUUCGAAUAAUAUGAUGAAUGAAGAAACAAAGGCAUAAUACCACAAGAAGUCAAACUUUUCCCCAGAGCUCUGUUUCUGUUUGUGCUAAAGCAAAUGGAAACCAGUGGAAAUGAAUUUCUAUGAACUAGACAUAUCAGCCAAAACAGGUACUCUGUGCAAGCAAAGUAAAAAAGAGUUACAAACAAAUUUAAGAUUGAUAUGAUAAUUAAAAUUUCAGUCACCAUAUAAUUAAUAGAAAACUUUGUACACAAUGAUUUAUUGCAUAUUAAGAUUGUAUACCUAAAUUUUAAUUGCUAUGCAAAAUAUGAUAUUAGCAUUAGGAGACCGCACCAAAACGUACCGUAUUGAAUGUGCCUUUUCACAACCAUUGUACAAGCUUUGAAGCUUUGGCACAAAUGCUUUUUCAAACCCAUGAACAUGAUGCACCCGAGAGAUGCAAGAUAUGAAAUUGUUACAACAGCAGGCAUUGAAACAUUUGUUAAGAAAGGAAGUUUAUGAAAAUACGCCUUAACAUUCAUUAGAUACAUGUCUUCAGGAAUCAAUUCAUCUGUAAUAACAAUUUUCAAAGAGCAUUAACUGCUUUAAGCCCCUCAACAUCACAGAGAUCUUCAAUUAAAAUAGCGCAGAUCCGGCCAUCACUAUUACUUCUACUGCUCUUUCGCUUUAGAGAACGCUUGAAUUACAGAAUGCAUGUAAGGCUUUCUUGUUUAAGGUCCAGCAAACCUUGCACAAUAACAACAGAGGCAGUGGUUCCAUUGCCAGCCUAAUCCUUGGUCUCACCAAUGUUCUGCACGAGUAGGAAAUCAACCUUAAAAUUAAGAAUGAGUUGCAAAAACUGUUUAUGGCCCUAAAGAACUUGAAAAUCGGAAAUGAUUAAGAAUGAGUGAGUAAACAUUUUAAUCGAAUAAACAUACAAAACUUGAAAACCUAACAUUGAAGUACUCUGAAUGAAUGUGCAAUUGCACGAGCUGGUGACAACUGACUUUACUGCAAAGGCUCUUUCAAACCCUUGGAGAUGAUAAAAAUAAAAAUGCAAUGCUUGAGCUUGAGCUUGAGCUUGUUUUAACAUCAUCAUAGUAGGGAAUUUUGAUAUAUCUUUACUUCUCUGUGGUUCAAUCAUUUACUUCUCUGUUCUUGUUUAUUCACAACAAGAUAUCAAUAGAAGAAGAUGGAAAUGAAAUUCUAUAAAAUAAAGCAAGUGAAUUACCAGCAGAACAUUUUAGCAAUCCUUUGGCUAAACUUUUCAUUUUCUUAGCAUACUCUCCUGCCUGCAUCAUUAAAACCAAAUUAGAUUGGACCUGUGAAUUGCUAGUGUGGUUCUGACAUUUCCUCGAAUCCCUGGUGAACAUAAUUAAACGCGUAUGAAAUAAAACAAAGUGGGCUAAUGUACUACUAAAAACAAUUACACAAUUACUUUAAAGAAUUAAUGUCACAUAAAUUAUAUAUAAAAAAAUAAGAUUAUCAUUAUACAAGAUAAAAUUGAUAAUUUAUUUUUCAACAUUACUGCAAAUGUAUUACAGAGAUUUUGUCUCUCAGGAAGUUACACAUAACAAAUUUUCGUACAUUAAAAAAUAAAUUACAUUGGGAUUUUCUAUGAUGUUGUAUGCAAUUUUACAAAAGAGCACAUAUUUUUUAAAAGUAAAUAAAUAUAGAAAUUUAAACAGACUACACUUGUAUUUUUUUAUUAUUUAAUCUUUAGAAAACAAGUUUAACAGAAUUGAUAACUAGGAAGUUUUACAUAUUAUUUCAUUGCAAGCAACAACGAAGUAAAUCAGAGGAGGAGGAGAAAUUACCGGCGAGUGAUAUCUUACGGCUACCACGUGAUGUGGGGAAUGUGAGAUAUCUUCUCCUUUCCCCUCUCUAUGACGGUUUUCCAAAAGGGGACAUCCCCAAAUUGUCAAUUUCUGCAGCGUCGUCGUUCGAAGGAGGUAAUCCGGCAGCACCUUUAAUUUGGGGCAAUCCCCAAUUAGCAGGGAAGAAAGACGUGGUAUGUCUGUUGUCCUGCGAUCUUCUAGAAUGGGCAGUUCUUCCAAAUUUUUACAAGAAUAAAUACUCAGUUCCUGCAGCGUCGUCGUCCGAAGAAGGUAAUCCGGCAGCACCUUUAAUUUGGGGCAAUGCUCAAUUUCCAAGGAAGAAAGACGUGGCAUGAUGGAGAUGUUUUCCUUCCUCGUAAUCCUGUAAUUCCACUCUUCCAAUUCAUCCAAGAACCAAAUUUUGAGAGAUUUCAAUUUGGGGAAGGCAAUAACUGAUGAUGACGAUGAAGAUGAAGAUGAGUCGUCCUCACCGCUUUCUUUUAUUCCCAAAAACUCAUUACCCACUCUUUUUACACUUUUCAAAUUGCAUAGGAUGAGUUUUUCCGGAGGCAAUUUUCCCAAAGGAGGCAAAUGCUCACAGUUAAAACACAAGGAAAGAUAUAAAUUCCUUAGAUUGGUUAGUAAAGUCAACCAUUUGGGAAAAAUGACGCCUCCAUAGGAUUCAAUCCCUAAUUCCUCUACAUUCAAAGGCGGUUGUAAGGCUUCAAGAAGUUGUUUAUCUUUCUCGUUCUUCCUCCUCCCUUCUUCGCCUUCCCCAUCUACGACUCCACCAAACACAAGACGCAAACGAAGGAGGUUUUUCUUAUUGUAAAGUUGUAACCUCUCAACCUCAUCUACAUGCGAUACAUUACUCAGCCCUUCUAUACUACAUUUACCACGGAGUUGAAGAUUUUUCAGAGAUUCAAGCCUACAUGUGCUGCCGCCAUCAACACCUCCACCCACAACAAACUUUUCUAAUGUUCGAAGGCUGGUCAAUCUGGAAAUCCCUAUUGGAAACUCCUCAUGUUCUUUAACUUCCCAAUCCCGGCUGGCAAUUCUCUAAGAUAUUUGCACCGCCUAAUAUCUAGCUUUUGUAAAUUAUAUAAUUCACACAAAGUCUCAGGUAGUCUCGCUAUAUAUAAUUUAGACAACUUAAGAUAUUAAGAUAUUUUAAAUGUAUCAAUUUUCCAACAUUAUUUGGAAUUUCUGUAAUCCAAUUUGUGCCUUCAUACAAAAGCUUGAUCGAUUGCCUUAUAACUAAUGCCCUUAAACAUGCCAAUUUAUUAAAUAACUCCCGAAGGAUGCUAUUAUUAAGAGACGGAUUGAAAAAACCUUCAUCAUAAAUUAAUAGGGUACGCAAUCUAUUAAGUCCAUAAAUGGUCAUAGGAAAUGAAGCUCCUCCUCCAAAAUUUAACCGUAAGUGACGGACUUUGUCACCAAAAAAUUUUAUGACUGAUUCCUUGGUACCAUUAAUUUCUAGCCACAAACAUUCUUUGCUACUUACAAAUUGGGCAAAAUCAUGUACUAUGUCAUGCAUCUUACAACUCGUGAAAUCAUCAUCGUCCUCAUAUAUUUUAAACUCUUGAAAGAAAGAGUGUGUUGCUAAGAUGUUGAAAUACUCUUCUCCAAUCAUCUCCAUUUCUUCGUCUUCUUCUGCAUUAAGGUAACCUUGAGCCAUCCACAGAUCAAUCAACUCCUCUUUAUCCAUCACGUAGUCUUUUGGAAAGACAGCACAAUAUGAGAAACACCGUUUUACCAUAGAAUUGGAGGGCAAAUCGUUAUAACUCAACAACAAAGGAGCCAAAAGACCUUGCCCAAUCUCUUCUACUUUCCACAUUUCACUCUCUAAAAUUCUUUGCCACUCUUUUACUGUACUUUUAGAGCGCAAGAGAUUCCCUAUUACCUUUGCAGCAAGAGGCAGGCCUUUGCACUUACAUGCAAUUUUUCGCCCGAUUGGUUCUAAUUUUUCACAAUCCUCAAAAGAACGACCGAAAAAUGCUAACUGCUUGAACAAUGACCAGCAUUCCUCUUCAACCAAUUGCUUGAUGGAGAUAAUAUUUGUUGAUCCCAUCAUACGUGCAACUAACUCAUUACGUGUGGUAACCAAAAUUUUACUUCCGUGGAGACCAUUUUUUAGACAACGGAAGAAUGGUUGCCAUUUAUUGUAAUCCCCAUCCCAUACAUCAUCUAAGACAAGAAAAUUUUUUUUUCCUUUAAUUGAACUCUGGAUACGGCUCAUAAGAGAUUGGAAUUCGUUUAAACCAGAAGCUGACUUCCCUAGACCUUCAAUGAUUGCUUUGGCAAUCCUAAUCUGAUCAAAAGUGUCCGAUACACACACCCAUAUAACUUUUUCAAAAUUUCUUUUCACCUCAUCAUUAUUAUAGGCUAGUUGUGCAAGAGUGGUUUUACCUAUACCCCCUAACCCAACCAGUGAAAUGACCUGAAGGCCAUUUUGUUGUUCACUACUUUCACACAACAACUUGCUUAAGAGCUCACUUUUCUCAUCAACCCUACCGCAAACCUCUCCCUCAUCAAUCAAGGACGUGGUUCGCACUCUCUCUGGUUUCUUAACAUUGUUACUCACAUUCUCAACUAAUUUGAAACUAUCUUUUUGUCUGGCAAUAUCAUCUAGCUUUUCACUGAUUUCUCUAAUCUUGACAGCAAUAUCAUGACGAAGACUGAGUUGUUUGAAACCACCAAAGCAGUUUGAGGCAGCAGGAAAGAAGAAACAUACCUUCGUCAAAAAAGUAACAAAAGCACCGUCGUUAUCAUCAUAAUCAUCAUCGCCUCCCUCAUCAAGCUGCAAUUUCCGUGUUUCAGUGAUCCACUCUUCCAACACAUCUUCCAUGUCGUAGGAUGCGUCUCUGAGCUGAUCCAGCCAAAAAGUAACAGCUUUGUCCUGCUUCAUUUGCCUCUGCUCUGCAUCUUCCAGCACAGCUUGAAUGGCUUGAAGAUUGGUGGUAAGCUUUCCCACUUCUUGUUCGACACCCGUCACAAGCCUCCACUUUUCUUUCACCUGAUCUUGAGCAAUGGAUUUCAGCUGGUCCAGGAGAGGGGAAACGAUCGCAUGAGCCAUUCUGAUAUUAGAUCAAAUGGUAAAUGCUGCAAUUGCUUUUCUUUCUAAACUGCUCAGAGGAAAGUAGCUUUUAUGUAUUCUGUGAGAAUGCUCAUUCAACCAUGUUUGCAUUCUUCUUAUACUAAUAGGAGAUUUAAUUUUUACCCUCAAGUCAAUGUCAAUGUGAACGUUCUUUUGUGCUGCAAAUUGAAGGAGUCCCCACAGGAGUCACCGUCGUGGUUACUUGCUGCUCUUAAGAUAAUUAGUAACAAAAUAUUUGUAAACUGCAACAAAAAGCUCAGUGCAAUCUAUCUAUGAAUCUUGUGAGUUCACAUAUAAUACAGUCGAUUUAGAAUAGUCAUAAAUUUUUUUUAUUAUAAAUAUUAGUAUAUUUUUAAUGGUAUAAUAUAUAUCGAUGAAACUAUAUAGAGUAAUUUCGCCUAAUUGUAUAAAUUCAUUACGAAUAUCAUCACAAAUUUGUAUUUGGUCGGGACCGUGCGAGUGAAAUUUUUGAUAAAAUCGUCUCCUGACAAUUUAUUUAUUAUAUUCCAUUCCUUUUAUUAUCAGGUAGGCCAAAGCCAUUUGGACAUUUGAAAAAGUAUGUGAUUCUGUUUUAGUCUAUUAUGUCACGACAAAAAGAGAAUUGGAAAAUGUAACAUUCUCAAAUUAAUUUGUAGUGGAAAAGAGAAAAAUAAGACAAAAGUUGGAAAAAUCAUGCAGCCGACCCUUUUUUUUAUCUGAUUGCGCAAUAUUAGGUAGGCGAAUGCGACUUCAUCGAUAUCACACAGCAGUGGUUCUGUCAUUAAUUUUUUUCUUUUAUUUAAUUAAGAAAAGGAAGAAAAGAUAGCACAUGUUAUGAUUAUUGUGAAUUUUCCAUCCCUUAUAUAAAUUCUCAAAUUUAUUUAAAUUGUGAGUCAUAGAAGUAUAUUACCUAAACUAUUUUAUCAGGCCAUGUUCGGAUACUAGGAUUAAGUAUGGAAUUGGACUAAUUUUGUGAUUAUAUUUUAUAUCAAAUUUGGUAAGCUUAAUUGAAUUGGACUAAGGGACUAAAUUUAAGUUUAAUCCUAAAAUUAUGGGAUUAAUAAUCCUAAUUUACACAUUCCUUUAGUUGGGACUUGGGAUAAGAUUAAAGAAAAAAAGUUAUCCAUUUAUGAGACUUUAAUUUAUGUCAUUAUUUUUUAUUUAUACUUAAUAUUAAUUAAUUUAUUAAUUUAUUUUUAAUUUAUGAUUUACUUAAAAUUUAUUUUUAUUUAUUAUCUAUUAUCUGGUUAAAUUAGAACUUUACUUCUACUAACUCUUGCGAUUAAUUUUUCAUUACUUGCGUAUUUGAUAAUUUGCCAAUAAAAUUAACCAUUUAAUAAUUUCUUGCAUUAUUGAUUGUAUUAAAUUUAAUAAUCACUAAUAUAAUAUUAAAAAUAAUCAUGAAAAUUAAUAAUACCUUCAAUUAAUUGAUUUUAUAUACUUUUUUUAAAUAUUUGAUAAGAAGUUGAUAAAAAUUAAUUAAGGAUUUAAAAUUUUAUUCAUUUUUUAUUUAUUUAUUUUAUCAUGAAUACCCAGUAUCUUACAAUAUAAUUAAUUUUCUUAUUCAGACUACUCAGCAUCAGCUCCUGUAAAAUUUCUUACAUUAUAAGCAACAAAAUAUUUAUAAACUACAACAAAAGGCUUAGAUCAAUCCACCGAUGAACCUUUUGAAGUUAUAUAUAAUAUAUUAAUUGUUGAUCUAGAAUAGUCUUAGUGGAUAGAUUUUUUUAAUUAUAAAUAUUAAUAAAUUUUUUAUCGUUUAAUAGAUAUUGAUGAAAUUAUAUGGAGUAAUUUCGCCUAAUCAUAUUAAUUCAUUAUGAAUUUCAGCACAAAUUUGUAUGUGAUCGAUCUGGACCGUGUAAGUGAAAUUUAUUUACUAUAUUUUUCAACUUGGCCGACAACAUCUUUUUGUCAGGUAGGCAAAAGCAAAAGCCAUUAUCUCAUUAAUUGAUUUGGUCAUUUGAGAAUGUAACUCUAUUAUGCCGUGACAAACUCCAAGAUCUAAUUUAGAGAGCGACCCAAAUAAUGGUAAUUAGUAAUUUAUUACAUCUGCAGUUAGAUAGAUACUUUGUCUGGGAAAAAAAUAAAAUCAGUUUUAUAAUGAUUUUAAUUAAUUCAUUUGGUCAUUUGAAAAAGUUGUGGCUCUGUUUUAGUCCAGUGUCAAUAUAUAACUUUAUUAUGUCAUGACAAACUUUAAAAUUUAAUUUAGAGUGUGACUCGAAUAAUUUUAAUUAGUAAUUUAUUAUAUCUACAGUCGGAUACUUUGUUGAGAAAAAAAAAAAUAAAAUCUGUCCCAUAAUGAUUUUAAUAAAUAUCAUACUAUUGUCUACGGACUUACCUCAUAUUACAAAGAAUUAAAAUAUGCGAAAGAUAACUAAGGAAUAAAAUUUUUCCACAAUGAUUUAUAAAAUUGCUUUUGAAGAACGGUUAUGAUAUUAUAUUAAAUUACUAAGAAUUUAGUUAACCUCUCAAGAAGUCUAUUUGGUUGACUUCUCGAGUUUAAAAUUCGAAUGUCAAAAAAGAUAAAAGGUUAAAAAAAUAUUUUAAAUAUUAUCCACCCUUUUACUAUUUUAAUAUACAAAAAGAAGAAUUACUUGUUUUUAACAAUAGCAACCGGGGGCAUAAUAUAUCUGAUGGAUUUUUUUAAGGAACAAAACUUAUUAUAUCUCCUAUCAAAAAUGUCAUUUUUGUUAGUAAAAGGAUAUCUAUAUCUCCAAAUUUUGGAAAAAUGGUUACCAGCGCUUCCAAGUCCUAAAUUUUCAAAAAGAGACACUAAAACUCAUUUUUUACUACAAUACCCUUUACUUUUAUUAUCCCAAAAGUUAACUUUAAUUUUUUUUAUAAUAAAUAGAAAUAUAAUAUUAAAAUAAAUGUAUUAAAAUUUAAAUUAUUAUGAAAAAUAAUAAUUUUAAUAUUAUUAGUAUAUGAGACUUUUUUAAUUGUAAAAUGUAUUUAAUGCAAAUAUUUAUUUAAAAUCUCUAGAAUAAAUACAAAUAUAUUAUUAAAAUAAAUAUAAUAAUUUACAUAUUUAAAUUUAUUUUAAUAUUAUUAAUCUACUACAUAGAUUACAUUAUUUAUAUAAUAUUUGUGUUUACUAAAAAUUUGCAAGUUAAAUUUUUCGGGAUACUAAAGGUAAAGAGUAUUAUGGUCAAAAGAGAGUCUUGAUGUCAUUUUUAGAAAACUUGGGGUGUUGGUGACUAUUUCUCCAAACCAUGGGGAUAUAGAUAUCCUUUUCUCUUUUUUAUUUUAAACAAGUGGUGACUAAAGAUUAAACUGUCAUAUAUUCACAAGAUAUUCACCACAAAAUUUGUAGGAAAUUUCUUCUUCCCUAAGCGGAAAAUACAAAACAAAAACAUAAUUGGCAAUUUCACUAGCAAAACUAAUAAUACUUUUGUUCCAUAUCCAGGGGUAGAGCUCGGGGUAAAUCUUCAUGACGCCCAAAUUCAAAUUUCAAGUGUUAGCUGGGAAUUAAUUUUAGACAAUUUUAUUUAUUUAUUUAUAGCUAGUAUGUAAUUGUUAGGUAUUUCAAAAUUUGAGAAUUUUGUGAUUCUGUGAGAAUGUUGAUUCAAGCAUGUUUGCAUUCUUCUUAUAAGUACCAUAGGAGAUAUUUAGUUUUUACCCUCAAGUCAAUGUCAAUGUGAACGUUGUUUUGUGCUGCAAAUUAAAGGAGUCCCCACAGGAGUCACCGAUUUGCUUUGAGAAUUUUGAGAAUUAUGUUUUGCGAGUGAAAUUGCCAUUUUGUCAUAAUGGAAUUUUGCUUUCUGAUCAAUAAUUGAGAAUUUUGCUUGUAGCUACAGGCUGCAGCGAUUUUGAUUUGACGGCUUUGAUUCAUAAUUGAAGUUACUGUUGCAAGUAAAAACUAAAAAAAUUAACAAAAUAAAAAUCAAAGACUUAGGUCCAUGUUGCAAGUAAAAACUAAAAAAAUUAACAAAAUAAAAAUCAAAGACUUAGGUCCAUGUUUUAUCAAAAUUUUAAUAAAAGGCUAUUUGUCAUUUUGUCAUAAUGGAAAAAUGAUUAACAAAAUAAAAAAAUCGAAUUUACUUGAUUUUAUUUUACAAAAUAUAAAUUAAAUUUCUAUUAUAUGUAUAAAGUUUAUACAUCAAGUGCUUAGGGGUCAAAUCAAUCUUUUUAUACCUAAUUUUUAAUAUUUUACUUCGAAACCUCAAAAAUUUUUAAAGUUUGUUGGGUCACAAUCCCCGCUAGGAGUGGGCAAAUUUGUGUUCAUAUCAACUUGAAUAGGUUUUGGGUUGAUUAGGCUAGAACUGGAUCAGAUCAAAAAGUAUGAGAGAAAUUAAUUGAGCUUCUCCCAAGAAAAAUACAUACAGAUGAUUGAUAUAUAACCAUUAAAUAAUAAAUAUGUUAGACUUACAUUUAUUUUUUAGCCCUAAAAGUAUGAAAAAAUUAAUACUUUCCGAAUUUAUUUUUUGUACCGUAAAGAAUCAAAUUACUCACAAAAUUAUUUUUAACUUUCAUCAUGCAAACAAACAAAUCAUCAUCAAUUUCAAUAGAAAGAAGUAGAAUAUGAUGUAUUUAGGACUUCCUACUCUAUUAGCUAGGUUAAUAACAUGUUAAUUGUCACAUCAUUAAUUUUAGAUUAUAAAUUUUAUAUUCAAACUUUGUAUGACUGCUCCUUUUUCAAUGAUCUAAUGUUAGAGUGCAAUUUAUGCACUAGUUUUGCAUUGUUUACUUCCUUUAAUAUUGAUAUUUUACACUUAAUAAUAGUGAUUUACUUGUAUUUUAUUUUUGUAGGUGCAAUUCUAUUGAUUGGUGCUAAAAUUGAGAUACAAGAUGAUGUUUAAGGAUGGUUGUUCUCUUGGAUAAAUUAUGAGUGUCAGAAGAACUUUGUUGAUAAGGCGUGGGCGCGUGCUGUCAACUACGGACCUGCAGUUUUUAGUUUAAUGUGUUUUGUAUUUUUGGUUAUUUUUGUAAUUAUGAAUUUAAUGUUUCAGAUAUUAGUAUUUUAUUUUAAAUAGAACUCUAGAGGAGAAGAGAGGGAGAGUAUUUAAGGGAGGAAUCUAUUGUGAAAAAUGUGAGAGAUUGGAGAAAAAGAAAGAAACCCUAGAUCUAAACUUUUCUCUUCUCUCUAUGAAGAACUAAACCUAUUUUUCUAGUUGAAGGUUAAUGAAGCUUUGAUUCAUCACUACUGUGAGAUCUUUCUUAUGCUUUAAUUGUUUUAUUGCUUUUUGGGUAUUUGUUUAUUUUUUGAAUUAUUUUCAUGAUUAUGUUUGUUAAUUAGGUAAUUGGACACUAUUUAAUUAUCAACUUAAUCUAUUGUCAAUUCAAUGAUUCAUCGUAUGAAGAUUUUAAUGUUUGUGACAAAUAACAUAGCAGUGAGUUGUAUUAUGAGAAUAAACAAUCUAAUUUAAAUGAACCAUCGUAUGUGUUUGUUGAUUAGGAUUUGGGUCUCUCUGGUUUUUCAGGCUGUCAAUUGAUAUAAUCUUAUGAUUGUAUUUAGGGUUGUCUAUUGAUUAGGGAAAUAACCAACGGUCGUACCUUGGUUAUCGACUAGUUAAGGAGAGAUUGGCUAUUAGAGGGUCUCAGUAGCUAUAACCGGUGUAUUCAUAAGUAGUAAUAAUUUAUAUUUGAAUCAAUGAUUAGUAGUCGAAUCAAGCUCAGUUAAUUCCUUCAACCAAAGCUUUCUCCAAUUUGAAUUACAACUUUAAUUUGCAUUCUAGUUAUUUUAAUUUGAUUUCUAUUAUUGUCAACAACUCCCCCAUUUUACGUUUUACAUUUUAAAAGGAUUUAAAUAAUUACCGAUCUCUGUGAACACGACCCUGCUCAAUCAUUAUACAUAAUUUAUUUAGAGUAUGUAUUUAUUUUUGCUGUCUUCGACAAUCAUCAAAUUUUGGCGCCGUUGCCGGGGAUUGGUGUCGUUUAUUUAAUCCUUUUUACAUUUUACUUGGUGUAUGGUUCAUUCUUCUCGUACAGGUACACUUUCGUUUGAUCCUGAAAUUGAGAAGACAGCUCGCCAGCUGAGACAGCAGACGAAGCAAGCUAAGCAACGAUUCUCGUCGCCUUUGCUUUUUGAAACAGAUACAGUGUCUGAUUUGAUUGAAUCAUCUAGCGAUUCAGAAGAACAAGUGAUGGAUAGAGCUGCACCUGUAGAAAGAACUCUUAAAGAGUUAGCUGAACCAGACUUGAAUCAGCAACCACUCUGCAUUCAAUAUGUAGACUUGGAGGUAAAUUUUGAAUUAAAGUCUGGUCUUAUUAAUUUAUUACUCAAGUUUCAUGGUUUUGCAGGUGAAGAUCAUCAUAAACAUCUCAAGGAGUUUCAUGUUGUGUGCUCAAGUAUGAGGCCACAAGGCGUGACUGAAGAGCAGAUUAAGCUGUGUGCUUUUCCGUUCUCUGCAGAUGGGCUAGCUAAAGACUCGUUGUACUACUUGCCUCCUGGAUUGAGUACAACGUGGAAUGGUUUGAAGAAGCAGUUCCUUGAGAAGUACUUUCCUGCUUCAAGAGCUGCCAACAUCAGAAAAGAUAUUUGUGGGAUCAGACAACUUCCUGGGGAGAUUUUGUAUGAGUAUUGGGAGUGAUUCAAACAAUUGUGUGCCAGCUGUCCUCAGCAUCAGAUUUCUGAUCAACUUCUUAUUCAAUAUUUUUACGAAGGACUGUCAUUGAUGGAUAGGAGUAUGAUAGAUGCUGCUAGUGGAGGCGUGUUGGUGAACAAGACCCCUACUCAAGUAAGGGAGUUGAUCUCAAAUAUGGCUGCCAAUGCACAACAAUUUAGCAGCAGGCAAGAUCCCACUUCAAAGAAGGUGAAUGAGGUAAAUAUUUCUUCUGUUGAACAACGUUCAGAUAAACUUACUUCUCUUGUGGAAAAGUUUGUUUUAGGUAAUGUACAAUAGGUGAAGACUUGUGGCAUCUGUUACAAUAUGGGUCAUUCAACUGAUAUAUGUCCUACGCUUCAAGAAGAACCCGUUGAACAAGCCAAUGUAGUUGGAGGAUUUCCAGGCAAGCCUCAGAAGAGGUAUGAUCCUUAUGCACAAACAUACAAUUCAGGGUGGAAGGAUCAUCCCAACUUCAACUAUGGAGUUAGGCCGUCAGGAUUCCCACAACAGUAUCCACCAAGACAACCAGCACCUCCACAGUCAAACUCCAAGUCAGGUAUAUCUCUUGAAGAAAUUGUUAAAUCACUUGCAACUAACACUCAACAAUUUCAGCAGGCAACUACAGCAAGCAUUCAGAAUUUGGAGAACCAAAUGAGUCAAUUGGCCACUACAAUGAGCCGUCUGGAGUUUCAAGUAUUAGGGAGAUUGCCUUCACAAUCUGAGGUAAAUUUAAAGCAAAACGUUAGUACUGUCAUCCUUAGAAGUGGGAAGGAGUUACAAGAGCCUAGUAAGAAAGUGACAAAGCAUGUAGAAGAUGAGCUUGAGAAGAAUGAAUUGAUGCCUAAAUCUCAAGAUGCGCAACCCACCAAAGCGAAACCCCUACCUAUUGUGAUACCUCCUCAUUUUCUAAGCCGGUUUGUAAAAUCCAAGAAGGAGGAACAAGAGAAAGACAUCCUUGAGACAUUUCGCAAGGUUGAGGUAAAUAUUCCUUUAUUAGAUGCUAUAAAACAAAUACCUCGAUAUGCUAAAGUUCUUAAGGAACUGUGCACCUCCAAGAGAAAAUUAAGAGGAGAUGAAAAAGUUCACAUGGGGGAGAAUGUUUCAGCAGUUCUCCAAAAGAAAGUACCUCCUAAGUGCAUGGAUCCAGGUAUGUUUACUAUCCCUUGUAAAAUUGGUAGUGUUAGAGUUGAAAAUGCUAUGUUAGAUCUAGGAGCUUCUAUUAAUGUCAUGCCUCGUUCCAUUUAUUCAUCUUUGAAUGUUGGUCCAUUGAAAAAAACUGGCAUGAUAAUUCAACUAGCUGAUAGGUCUAAUGCAUAUCCUGAUGGGGUAUUAGAAGAUGUCUUAGUACAAGUUCAUGAGUUGGUUUUUCCUGUUGAUUUUUAUGUACUUGAUAUGGAAGAGGAUAACUCCUCUAAUUCUUUCCCAAUUUUGCUAGGAAGACCUUUUCUUAACACUACUAGGACUAAAAUGGAUGUACAUAAAGAGACUCUCACUAUGGAGUUUGAUGGAGAGGUUAUAGAAUUCAAUAUGAAUGAUGCCAUGAAAUAUCCUAAUGAGAAACAUUCGGCAUUUUUUGUGGAUGUUAUUAACCCUAUAAUGCAGGAAGUUUUUUACAAGGAAAAGACGAAGAAAUUUCAUGAUAGAAUGAUUUUGAGAAAGGAGCUCUCUGUUGGUCAAAAAGUUCUUUUUUAUUCUAAGCUUAAACUUUUUCCGGGUAAAUUACGUUCUUGCUGGGUUGGACCUUUUAUUAUUACUAAUGUUUUUCUUCAUAGUGCAGUUGAGAUUCGGAGUCCGACCUCUGACAAAGUUUUUAAGGUUAAUGGUCAUUGGUUAAAACCUUUUUAUAAAGGUUUUUCGGUGAAUAUUGUGGAGGAUAUGGCUCUCAAGAGUCCCAAUUAUGGAGAUUGAUGCAUAAAUGUGUCUAACCAAAGACAUAAAACAAAGGCGCUUUUUGGGAGGCAACCCAAAUGAUUUAUUUAUUUUGGUUUUUGUUAUAUCUUCUUUUCAUUUUGAUUCAGAUUUUUUAAAAAAAAUAAUGUGUUUGCUUAUUUUGGCCAGAAGAAAAUGUUUGAUAAGGCGUGCCCACGUCUUAACUAAUAAGUACUUCUGUGAUUUUUAACGUAAAAUGGUUUUAAGGCGUGCGCACGUGCUUAUUAAAAAAGUACUUCUGAAAUUUUUAGUGUCUCAAGUGAUACAUCACUAAAAAAAAAAUUAUUUUAUUUAUUUAUUUAUUUGAAAAUUAAAAAAAUAAAAAAAGUUUUUUUUCUUUUCUUUCUUUUAUAUUUUUAUUUAUUUGAAAAAAAUUUAAAAAAUGAAAAAAUAAAAAAAAAGUUUUUUCUUUUUUUCUUUUAUAUAUUUUAUUUAUUUAUUUAUUUGAAAAAAAAUUUAAAAAAUAAAAAAAUUUUACUGUUCACAAAAUCCCUAAUUCACAGAAUUAGUGUUCUUCUCCAGCCGCUCCAGCCUUCACCGAGCAGCCACGCAGCACCAGCUCCAUCCCCAGCGCGCAGCAUCAUCCCCAGCCCGCGCGCAAGCAACCAGCCCCAACCCGCGCAGCACAACCAUCUGCGAAUAACCUGAACCAACAGCCGUGUACCUGCAAGCUCCAGCCGAGCAGCAACCAUCCGCAGCCGGCCUACGCCCUGCAUUCUAGCCGCGUGAAUCAAAAUCCGUGAGUUCAAUUAUUGUAACAAUGCCGAAGAGGAAAGCAUCAACUUCCAAGUCAUCUAAAAAGACACUCGUCGCAAAGAAAUCCAAGAUUUCCGCUCCCACUACGGUUCCAUGGAACACAGUUUUAGAUUCACGCCAAGCCGUGAGAUAAAGAUCGAAACAUGGAAAAGGCAUGAGUGUUUUGCCACUUGCGGAAUCCAAUCUCAGAGGGUGCCUCACAUUCACGACUCAACAAGAGAAAGAAAUGUACAAAGAUAUUUCCAAGCGAAAAAUACUUCCAGCUAAGUAUAUUCAUUACCCGACUCUUGAAAAAUUGAAUGUCAAGAAUAGUUUUGAUUCUUUGAUAGAUAAGAUUGGUUUGCGUAAGUUUGUUGAUGUUGAUUGUUUGGGUUAUGUUGAGUUGAUUAGGGAGUUCUAUGCUACUUUUCAAUUUAAUAUACUGAAUGAUUUUACUUUGCAUACCUCAGAUGUUAUAAAGUUUAGGUUAAUGGGACGAAAUUUUUCACACUCUAUCACGGAUUUUAACCUAGUUUUAGGAUUCAUUGAUGAUGAUUAUUCUUCUAGUGAUGUAUAUUUAGGGACAACUUGUGACUUUAGCGAAAAUUUUGAGCCUUAUGGUCUUUGGCGUAAUUUAUCUGUUGAUCACAAUGCCUAUGACCCAAGUAAAUCAAAGAGUUCUUUCUUACGUGAUCCUGUUUUGAAAUGUAUGCAUCGGUUCUUAGCAUAUAAUUUUUUAGGAAAGAAAGAUCACUCAAGAGUUUUCUCUAAAACUGAGUUUUGUUUUAUCUGGUGCAUAUUAAAUGAUGUGAGGCCUAACUUAGGUUUUUGGUUAGCAGAUCAAUUUCAAAGUGUGCUUAAACGGUAUAGGACUUUAUUUCUUGGUUCAUACAUUACUCUGUUAGUUAUAAACUUAUGUGUGCUUGAUCAUGACAACAAUGAUUUAUAUCCUGCUUGCAAAAAGAAAUUUUUGGAUAUGUCUGUGUUUGAAAGAACAGGUGUGGUCGAAUUCAAGGAGGGGAAAUUUCAGUUUACUGAACCAGGACCCACCCAACUUCCAAAGAAGUUUUAUACUAGGAGUGGUGCUACCUCUGAUGACGAGUUUGACGACGAAACUGCGGCCCCACCAACUAUUCCUUUUACAUCCGCACAACCUUUGAGCAUUCAGUUAGAGAAAAUGGAGCACAAGCUGAACAAGAUGGAGCAGAAUUUGGCCUCAUACUUCGAGAGUGUGGGAUUUAUCCCACCAUUUCCACUAAGCCCAUAGACGUUAUGAGGAUCAAAGCUCACAAUUCAGGAAAGUUUUCGCCUUUAAUCUUUUAUCCUUACGCUUUAAUUUUUAUGUGAGCUUUGAUUAUCUUACAUUGGGGACAAUGUAAGUGUCUGUCAAUGACAAAUUUAACCCACUACCACCAUUCAUAAUUAACCAAAAUCAAAUAAAUUAAAAAAGAAAACACAAAACAAGGAUAACUACUAGUUGUUUUGAUCAUCCUUGCUUCUUUUUCUUAGCAUAGCUCUUGUAAUGAAAAUUAACAAAAAGGGCCAAAAGGGAAGCAUUAAACACAGUAUUGAAGCACCAACCCCAAAACCCAGGGAAACCAAAUCCCGUGAAAUGAUAAUUCAGCAUCAAAAUGAAAAAUGUUAUGGAUGGCUGUGAUGGGUCUGAGGAUGUGGGGUCCAAUGAGAGGUGAUGAUGAUGGUGAUGUUGAUGUUGAUGUGUGGUAGAGGAUGGAUGUGAGGGAGAGGUAAGUAAUGAUGGAGUGAAUGAGGAUGUGUGGGAAGAAAGCUAGGGUUUGGUCUUGAGUCCACGUGAAGUUGAAGACUUGUGGGUGGCUUACAAGCAAUAAUGGAGUGUUAAGCUGAUUGAAUUUGAAGCCAUGGCUGGUUUUGGGGGAAGAUUGAUUUGGGAGAGAUGAUGGUCAGAGGAAUGGGGGAGUUUAGAAAGUUUGGGAUAUUGUGACGGGUGUUUUAGGCAUAUUUUUUCGUCUUAGCUUAAAUUUUUGUUAAAAAAAUGAUAAAUUCUUUUCUCAUAUCAAUUUAAAACUCCGAGUAUGUUUCCAAUUCUUCUUCUAUAGUGUCUAGACCUUUGUUUCAACGGCAUCUUUGGACGCGGGUUUCUUCUUUUUUGGUUAUUUCUUCUCAAACUUGUGCAGAUUACAUGCACUCAACGUGGAACCCUUUUGAAUGGAAGUUACUGUUUUGCUGGAAUCGGGACCAAUUUUUUGACAAAAAUUUCGCUAUAAAAUAUACAAUUAAAGUCGAGUAAGAUUAAGUAAAGUAACAUCUUGUAUGGUAAAGUACAUCGAGUAAGGAUUUCUAUAAUCGAGCUAGAAAGUAUAAUUAAAAUUAGAUAAGAGUGCCGCGGAGCAUUGUUUUAAAGUUACAGUAUCAAAGUAUUUAAUAAAUAUUUAUUAUUGUGACUUAAAAAUUAAGUUGGGAGUACAAAAAAAUCAAUAAUACAUUUAUUAAUUUUGUCAAAAUUAUUAUUUAAAAAUCAUAUAUACAAUACAAGAUCAACAAUUAUAUUAUAGCUUCAGUUCCUUUUUCACAAUAACUAUAACUACAACACGGUAGUACUAAAUAGGAAGUCGAGUAUGAUCAAGUAAUUACAUGUUAUGGUUUUUUGGUAUUACAUGAUUCUUCAAACUGAAAUUUGCGAUCAAAAUUGUAUCAAAGAAAUCACAGAGACACUCUGUUUGACAAAUCUGCAGUAGAAUUUGCACAAUUUAACUGGAUUGCAGAGAGUGAAUAAGAUUCCAAAGCAACAGGCAAUUAUUGUUAUUAAGAAAACAAUUCAUCGCUAGAACAAAAUUAACUUUUCUAACAUACUAGAAUUUAACUGGAGAAAAAUUGGAAUAUACGACGUUGUAUCACAUAUAGUAUUUAGACAUCAAGAAAAGAAUCCCUCUAUUAGUGAACUAUACUUGCCAGGAAACACGGUGAAAUACCACUACCUCCCUACUAGAUUAAUGCAGCAAAAUUGGGCAAUUGACUUGAUUAACUCCAAGAAAUUUACGCAGUCACAUUCUUCCGGACUAUCCUCUUUCUUCGCACUUUAGGAGCUGUUGUUUCCCCUUACAGAGUCGACAUUCCCUUGUUUGAUGCCAAGGAGCCCAAGCCCAGAGCCAAUGGCAUUCUUUGGUAUCAACCACUUUGGGAACUUUUGAGUUGAGCCAUUGACAUCCUGAGACGGCCUGUUGUGAGCCUUCUUCAAAAGGUCAUCUGACUGAAGUAGCGGAUCCGCUUCCACUCCUAGCCAAGCAAGCCUUGAUCUUUCUCCUAAUUGGACAUUAAGAACCCUGCAUGGAAUCCAUUUGAGAAGUUGAACAAUAGACAAAGUCCAACACAUAUAGGCAGUAAAGAAGAAUUUGGACAGCAAUUACUGACUGUUUAUGCACAGGGCUGAACAAAUGGGAAUAUUAAGGCACUUAAAAGUUGGAACCAUAUUCACCACUUGUAUUUCCUCAGAGAACUAUCUCAGAGUUCUGUUAAUUUAAAACCAUUCUAACGUAUUUAACUACAAAACUAGAGAAAUCGUACUUCUGUAGCGGAGUCUCACUAUUGUUAAGGAUCUAGACUUGGAAAGUAUGCAAGUUGAUUAGGUAAAGAAAAAUUGAAAUAAUACUUGGUGAUAGAUCAACACACUUCAAUAGAAACCACACUAACAUCAUAUCAGACAAAUAAACAGAUUCCCCGAGUCAAAGUUUAACAAACAAAACAUUAAAACAAGGAUAAUUUGGUACGACCAGAAUAGUCUAUCAAUGUAUAUAGAGAGGGAGAGACCUCAAAGCAGCGCUUAAGAACAGUGCUACUCCAAUAACAUCAAUAUGGUUGAUGACCGCUCUAUCAAAUCCAUUGGAAAUCGUAUACUUAUAAUUUUUUUUUUCAAACUUUGUCUAAAAUAAAUGAAUGAGAUAAGAUAAAUUCGAAUAAAUUAAUCUGCAUAAUGACACAAGAAACAAAUGUAAAUUGACCACAAGUAGAAAUAUACUUUUGUUAUCUUCCAAUUUCUUUCCCUUGAGCUCUGUUUCUGCGAGUGCUCAAAAGCAAGACACGGGCCUUGUUAAGAGUAUAGCUGAAGCUGGUGACGUGUAUAAGCUGCUGAUGAAGCUGCUGAGCUGGCUGGCUAGUGAUGUGUAUAAAUUGAAGGUGCUGAGCUGGAUUGGGUUGUUGUUUACACCAACUAAAGCUGUAACAGAUUAUCCAGCUGGCUUGUUAUGAUUGGAAAUUAGAUUAGUUUGUUAAUACAGCAAACGAUUAGCUCUGUUUUAGUAGUUAGCCUUGAAUGUAACUAUAAAUACUGGCUAACACGUUUUCAGUGUUAAGCUUGAGUUUUAAUCAAUAAAAAUCAAUUCAGUUAAAGUUUCUUUGUUAAUUUUCUUUCACUUUCUCACUUGCCAAACAACCUAUUAAUUCUAAAAGGCCUCAAGAUAUAAUUAUCAUCAUCAAUCUUUUGCAGCCACAUGCAGUACUUGGAAAAUGUUUAUGGCCCUAAAUAACUGGAAAAUCAGAAAACAUUAAGAACAAGAGACUAAUCAUUUUAAUCGCAACAAAACAUGCACACUAUGAAAAUAUAAAAUUGAAUUACUUCGAAUGGAUGUGCCUCUUAACAGGAAUUGCACAAGCUAAUGAGCAAGUGAGCCUUGAACAGUUAUCACUCAACUCAAACUAAAAUGAAAUUACUGUGGACAUGUGAAUUAAAAAUAGAUGUAAAAGUAGUUUUCUCAAAGCAAAGUCAAGAUAAGAGAUUAACUCUGCUCCGUAAUUACAUUAAAAAUAACAAACAAUGAAAAACAGAGCUAGAGAAGAACUUACCUGUGCGUUGAGACCAUGUGGGGAAUGUGAGAUAUCUUCUUAGAUUUGGUUUGAGAAACCCUGCCAAUUAAAAUUUCGGUCCCCAUGUAGCAGAAUUUCUUAUUUUUCCUUUGUACACAAAUGCAGACACUUAAGCAAAUUAAGAUUUCUUAUCUAAAGCAAAUUAGGAUUUCUUUUGACCCUGCAAAUUACAAUUUCAGUCCCCAUGUAAUAGGAAAAUUUUGUACACAUAUUUAUAGCAAAUUAAUAUUUCAUACCUCACAAUAUUUAUCAGAACCAUCAAUCUUUAGAAACCACAUGCAGACUUGGUAAACUGUUUAUGGCCCAAAAUAACAGGAAAAUUAGAACAGAUUUUUAAGAAUGAGCGACUAAAUAUUUCAAUGGCAACUAAAAUUACACAUCUUGGAAAUCUGAAACUCAAGUACUCAGAACACUGUUAGUGCAUUGCAUAAGUCAAUUGCAUAAUCUUGGGUAAAAAUUACGCAGCAAUUAAACAAGCUGGGAACUUUAGUGCAAAUGCUUUUUCAUAAUCUUCAAUUGCAUAAGUCAGUUAGAAUCAAUCUUUCUUAAUCUUUCAAUUCACAUAUGAGAGCCUGAUAACACAAGGAAACACUGUAAGUGAAUUGUCAACUGUGACAAAUUUUGGGUAAAAAUUAUCAACUGUAGUUAUCUGCAUAACAUUUAGUGUCAACCCCAAAUUCCUUACUGAUCCGUGGAAGCAUUUCAGCCCACAGACGGUUAGCUUUGUCAAUAUACGGCAACUCAGGAUUCUAUAUUUAAACUAUGAUGUUUGAUGACUUGCUGAUACAAAAGACAUUGCCCCAAGCACUUUUUUACAUUAGCUAAAAUCAAGCCAAUCACUUCCAUUUGUUGCAGUUUUAAUGCAGAAAGAAAAAGGUGGGGAAAAAAUCUGCAAGAUGCCACUUGUAAUACCGCAUGUUCGCAGAAGCAGAGUUAAAUAAUUACAAAAUUACAUUCUUUAUGAAAGCUUGCGAUUAUUGGGAGAGCUCUACUCAAAUUUAAUGAGAUAUCUCUCAGAAGGGAGAGCUCUAAUAAUAUAUAAAGCCAAAAAUCUGACACUCAUCAAAUUGGCUUGUGAACAAUUAAUCUUCCUUGCCAUCAUAAAUGCCAGGUGUGGUGAACAAUCUUCAUUCUGACAUUUGCCUUAAUAAGCUGCUUAGUAUCCUUAACCUGAUAACUUACACAAACAAAAACAACUUCACUAAAGUUUAUUCUUUAAAGGCAAAACAGUAAACCAGAUGAUGUAUGCUGAUACAAAAAAUUGACCUGAGUUAUCCUGAUGUCAAGAAUCACAGAACCUCACGUGGGCAAAAUCAUCGCAAUACAAGAUGCUGAAUUCAAGCAACAUCUUAUCACCUGUAAUUUAAUUAAGACAAUAACUUUCCUCAACUAUUAGCCUUCUCAAUUUCAAUGUAUUAUUGGCAACUAAAUUCAUAGGGGACGCAGCUAAUUAAAUGCCCUUUUAACAAUAUCUUCCCCACCUAACAAUUAUUUGGAAAAUCUAAAUGACAAUCAUGCAUUGAUGGCAUAAAAUAUUGGCCACAAAGCUGCCUACAAAAAGGCUUUAAAUUCUUAAUGAGACAACGUAUUCGAACAAAUAUGGUGAAUGAAGAGACAAAGCAUAACACCUCAAGAAGUAAAGCUCUGUUUCUGUAUAUGCUCAAACCAAUGGAAACCCAUGGAAAUGGAUUUCUACGAAUUAGACAUGUCAGCCAAAACAGGUACUCUGUACAGGCAAAGUAAAAGAGAGUUACAAAAAAUUUUAAGAUAAUUAAACUUUUAAUAACCAUAUAAUUAAUAGAAAACUUUGUACACAAUGAUUUAUAUGAGAUUAAGAUUGUAUACCUAAGUUUUAAUUGCAAACUAAAUAUACACAACAUGAUAUUAGCAUUAGAAGACUGCACCAAAACGCACCGAAUUGAAUGUACCUCUUAACGGCCAUUGUACAUGCAUUGAAAGUUUACCGCAAAAGCUGUUUCAAACGUGAUGCAUCUUAGAGAUGCAAGAUGAGAAAUUGUUAUUACAACUAGCAUUGAAACAUGUGUGAAAACUGUUAAUGGACCUAAAUAACUUGAAAAUCAGAAAAGAUUAGGAAUGAGUGACUAAGCCUGCUAAUCGCAACUAAACGUGCAAACCUUGAAAAUCCAAAAUUGUACUCGAUGAAUGUGCAAUUGCUCAAGCAGGUAAAUUUCCUGCAAAGGCUCUUACAAACCCUCAAAGAUGAUACUCUACAUACCAUGGUAACCUGAGUAACAAAAAGAAACACAGUGAAUAUUAAAGGGCAUUCUGACAAUGCAAAUUUGUGUAAAUUAACAACUGCGGUUACCUGCAUAAUAGUGUCAAUACCGAAUUCCUUCCUCCAUGGAAGCAUGUGAUCAGCCCACAUGUGCUUUGCUCUGUAGCUUUUGAAUACCUGAAAUUGUUAUCACAACCAACGGUGAAAAAUGGGUGAAAAAAGGGUAAUAGUAGCAUAAUUGAAUUUGCUUAUAGAGGAUAAACCGAUCAAAGAAAAAAACAAGACAGAAAUGAUGAUCUUAGUACCUUAAUAUCAUGCAAUAAUAAUCAUCAUGCCUUCUAGGCAGCUAUCCAUCCUCAAUUGAAACAGAGCAGACCUGGCCAUCACUUUCUUCUUCAAAGUCCAGCAACUGAACGUUGCACACAACACCACAGUGGAAGUUCCAUCACCAGCCUAAUCCUUGAUUACCCCAAUGUUCUCCAUAGGGUCUUCAAAGUCAACCUAAAAAUAAAAUGAAAAUGCAAUGCAUUAUUAUUAGGGAUCUAGUGCUUGAGCUUGCUUUGACAUCAUGGUAUUAGCAAAUUCUGAUAUAGCCAAAAUGGUGAAUAAGAUGACGUACUUGAUAAGAAAAACCUGAUUUAACAAAUAAUUAAGGAGCCGGUAACAAUCACAGAAUCUCAUCAUGUGGGGAACGCCUUGGCAACAGAAGAUGGUGCUUUCAUUCAAGCAAUAGCAACUUUCCAAUUUCAUAAGGUAGUUUAAUGGCCCUUUUAAGAACAUCUGCACCAGCCUAAUAAUUAUUCAUGGAAAUUAAUAAUCAGAAUCAUGUUAGAUUGAGAGAUGAAACAUAAUAAGCGAUUUGGCCACCAUAUAUGCAUUUAUCACCUUCAAUUUGCUCAUCUUUGUCUAGAGUAUUGCUUCUGCAUUAACUUAAUUAGCUUGCAAGCCACCUGAACAUGGUUUUAAAUAAAGUGUAAGAGCUCGAAUUCGAACGAAUUAAUCAAAUAUGCUGACAGGAGAAACAAAAGUAAAUAACCACAAGAAGUAGAAAUAUACUUUUGUUAUAUUCAGAGCAUCUUCUUGCGUCAAGUUCUUUUCCUUUAGCUCUGUUUCUGUUUGUGCUCAAACGCAAUGGCUCAAGGGCCAAGAUAAUUUUAUGACCAUCAAUCUUUUUGCAGCCACAGCAGACUUGAAAAAAUGAUUGUGGCCCUAAGGAACUUGAAAAUUAGAAAAGAUUCAGAAUGAGUGACUAAAUAUUAUAAUUGAAACUAACUAAACAUUAUAAUCGAAACUAAUUAAACGCCUAGAAAAUCUGAAACUGAGCAAUUGCUUCUGGUGGAAACUUUACUGCAAGGACUUUCUCAAACCCUUGAAGAUCACACUCUACCUGAUAACAAAGAAACAGUCAAUAUACGAAGAUGAUUUUACUAACAAGUGAGUGCUUACACAUAUUGGAAGGAUAAUGAUGAUUCAUAACCCAAAUCCCCAAUACUCCCUAUUAUCUCACUCAAGUUCGAGCUCCCAGAAUUCACUACUGUGAAGCUCUCACAACAAAAUUCCCUUCAAAGAUUCUCUACUCAAAUUUGAUGAUGAUGUCCCUCCAAAGGAGGCAAAAAAUCUAACACUGAUCAAAUUGGUUUGUGAACAAUUAAUCUUCCUGGCCAUCAUGCAUACCAGGUGUGGUGAGCAAUCUUCAUUAUGACAUUUGCCUUAAUAAGCAGCUUAGUUUCCUUAACCUGAUAACUUACACAAACAAAAACAACUUGAUUAAAGUUUAAUAUUUAGAGGCAGAACAGUAAAGAAGAUGAUAUAUAUUGAUACUAAAAUUUGACCUGUGUUAUCCUGACGUCAAGAAUCACAGCAUCUCAUGUGGGCAGAAUCUUCGCAGUACAAUAUGCUUGCAAAAUUGAAGCAGCAUCUUAUCACCUGUAAUUUAAUUAAGACAAUAACUUUCCCCAACCAUUUCAAUGCAUUAUUGCCAACUAAAUUCAGAGGGUGCUAAUUAAAUAGCCUUUGAACAAUAUAUUCUUAUUCUUCUCCAAUCUAACAAUUAUUUCGAAAAUCUAAAUGACAAUCACGCAUCGAUGGCAUCAAAAUUUGGCUACAAAGCAGCCUGGAAAAGGCUUUACUCUCUGAAUGAGAGCAUGAAUUCGAAACAAAUAUGAUGAAUGAAGAAAAUAAGGCAUAAUACCACCAAAAGUAAAACUUUCUCCCAGGGCUCUAUGUUUCUGUUUGUGCUAAAACCAAUAGAAACCGAUGGAAAUGAAUUUCUAGGAAUUAGACAUAUCAGCGAAAACAGGUAUUCUGUACAAGCAAAGUAAAAUAGGGUUACCAAAAUUUUUAAGAUUGAUAUGAUACUUGAAAAAUAGGUUUGCACAGAAUUAAUUAUUCUGUCAUUGAGAUUGUUCUUUUAUAGAGAUUUACAGCACACAUAAAACUAUUAAAUCAGUAAACUAAAUCACUGAUUUAAGGAAAGAAUAAUUUCUAGGUAGAUUUUCCUAAAAUACAUAGAUUUGCACCUAAAUAGCUAUGUUACAGCUAAUGACUAAUUUACAGCACAUAUUUUUUCUAAUUUUCUAACACUCCCCCUCGAGCUGGUUUGAAGAUAUCCUCCAUAGCCAGCUUGCCAACUAGAAAAUUGAACUGUUUUGUGUGUAGUCCUUUGGUAAAGACAUCAGCCACUUGUUCUCCAGUAGGAAUGUGCUCCAUAUGAACCAAUCCAUUAUCUAUCUUCUCCUUGAUGAAAUGCUUGUCAAUCUCCACAUGUUUUGUGCGGUCAUGAAGGACUGGAUUGUGUGCUAUUGAGAUUGCUGCCUUGUUGUCACAGUACAACUACAUAGGAGAUGAUUUUGUCGCUUUUAACUCUUCCAACAGCCUCCUAAUCCACAUGAUCUCACAAAUGCCAUGGGUUACAGCUCUAAAUUCAGCCUCAGCACUGCUCCUAGCUACCACAUUCUGUUUCUUGCUUCUCCAAGUAACCAAAUUACCACCUACAAAUGAACAGUAUCCAGAAGUGGAUCUUCGGUCUACUUUGCAGGUAAAUUUACUGCAAAGGCUCUUACAAGCCCUCAAAGAUGAUAUUCUACAUACCAUGGUAACCUGACUAACAAAAAGAAACACAGUGAAUAUUAAAGGGCAUUCUGACAAUGCAAAUUUGUGCAAAUUAACAACUGCGGUUACCUGCAUAAUAGUGUCAAUACCGAGUUCCUUCCUCCAUGGAAGCAUAUGAUCAGCCCACAUGUGCUUUGCUCUGUAGCUUUUGAGUACCUGAAAUUGUUAUUACAACCAGCGGUGAAAAUUGGGUGAAAAAAUGGUAAUAUUAGCAUAAUUGAAUUUGCUUAUAGAGGAUAAACCGAUCAAAGAAAACGACAAGAUAGAAAUGAUUAUCUUAGUACCUUAAUAUCAUGCAAUAAAAAUCAUCAUGCCUUCCAGGCAGCUAUCCAUCCUCAAUUGAAACAGAGCAGACCUGGCCAUCACUUUCUUCUUCAAAGUCCAGCAACUGAACGUUGCACACAACACCACAGUGGAAGUAGUUCCAUCACCAGCCUAAUCCUUGAUUACCCCAAUGUUCUCCAUAGGGUCUUCAAAGUCAACCUAAAAAUAAAAUGAAAAUGCAAUGCAUUAUUAUUAGGGAUCUAGUGCUUGAGCUUGCUUUGACAUCAUGGUAUUAGCAAAUUCUGAUAUAGCCAAAAUGGUGAAUAAGAUGAUGUACUUGAUAAGAAAAACCUGAUUUAACAAAUAAUUAAGAAGCCGGUAACAAUCACAUAAUCUCAUCAUGUGGGGAAUGCCUUGGCAACAGAAGAUGGUGCUUUCAUUCAAGCAAUAGCAACUUUCCAAUUUCAUAAGGUAGUUUAAUGGCCCUUUUAAGAACAUCUGUACCAGCCUAACAAUUAUUCAUGGAAAUUAAAAUUCAGAAUCAUAUUAGAUUGAGAGAUGAAAUAUAAUAAGCGAUUUGGCCACCAUAUAUGCAUUUAUCACCUUCAAUUUGCUCAUCUUUGUCUGGAGUAUUGCUUCUGCAUUAACUUAAUUAGCUUGCAAGCCACCUACAAAUGGUUUUAAAUAAUGUGUGAGAGUGUGAAUUCGAACGAAUUAAUCAAAUAUGCUGACAGGAGAAACAAAAGUAAAUAACCACAAGAAGUAGAAAUAUACUUUUGUUAUAUUCAGAGCAUCUUCUUGCGUCAAGUUCUUUUCCUUUAGCUCUGUUUCUGUUUGUGCUCAAACAGAAUGGCUCAAGGGUCAAGAUAAUUUUAUGACCAUCAAUCUUUUUGCAGCCACAUGCAGACUUGAAAAACUGGUCGUGGCACUAAGGAACUUGAAAAUUAGAAAAGAUUCAGAAUGAGUGACUAAAUAUUAUAAUCGAAACUAAUUAAACAUACACGCCUAGAAAAUCUGAAACUGAACUUCUCAAAUGUAUAUGCCUCUUCGCAGCAAUUGCUUGUGGUGGAAACUUUACCGCAAGGACUUUCUCAAACCCUUGAAGAUCACACUCUACCUGAUAACAAAGAAACAUAGUCAAUAUACGAAGAUGAUUUUACUAACAAGUGAGUGCUUACACAUAUUGGAAGGAUAAUGAUUACUCAUAACCCAAAUCCCCAACACUCCCUAAUAUCUCACUCAAGUGAGUACGAGCUCCCAGAAUUCACUACUGUGAAACUCUUACAACAAAAUUCCCUUUAAAGAUUCUCUACUCAAAUUUGAUGAUGAUGUCCCUCGAAAGGAGGCAAAAAAUCUAACACUGAUCAAAUUGGCUUGUGAACAAUUAAUCUUCCUGGCGAUCAUGCAUACCAGGUGUGGUGAGCAAUCUUCAUUCUGACAUUUGCCUUAAUAAGCGGCUUAGUAUCCUUAACCUGAUAACUUACACAAACAAAAACAACUUGAUUAAAGUAUAAUAUUUAGAGGCAGAACAGUAAAGAAGAUGAUAUAUAUUGGUACUAAAAUUUGACCUGUGUUAUCCUGACGUCAAGAAUCACAGCAUCUCAUGUGGGCAGAAUAUUCGCAGUACAAGAUGCUUGCAAAAUUGAAGCAGCAUCUUAUCACCUGUAAUUUAAUUAAGACAAUAACUUUCCCCAACCAUUUCAAUGCAUUAUUGGCAACUAAAUUCAGAGGGUGCUAAUUAAAUAGCCUUUGAACAAUAUAUUCUAAUUCUUCUCCAAUCUAACAAUUAUUUGGAAAAUCUGAAUGACAAUCAUGCAUCGACGACAUCAAAAUUUGGCUACAAAGCAGCCUGGAAAAGGCUUUACUCUCUGAAUGAGAGCAUGAAUUCGAAACAAAUAUCAUGAAUGAAGAAACAAAGGCAUAAUACCACAAAAAGUAAAACUUUUCCCAGGGCUAUCUGUUUCUGUUUGAACUAAAACCAAUGGAAACCGAUGGAAAUGAAUUUCUAGGAAUUAGACAUAUCAGCCAAAACAGGUACUCUGUACAAGCAAAGUAAAAUAGGGUUACAAAAAAUUUUAAGAUUGAUAUGAUAAUUAAAAUUUCAGUCACCAUAUAAUUAAUAGAAAACUUUGGACACAAUGAUUUAUUGCAUAUUAAGAUUGCUAUAUAAAAUAUAAUAUUAGCAUUAGGAGACCGCACCGAAGCAUACCGAAUUGAAUGUGCCUUUUCACAGCCAUUUUACAAGCUUUGAAGCUUCACCACAAAUGCUUUUUCCAACCCGUGAACAUGGUGCACCCGAGAGAUGCAAGCUAUGAAAUUGUUACUACAGCAAGCGUUGGAACAUUUGUUAAAAAAGGAAGUUUAUGAAAAUACGCCUUUGGAUACCAGUCUUCAGGAAUCAAUUCAUCCGUAAUAACAAUUUUCAAGAAUUAUCAACUGCUUUAAGCUCAUCGACAUCACAAAGAUCUCAACUAAAAUAGAGCAGAUCCGGCCAUCACUAUCCCUUCUACUGCUCUUUUCCUUUAGAGAAUGAUUGAAUUACAGAAUGCGUGUAAGGCAUUCUUAUUCAAGGUCCAAUGAUCAAACCUUGCACUAUAACAACAGAGGUAGUAGUUUCUUCGCCAGCCUAAUCCUUGGUCUCAGGAAUGUCCUCAACAGAGUACUCGAAAUCAACCUAAAAAUUAAGAAUGAGUUGGAAAACUGUUUAUGGCCCUAAAGAACUUGAAAAUAAGAAAAGAUUAAGAAUGAGUGACUAAACAUUUAAUCGCAACUAAACAUACAAACCUUGAAAAUCUAACUUUGAAGUACUCUUGAAUGAAUGAGCAGUUGCACGAGCUGGUGACAACUAAGGUUACUGUGAAGUCUCUUACAAAUCCUUAAAGAUGAUACUUUACAUACCACGAUAACCUGAUAACACAUAGGAACACAAUAAACAUUAAAGUGUAUUCUGACAAUGCAAAUUUGUGGAAAUCAUCAGCUGUGGUUACCUGGACAAUAUUGCCAACACCAAACUCCUUCCUCAAUUGAAACAUAUGAUCAGCCCACAAAUGCUUUGCUUUGUAGCUUUUGAGAGCCUGAAAUUGUUAUCACAACCAACAAUGAAAAUUGGGUGAAAAAAUUGAUAAUAUUAGCUUAAUUCCAUAUGUUUAUAUAGGAUAAACCGAUCAAAGAAUGAAAAAAGAUAGAAACAGAGCAGACCCAGCCAUCACUUUCUUCUUCAAAGUCGCACCAUAACCACAGUGGUAGUCGUUCCACUGCCAGCCUAAUCCUUGGUCACCCCAAUGUUCUCCAUGAAGUAUUCAAAGUCAACCUAAAAAUAAAUAAAAAUGCAAUGCAGGUGGAAAUGAAAAUUCUAUAAAUUAAAUAAAAUAAAAAUGCAAUGCUUGAGCUUGAGCUUGCUUUAGCAUCAUCGUAAUAGUAAAUUUUGAUAUAUCUUUACUUCUCUGUUCUUGUUUAUUCACAACAAGAUAUCAAUAGAAGAAGAUGGAAAUGAAAUUCUAUAAAAUAAAGCAAGUGAAUUACCAACAGAACAUUUUAGCAAUCCUUUGGCUAAACUUUUCAUUUUCUUAGCAUACUCUCCUGCCUGGUGAACAUAAUUAAACAAGUAUGAAAUAAAACAAAGUGGGCUAAUGUAGUAAAAACAAUAACACAAUUACUUUAAAGAAUUAAUGUCACGUAUAUUAUAUAUAAAAAAAUACGAUUAUCAUUAUAUAAGAUAAAAUUGAUAAUUUAGUUUUCAACAUUACUGCAAACGUAUCACAGAGAUUUUGUUACACAUAACAAAUUUUCGUACAUAUGAAAAUAAAUUACAUUGCAUGAAAUUUUACAAAAGAGCACAUAUUUUUUAAAAGUAAAUAAAUAUAGAAAUUUCAACAGACUACACUUGUAUUUUUUUUUAAUUAUUUAAUCUUUAGAAAACAAGUUUAACAGAUUUGAUAACUAGGAAGUUUUACGUAUUUAUACCAUGAUUGAUUCUAUAUAGAAUUUUAAUUCAAAAUAUAAUUAUUUUUAUUAAUUUCAUUGCAAGCAACAACGAAGUAAAUUAGAGGAGGAGGAGAAAUUACCGGCGAGUGAUAAAUUACCGCGACCACUUGAUGUGGGGAAUGCGAGAUAUCUUAUGCCAGUCUUCUCCUUUCCCCUCUCUAUAACGGUUUUCCAGAAGAGGACAUCUGUCAAUAGUCAAUUCCUGCAGCGUCGUCGUCCGAAGAAGGUAAUCCGGCAGCACCUUUAAUUUGGGGCAAUACUCAAUUACCAAGGAAGAAAGACGUGGUAUGUCUGUUGUCCUGUGAUCUUCUAGAAUGGGCAGUUCUUCCAUAUUUGCACAAAAAGAAAUCCUCAGUUUCUGCAGUGCCGUCGUUCGAAGAAGGUAAUCCGGCAGCGCCUUCAAUUUGUUGCAAGAACGAACUUCCAAGGAAGAAAGACGGGGCAUGAUAGAGAUGUUUUCCUUCCUCGUAAUCCUGUAAUUCCACUCUUCCAAUUCUUCCAUGUCCCAAAUUAUGAGUGAUUUCAAUUUGGGGAAGGCAGUAACUGAUGAUGAUGAUGAAGAUGAAGACGGGCCAUCCUCACUGCUUUCUUCUAUUCCCAAAAACUCAUUACCCACUCUUUUUACACUUUUCAAGUACCAUAGUUCGAGUUUUUCCAGAGGCAAUUUUCCCAAAGGAGGCAAAUGCUCACACUUAAGGCACGAGCGAAGAUAUAAAUUCCUUAGAUUGGUCAGUGAAGUCAACCAUUUGGGAAAAAUGUUGCGUCCAUAUAAUAUAAUCCCUAAUUUCUCUACACUCAAAGGCGGUUGUAAGGCUUUAAGAAGUUGUUCAUCUUUCUCUUUCUUCCUCCUCCUUUCUUCAUCUUCCCCAUCUACGACUCUACCAAACUCAAGACGCAAACGAAGGAGGUUUUGCUGAUUGUAAAGUUGUAAUCUCUCGACCUCAUCUAAACGGGACACAUUACCCAGCCCUUCAAUUCCACAUUCUCGAAGGAGUUGAAGAUUUUUCAGAGAUUCAAGCCUACAAGUAUUGCUACCAUCAACACCUCCACCCACCACAAACUUGUCUAAUGUUCGAAGACUGGUUAAUUUGGAAAUCCCUACUGGCAUGUAUUUCAACGAAUAAGUUUCAGCAUUCAGUAAACUCCUCAUGUUCUUUAACUUCCCAAUCCCCGCUGGCAAUUCUUUAAGAUUUCGGCACCGCCUAAUAUCUAGCUUUUGUAAAUUAUAUAAUUCACACAAAGUCUUAGGUAGUCUCUCUAUGCCUAAUUCAGACAAAUUAAGAUAUCUUAAAUGUAUCAAUUUUCCGACAUUUUUUGGAAUUUCUCUAAUCAAACUUGAGUGAAGACGAACAGGCGAGGAUGAUAGCCUUAUAACUAAUGAUUCCCUUAUAACUAAUGCCCUCAAACAUGCCAAUUUACUAAAUAACUUUCGAGUUUCUCUAAUCUUAUAUGUGUUUGGACAAAAACAUAGGCGCAACAGCCUUAUAACUAAUGCCCUUAAACAUUCUUUGCUACUACUAAAAGACGAAAGGAUGCUACUAAGAGACAGAUUGAAAUCACUUCUAUCAUAAAUUAAAAGGGUACGCAAUCUAUCAAGUCCACGAAUGGAUAUAGGAAAUGAAGUGCCUCUUUGAAAAUUUAACCCUAAGUGACGGACUUUGUCACCAAAAGAGUUUAUGACUGAGUCUUUGGUACCAUUAAUUUCUACCCACAAACAUUCUUUUCUACUUACAAAUUGGGCAAAAUCAUGUAUUAUGUCAUGCAUCUUGCAGCUCAUAAUAUCAUCAUCAUCAUCUUUUUUAAACUCUUGAAAGAAAGAGCGUGCUGCUAAAAUGUUGAAAUACUCUUCCCCAAUCAUCUCCAUCUCUUCGUCUUCUUCUGUAUUAAGAUAACCUUGAGCCAUCCAUAGUGAAAUUAGUUCCUCUUUAUUCAUAUUGUAGUUUUUUGGAAAGACAGCACAAUAUGAGAAACAUUGUUUUACCAUAGAAUUGGAGGGCAAAUCGUUAUAACUCAACAACAAAGGAGCUAAAAGACCUUGCCCAAUUGCUUCUACUUUCCACAUUUCACUCUCUAAAAUUCUUUGCCACUCUUUUACUGUACUUUUAGAGCGCAAGAGAUUCCCUAUUACCUUUGCAGCAAGAGGCAGGCCUUUGCACUUAUGUGCAAUUUUGCGCCCGAUUGGUUCUAAUUUUUCACGAUCCUCAAAGGACCUACGUAGAAAUGCCAUCUGCUUAAACAGUAACCAACAUUCCCCUUCUCCCAACUCCUUGACAGGGAUAAUAUCUAUUGAUCCCAACUGUAGUGCAACUGACCUAUCACGUGUGGUAAUUAGAAUUUUACUUUCAUGGUGGCCAUUCUUUAGACAAGAAAAGAAUGGGUCCCAUUUUUUGUAAUCUACAUCCCACACAUCAUCUAAAACAAGAAAAAACUUUUUUCCUUCAAUUGAUGUAUGGAUAUGGCUCAUAAGAGAUUGGAAUUCGCUUAAAUCAUAAGCUUCUUUUGACUUGCCUAGACCUUCAAUGAUUGCUUUGGCAACCCUAAUCCUCUCAAAAGUGUCUGAUACACACACCCAUAUAACUUUUUCAAAAUUUCUUUUCACCUCAUCAUUAUUAUAGGCCAGUUGUGCAAGAGUGGUUUUACCUAUACCCCCUAACCCAACUAGUGAGAUGAUAUGAAGGCCUUCUUGUUGUUCACUACUUUGACACAACAACUUGCUUAAGAGCUCAUCUUUCUCAUUAACUCUACCGCAAACCUCUCCCUCAUCAAUCAAGGAGGUGGUUCGCACUCGCUCUGGUUUCUUGACAUUGUUACUCACAUUCUCAACAAAUUUAAACAUAUCUUUUCGAGUGGCAAUACCAUCUAGCUUUUCAUUGAUUUCCCUAAUCUUGACAGCAAUGUCAUGACGAAGACUGAGUUGUUUGAAACUGCCACAGCAGUUUGAUACAGCACAAAAGAAGGAACGUACCUUCUUCUUAUGAACGCCCUCAAUCUGCAAUUUGAGCCUUGCAGUGGUCCACUCCUCCAACACAUCUUCCAUGUCGUAAGAUGCGUCUUUGAGCUGAUCCAGCCAAAAAGUAACAUCUUUCUCGUGCUGCAUUUGCCUUUUCUCUGCAUCUUCCAGCACAAGUUGAAUGGCUUGUAGAUUGCUGGUGAGCUUUUUCACUUCUUCGUCGACACCAGUAACAAGCCUCACCUGUUGUUUCAGUUCAUCAGUUGCAACUGAGCUCAGCUGCUCCAGGAGAGAGGAAACGAUCGCAUCAACCAUUCUGACAAAGAAGAUGAGAAUUCUGAAGAGUUAUUAGAUGUGCUUUUGUUGCGAAGAUAUGAAAGAAAGGAGUUAUUGCAUUCUUUUAUACUGCAUAGAAAAGGUUUAUGCUUAUCCCCACCCCACACGUCAAUGAUUGUAGAAUGUUUAAUUUCCCUGAUUCUACUCCACUAGUUGUGAUGCGUAAUUAUAAAUAUUCUCAAGUUAUGUAUGAAAAUCCCACAAAUUUGGAUCUAGUAAUGAUUUUUAUGUAUUUUUUCAUAAUCUUCUAAAAUACUAUAUCUGCAUGUUAUUUCGUGCAGAAAUAUGGCAUUGGGUGAAAAAAGUUAUGCUUAUCCCCACCCACACGUUAGUAAUUGUAGUAGCAUCUGUAAUUUCCAUGAUUCUACUCCACGGACGAACACAUUUUUUGUACUAACAUCUUUAAAUUCCCACACGUUAGGAAUUUGGCACAUAAUCUCAAACUCGUCGCAUCUUUAACGUAUGAGGUUGAUGAAUAAAUUCUUUUCUCAUAUCAAUUUAAAACUCCGAGAUUAUGUGCCAAAUUCCUAACGUGUGGGAAUUUUACCUCCUAAGUAAUCCGGCCCACUGCCAAGUGCCAACUUUUUCUCUGUCGAGUUAAUGAUGUUGUUUUGUUUUCCUUGUUUUAAUUAAUGUUGCGGAGAGAAACAGAUCGAUGCAAAUGGCUAGCCAGGUUUUGCAGAAACCGUGAAUGGUCUUGCAUGCAUGUGACAUAAAGCUUUAUAUAUAGCUUAUUCCUCCAUCAACAUUUCAAUGGUUCCAUCUCACGUGCACUUGGCUAUGAAUAAGGUCCAUGCAUGGAUCGAUCGAUUUAGGAGUUUGGACCAUCUCAUGCUGCAGAGUUAUGUGUCAUGUAUGUGUGUUGACACUUGCCAGUUCAUUUUUGUUAUAAAGAUUAUUGAUACUCGUAAAUGUACUACUUACAAAUCAUAAAUUUUGAGUUUGACACUUUAGUUUCAUUUUGUAAUCCCUACGCUCUUUAAAUAUUUGUAAUAAUAUAUUUCAAACUUUAACUCAGACGUAAUGAAUGAAGGGGGAUCCUCUUCUUAUAUAAAUUUUUAUUUUUUAACGUUCAAGUUACAUUUGAUUACGUGUACUUAUUAUCUAGUUUUGACUAUCUAAUGACAUUUGAUUACGUGUACUUAUUAUAUGAUUUUUUUUUAAAUGAUGGGUCUGGUGAGAUUUUUUACAUCUUGGAUUAGUAGGUCAAGAACGGGCAGGGCAGGGCCUUCUCUGAAGUCAAUCUUGUGAGCAACACCAGCUUUUUGGAUAAUUGGCAGCCCCAAUUCAUAAUUUUCUCAGUUGAUGUCCAUGGCCAAAAUCUGCAACCGAAGCUUAUUCUACUCUUAUUAAUCGAGAGAUAAUUUUAUCUCUAACUAAUUUAAUUGGGAGGAAAAUUGAGAGAGAUAUCCACUCUGUCCUUAUUAAUUGAGAGAUAAUUUUACCCUUACCCAAUUUAAUUGGAAAGGAAAUCGAAUUCCAACAAUAACUAGGACUUGAAUCCAUGCACUUAAGCUAACUUUAAGUUUUAGGAUGCAUGGUUAUAAUGUUCUUUAUUUAAAUCCUAACAAAUGGUGGGACUUGAACUUGUGCCUACAAACAUUGAGUGCUUAGGGGCUGCAAAAUUUCAUAACUUAAUUUUAGUUGAUGUGGUAUGUGCCCUAUCACAUAAAUAUGUAGAUAAUAAUAAUUAAUACAUUAACAAAAUGAAAAAUAUUAGUUUACAAAAUACAAAUCCAAAUUUUUUGUGUGACAAGGGACUUAAAAGGGAGAGACUAAACAAAUGUGGUGAAAACGACAUGUAUUACUAAAACUAAAAAUACGAAGUCUAGGCAAUUGAAAACAUCGGGUUUUUUAUUUAAAUAUCCCCAAUUUGUCCUUAAAUACCAAAUUUAUACCCUAUUAUAUACAUAUACCUCACGAAGAUAGGGAAAAUAAAAAAUAACCUUAAAAAAAUCAAGAAUCCACACAUUUCUUCCUCUCAGUGCAGGAAGAUGUCGAGUACGAAGUCGGGUAAGUCGAGAAUUUAGUCGAGCAAGAAUUGGAGAUAAGUAAGUUGAGUAUAUGGUCCAGUAGGAAGUUGAGUAAGCAUAUUAAAUGAGUCCAGUAUUAAGUGGUAGAGUAUUAAGUAAAAGUCAAGUAAAUUUUUUAAACAAGUCAAAUAAAAUUUAUGUAAUUUUUAAAGAGGUUGAGUAUUAAGUCGGGUUAGUACAUUGGGUCGAGUGUUAAUAUUUUUAAAGAAGUGAAGUCUGGUAAGUUGAGCAUUCAGUCGAGUAAGAAGUUAAGGCAAUUGAAUAAGUCGAGUCUCUAGUCGAGUACGAAGUCGGGUAUAAAGUCUGGUAAGUUGAGCAUUCAGUCGAGUAAGAAGUGAAGGCAAUUGAAUAAGUCGAGUGUCUAGUCGAGUACGAAGUUGGGUAUGAAAUCUGGUAAGUUGAGCAUUCAGUCGAGUGAGAAGUGAAGGCAAUUGAAUAAGUCAAGUAUCUAGUCGAGUACGAAGUCGGGUAUGAAGUAUGGUAAGUUGAGCAUUCAGUUGAGUAAGAAGUGAAGGCAAUUGAAUAAGUCGAGUACGAAGUCGGGUAUGAAAUAUGGUAAGUUGAGCAUUCAGUCGAGUGAGAAGUUAAGGCAAUUGAAUAAGUCGAGUAUCUAGUUGAGUACGAAGUCGGGUAUGAAGUUUGGUAAGUUAAGCAUUUAAUCGAGUAAGAAGUGAAGGUAAUUGAAUAAGUCGAGUAUCUAGUUGAUUACGAAGUCGGAUCUGAAGUCUAGUAAGUUGAACAUUCAGUUGAGUAAGAAGUGAAAACAAUUGAAUAAGUCGAAUAUCUAGUCGAGUAAAAAAGUCGAGUAAGUAGAUUGAAUGAGUAGGGUAUUAAUUUUUUGUUGGCAUUUUAUUGAGGCUAUUUUUGUACUUUCUUUGGUUUUUUAAGUAUGUAUAUGCAAAGUACAGAUUUUAAUAGAUGGAUGUAUAUUUUGGGUAUUACGAGAGAAACGGGGUAUAUCCCACGCAAUUCCUUCGAAAACAUCUCUGUCAAUUGCAAUGAACAGAUCACAACCCUUCAUAAUUAAACAAAAUCAAACUUGAAAAAAAAAAUCACACACACACACACAAAACAAUCACAAAAACUAUUUGUUCUGAUCAUCCCUGCUUUUUUUUAGCGUAGCUCUUGGAAUGAAAAUUAACAAAAAGUGUCAAAAGAGAAGCAUUAAACACAGCAUUGAAGCACCAGCCCAAAAUCCCAGAGCAACCAAAUCCCGUAAAAUGAUAAUACAGCAUCAAAACCGAAACAACAAAACUAAACACAAACUGAACAAUCUAACAAUCAGUGACCAAUCUCUUCCACUUUGGCCGCAACCCCAUCACACACAAUAGAUAGUACCCGUACAUGAUCACAUGCACACUUGCAUUAGUCACAAGUGCAAUAGGAAACAAAGACUGCUUCGUCUGUAACCAAAGGUAGCACAUUACGACGACGGUUGCAUGGUGGUAGACGUGGAGGAACGUGAGCCAUUGGAUGGAUUUUGACAAAAUGAUCAAAAGGGUGUCUAAGAAUUCGAGUAUUUUGGAGAGGUAGAAGAGGUAAGCGUAGAAGAAGAGGGGCCAGACGGAGAAAUGGUGGGGGGGAAACAGAGGGUGUAAUGGAGGUGGGGCAAAUGGACGAUGAUGGAGAGAGUGCAGCCAACGGCCAUGAUGAGGGAGAGGAGGAGGAGGGUGAGGUUAUGGACGGCUGUGAUGGGCUUGAGGAUGUGGGGUCCAAUGAGAGGUGAUGAUGAUGGUGAUGUUGAUGUUGAUAUGUGGUAGAGGAUGAAUGUGAGGGAGAGGUAAGUGAGGAUGGAGAGAAUGAGGAAGUGUGGGGAAGAAGCUAGUGUUUGGUUCUGAGUCCAUGUGAAGCUGAGGAUUUGGGGGUGGUUUACAAGACAAUAUUGGAGUGUUGAGGUGAUUGAAUUUGAAGCCAUGGCUAGUUUUGGGGGAAGAAAGAUUUUGGAAGAGAUGAUGUUGAGAUGAACGGGGAGUUUAUAAAGUUUUGGGAUAAUGUGGAGGGUAUUUUGGACAUAUUGUUGUCUCAGCUUAAAUUUUGGGAAAAAGAUGAUCAAUAAGAAGCUCUUUUUUUCAUAUCAAUUUAAAACUCCGACGGUGUUUCCAAAAAUUGUUUUUCUUUUUCCGUUUUUAAUUUUAAAUCAUAAAUUUAGUAAAAGAAGUUGAAUCAAGUGAUCACUUUUUUUUUAAUGUAAAACAAUUAAUUUCUUUGUGAUUUAAGCAAAUAUUGAGUUGCAUACUUUAAAUAUAUUAAUAUUUGAUUCGAAAUUUCAUCUACCGAAACUACAAAAAUUAAUAUUUUCUAUUAAAUCAAAACCAAAAUUAAAGAUGACUCCUUGUCUGCCAACUGUCAUUAAACAAAGCCAUCACUCACGUGAAAAAAAAAAGUGAUAUAUUCAUUUUAACGUAAUUUCAUACCAACAUAUCAUUCUUUUUUUUCCAAUAAUGACCUCUUUAAUUAUAAAUAUGGUAAAAGGGGAUGGGUUCGAGGUAUGGCGUCCGGGCCUUUGUGACAACGGUAUCUUUGGACGUGGGUGUCGUUAGAUUUUUGGCUAUUUUCUGGUCAAUCAAACUGGUGGAUCACAUGCAUUUUAAUGACCUCUUUAAUUAUAAAAAUAUGGUAAAAGGGGAUGGGUUUAAGGAAUGGCGUCCAGGCCUUUGUGACAAAGUUGGAUGUGGGUGUCAUUUAGACUUUUGGCUAUUCUGCUCAAUCAAACUCGUGGAUUACAUGCACUCAACGCGGACAUUAUGGAAAUGGGAGAAAAUUAUGUUAGUAAUAGCAUCUUCAAAAGUUUCUAUACAUUUUACUCUUUAAAUAUUUAUUUACUUAUUUAUAUGAUAAAUAGAAAGGUAAAAAAAUAUAUUAUUCUCCAAAAAAACUCUUUCAAAUAAAAAUUAAGUUAAUAUUAUUUUAAUCAAAUAAUUAUUUUUUAAAGGAAAAGUUAACAGCAAUUAAAGCACUUCUCUUUCUCUCUCUAAUAAAAAGUAAUAAAAUAUUAAUUGAAGUGUUUUUUAGAACCUUAAAUGUUGAUGUGACUCUUCAAAUAAGUAAUAAAAUCUUAAUUGAAGAGCCUUUUGGUGAUGGUUUAAAACCCACUGUUUUCGUUCUAAACUAAGUGAAUUUAUCUCGUGAGCUAAGUAGUUUAGGAGAUAACUCAAAUAAUUAACUUUUAUUAGUUUAAUAAUAAGAAUUUUCGAUUAUAUUUUAAAAGGUAUAAUUCAUUACAAAAAAUUACUUAAUAAAAAUAACUUUAUUUAACAUAUUACAUUUUUUCAAUAAUAAAAUAAUUCAAAUUUUUAAUUAUUAUAACAAAAAAAAUUUGUAAUAUAAUCCAUUCAUAUACCACAUCACGUAAAAUUAACCUAGUACUACAUGUAAUCUUGUUACUACUAUUCCUAUAAUAUUCUACACAUCAUAUACUAUCAAAUUCCAUCCGGCAUGCCAAAUGUGCAAAGUUUGAGUAAGACUUGUUAAAGUUGAGAGUAACAUCUUAUAUGGCCAAGCGCAUUGAGUAUGGAUUUGCAUGAUCGAGUGAGUACAACUAAAGUCGGGUAGAGUCUGGAAAAUCCCUAUAAUGUUGAGGUUGGAGAACUAUACUUUUUAAGGUACAUAAUUAAACAAUUUUGGUAAAUAUUUACUAUUAUAACUUAAAAUUAAUUUGAUUUGAUCUCAUAUAUUAUUAUAAUAAAAAAACUUAUAAUAUCUUUAUUAAUUUUAUUAAAAAUUAUUAUUUAGAAGUCAUAUAUUUAUUACACAUUGUCAAAUUUUCAGCUUUUUGUUUUUUAACAACAGCUAGUAAUAUCAACAAGACCUAAGUUGAGUAUGAUCAAUUAAUUAAAAUUAUGAUUUUUUUUUGUAUAAAAUAAUCAUUAGAUAAUUAGUCUGUAAAGAAUAUCGGCUACUUCAAAUGGAAACUUGCGAUAAAAAAUGCAUCACAAAAGUAACAAUGACACACUAUAUAAGAAAUCUGAAAUAGAAUUUGCAAAAUUGAACUGAGUUACGGAGAGUAAAUAAGACUCAAAGGAAACAUGGGCAAUUAUUAUUAUCUAGGAAACAAUUCAUAGCUAAAACAAAAUUAACUAUACUUGCCAGGAAAUAUGGCGAAUUCCACCACCUCCUACAAGUUCUUAGGUGUCUUAGAGUUUGAUGACGACUUCCAUGCUGUCUCUUCGACAGGCAGCAAAAUUGGGCAAUUGACUACAUUAACUCCAAGAAAUUUAUGCAGUCACCUUCCUCCGGACUAUCCUCUUUCUUUGAGCUUUGGUUGCCCCUAUUUCCCCUUCAAUAGAGUCAUCACUGUUUUGUUUGAAGCCAAGGAGCCCAAGAUCAGAAAAAUGGCAUUCUUUGGUAUCAAUCCCUCGAUCCCAAAGUCACGUCACUAACUUUCUGUUGAUCGCGUAGCUAGUUCAUGUAUGCCACAGCAGCGGAAGGUAGCCUGAAGAGAAAAAACCUCUCUCUCUUUCUUGCUCAGUAACCACCUGGGCACUUUUGUGCUGAGCCAUGACAUCCUGAGAUGGCCUGUUGUGUAAGCCUUCUUCAAAAGGUCAUCUGUCGAUCUUUCUCCUAAUUAGACAUCCAAAACCCAGCAUGGAAUCCAUUUGAGAAGGUGGACAAUAGACAAACUCCAACGCAUACAGACAGUAAAGAAGAAUUUAGACGCAAUCACUGUGGCUGAAUAAAUGGGCCUAUUAAGCCUAUUAAAAGUUGGAACCAUAUUCACCACUCGCAGUUCCUUAGAGAACUUUAUCAGAAUUCUGAAAAUUUAAAACUAUUCUUACAUAUUUAACUGUAAAACAAGAGAAAUUGUACUUCCGUAGCAAAGUCUCACUAUUGGUAAGUAUCUGGACUUGGAAAGGAUGCUAGUUGAUUAAGUAAAGGAAAAUUGAAAUCAGACUUUGAGGUGAUAGAUCUAUAUACACUUUAAUCGGAACCACAUUAACAUCAUAUGAGCCAAACAAACAAAUUCCCCAGUCAAAGUUCAACAAACAAAACAUUAAAACAAGAGUAAUUUGGUGUAUCAAUGUAUAUAUAGAGAUGUCGAUCAUUGACAAAUACGUAAAAGAGGGAGGGAGAGACCUCAAAGCCGUGCUUAACAACAUUGCUACUCCAAUAACUUCAAAAUGGUUGGCGACGUCUCUAUCAAAGCCACACAAUAGCUGAUAUCUCAUGUUUGCAUGUAGUCCAAUGAAAGCACCAUAACCAAGAACAUUAGUACUCACAGAUGGGUUUGUCACAGAUAACCUGUCAGGCAAUAAAAAUUGCCCAAAUUAAACAAAUGUUAGACCGGCUUAGACAGUAAACGGAACAAUUUCUAAUUUUACUUAUUUUAUAACGAAUAAGUGAACAAAGGAAUGAAAAGGAAGUUUGGCAACAGUCUUUUUACCAGCCAGAUAGUUUGACAAAGAAUCUUGCACUGCUCCUGCAGCUAAUCCACCAUACACAACUCUGCAGUCUUGUUUGGGAGUCAAAAUUCUCAAAAUGGGUAACUCUGUUCAAAUAUACUGUUUGGGAACUUUUGUAAUGUAUUUUGCAAGUCAAACAGGAAGGUAUUUCCAUAAGAAGGUUCACUUCACAUGCUCAACAAUUCAAAUUUGCGGAUGAUAUUUCUCAAAAUGGAGGGCUCUAUUUGGCUUGCCAACAAUCUUCCUCACCAUUAUCAUCCUUGCUAUACCGGUUAAACUGAACAGUCUUCAUUCUGACAUUUGCCCUAUUAACCUGAGUACACAAGAAUCCGAAACAACUGUUAGAAAUUAUAAUCUUUAUAUAUAGCCAAAAUGUUGAAUAAGAUGAUGUACUUGAUAAUAAAAUACCUGAGUUAAUAAAUAAUUAAGGGCCGGUAACAAUGUCAGCAUCUUAUCAAGUGGGAAAGCCUACGCAACGAAGAUGCUGCCUGCUUUCAAGAAAUAAUAACUUUCCAAUUCCAUAAGGUAGGUUAAUGCCCUUUUAAAAAUAUCUCCACCAGCCUAACAAUUAUUCAUUGAAAUGUGUGAGUGUGAAUUCGAACGAAUUAAUCAAAUAUGAUGACACGAGAAAGAAAAUUAAAAUAACCACAAGAAGUAGAAAUAUACUUUUGUUAUAUUUAGUGCAUCUUCUGUGUGUGCUCAAACGCAAUGCCUCAAGGCGCAAGAUAAUUUUAUGACCAUCAAUCUUUUGCAGCCAUAUGCAGACUUGAAACAUUGGCGGUGGUUCUAAGGAACUUGAAAAUUAGAAAAGUUUCAAAAUGAGUGACUAAAUAUGAUAAUCGAAAUUAAUUAAAUAUACACGCCUUGUAAAUAUGAAACUAAAUUACUCAAAUGUAUGUGCCUCUUCGCGCAGCAAUUGCUCGUGGUGGAAACUUUACUGCAAAGACUUCCUCAAACCCUUGAAGAUCACACUCUUCCUGGCAACAAAGAAACAGAGUCGAUAUACGAAGAUGAUUUUACUAACAAGUGAGAGCUUGCAAAUAUUGGAAGGAUAACGAUUGCUCAUAACCCAAAUCCCCAAUACCCUCUAAUAUCUCACUCGAGUGAGUUCAAGCCCCCAAAAUUCACUACAGUGAAACUCUCGAAACAAAAUUCUCUUCAAAUAUUCUCAACUCAAAUUUGAUAAUGAUAUCUCUUGAAGGAAGGCAAAAAAUCUAACACUGAUCAAAUUGGCUUGUGAACAAUUAAUGUUCCUGGCCAUCAUUCAUACUAGGUGUGGCGAACAAUUAAGCUGCUUAGUAUCCUGAACCUGAUAACUUACACAAACACAAAACAACUUGCCUAAAGUUUAAUAUUUAGAGGCAGAACGGUAAAGAAGAAGAUAUAUAUUGAUACUAAAAUUUGACUUGCGUUACCCUGAUGUCAAGAAUAGCGGGAUCUCAUGUGGGCAAAAUCUUCGCAAUACGAGAUGCUUGCAAAAUUGAAGCAGCAUCUUAUCACCUGUAAUUUAAUUAAGAUAAUAACUUUCCCCGACUAUUUCAAUGCAUUAUUGGCAACUAAAUUCAGAGGGCGCUAAUUAAAUACCCUUUUAACAAUAUCUUCUUAUCUUCUUAAUCUAGCAGUUAUUUGGAAAAUCUAAAUGACACUUUUAUGUAUUCUGUGAGAUGCUCAUUCAACCAUGUUUGCAUUCUUCUUAUACUAAUAGGAGAUUUAAUUUUUACCCUCAAGUCAAUGUCAAUGUGAACGUUCUUUUGUGCUGCAAAUUGAAGGAGUCCCCACAGGAGUCACCGUCGUGGUUACUUGCUGCUCUUAAGAUAAUUAGUAACAAAAUAUUUGUAAACUGCAACAAAAAGCUCAGUGCAAUCUAUCUAUGAAUCUUGUGAGUUCACAUAUAAUACAGUCGAUUUAGAAUAGUCAUAAAUUUUUUUAUUAUAAAUAUUAGUAUAUUUUUAAUGGUAUAAUAUAUAUCGAUGAAACUAUAUAGAGUAAUUUCGCCUAAUUGUAUAAAUUCAUUACGAAUAUCAUCACAAAUUUGUAUUUGGUCGGGACCGUGCGAGUGAAAUUUUUGAUAAAAUCGUCUCCUGACAAUUUAUUUAUUAUAUUCCAUUCCUUUUAUUAUCAGGUAGGCCAAAGCCAUUUGGACAUUUGAAAAAAGUAUGUGAUUCUGUUUUAGUCUAUUAUGUCACGACAAAAAGAGAAUUGGAAAAUGUAACAUUCUCAAAUUAAUUUGUAGUGGAAAAGAGAAAAAUAAGACAAAAGUUGGAAAAAUCAUGCAGCCGACCCUUUUUUUUUAUCUGAUUGCGCAAUAUUAGGUAGGCGAAUGCGACUUCAUCGAUAUCACACAGCAGUGGUUCUGUCAUUAAUUUUUUCUUUUAUUUAAUUAAGAAAAGGAAGAAAAGAUAGCACAUGUUAUGAUUAUUGUGAAUUUUCCAUCCCUUAUAUAAAUUCUCAAAUUUAUUUAAAUUGUGAGUCAUAGAAGUAUAUUACCUAAACUAUUUUAUCAGGCCAUGUUCGGAUACUAGGAUUAAGUAUGGAAUUGGACUAAUUUUGUGAUUAUAUUUUAUAUCAAAUUUGGUAAGCUUAAUUGAAUUGGACUAAGGGACUAAAUUUAAGUUUAAUCCUAAAAUUAUGGGAUUAAUAAUCCUAAUUUACACAUUCCUUUAGUUGGGACUUGGGAUAAGAUUAAAGAAAAAAGUUAUCCAUUUAUGAGACUUUAAUUUAUGUCAUUAUUUUUUUAUUUAUACUUUAAUAUUAAUUAAUUUAUUAAUUUAUUUUUAAUUUAUGAUUUUACUUAAAAUUUAUUUUUAUUUAUUAUCUAUUAUCUGGUUAAAUUAGAACUUUACUUCUACUAACUCUUGCGAUUAAUUUUUCAUUACUUGCGUAUUUGAUAAUUUGCCAAUAAAAUUAACCAUUUAAUAAUUUCUUGCAUUAUUUGAUUGUAUUAAAUUUAAUAAUCACUAAUAUAAUAUUAAAAAUAAUCAUGAAAAUUAAUAAUACCUUCAAUUAAUUGAUUUUUAUAUACUUUUUUAAAUAUUUGAUAAGAAGUUGAUAAAAAUUAAUUAAGGAUUUAAAAUUUUAUUCAUUUUUUAUUUAUUUAUUUUAUCAUGAAUACCCAGUAUCUUACAAUAUAAUUAAUUUUCUUAUUCAGACUACUCAGCAUCAGCUCCUGUAAAAUUUCUUACAUUAUAAGCAACAAAAUAUUUAUAAACUACAACAAAAGGCUUAGAUCAAUCCACCGAUGAACCUUUUGAAGUUAUAUAUAAUAUAUUAAUUGUUGAUCUAGAAUAGUCUUAGUGGAUAGAUUUUUUUUAAUUAUAAAUAUUAAUAAAUUUUUUAUCGUUUAAUAGAUAUUGAUGAAAUUAUAUGGAGUAAUUUCGCCUAAUCAUAUUAAUUCAUUAUGAAUUUCAGCACAAAUUUGUAUGUGAUCGAUCUGGACCGUGUAAGUGAAAUUUAUUUACUAUAUUUUUCAACUUGGCCGACAACAUCUUUUUGUCAGGUAGGCAAAAGCAAAAGCCAUUAUCUCAUUAAUUGAUUUGGUCAUUUGAGAAUGUAACUCUAUUAUGCCGUGACAAACUCCAAGAUCUAAUUUAGAGAGCGACCCAAAUAAUGGUAAUUAGUAAUUUAUUACAUCUGCAGUUAGAUAGAUACUUUGUCUGGGAAAAAAAUAAAAUCAGUUUUAUAAUGAUUUUAAUUAAUUCAUUUGGUCAUUUGAAAAAGUUGUGGCUCUGUUUUAGUCCAGUGUCAAUAUAUAACUUUAUUAUGUCAUGACAAACUUCAAAAUUUAAUUUAGAGUGUGACUCGAAUAAUUUUAAUUAGUAAUUUAUUAUAUCUACAGUCGGAUACUUUGUUGAGAAAAAAAAAAAUAAAAUCUGUCCCAUAAUGAUUUUAAUAAAUAUCAUACUAUUGUCUACGGACUUACCUCAUAUUACAAAGAAUUAAAAUAUGCGAAAGAUAACUAAGGAAUAAAAUUUUUCCACAAUGAUUUAUAAAAAUUGCUUUUGAAGAACGGUUAUGAUAUUAUAUUAAAUUACUAAGAAUUUAGUUAACCUCUCAAGAAGUCUAUUUGGUUGACUUCUCGAGUUUAAAAUUCGAAUGUCAAAAAAGAUAAAAGGUUAAAAAAAAUAUUUUAAAUAUUAUCCACCCUUUUACUAUUUUAAUAUACAAAAAGAAGAAUUACUUGUUUUUAACAAUAGCAACCGGGGGCAUAAUAUAUCUGAUGGAUUUUUUUAAGGAACAAAACUUAUUAUAUCUCCUAUCAAAAAUGUCAUUUUUGUUAGUAAAAGGAUAUCUAUAUCUCCAAAUUUUGGAAAAAUGGUUACCAGCGCUUCCAAGUCCUAAAUUUUCAAAAAGAGACACUAAAACUCAUUUUUUACUACAAUACCCUUUACUUUUAUUAUCCCAAAAGUUAACUUUAAUUUUUUUUUAUAAUAAAUAGAAAUAUAAUAUUAAAAUAAAUGUAUUAAAAUUUAAAUUAUUAUGAAAAAUAAUAAUUUUAAUAUUAUUAGUAUAUGAGACUUUUUUAAUUGUAAAAUGUAUUUAAUGCAAAUAUUUAUUUAAAAUCUCUAGAAUAAAUACAAAUAUAUUAUUAAAAUAAAUAUAAUAAUUUACAUAUUUAAAUUUAUUUUAAUAUUAUUAAUCUACUACAUAGAUUACAUUAUUUAUAUAAUAUUUGUGUUUACUAAAAAUUUGCAAGUUAAAUUUUUUCGGGAUACUAAAGGUAAAGAGUAUUAUGGUCAAAAGAGAGUCUUGAUGUCAUUUUUAGAAAACUUGGGGUGUUGGUGACUAUUUCUCCAAACCAUGGGGAUAUAGAUAUCCUUUUCUCUUUUUUAUUUUAAACAAGUGGUGACUAAAGAUUAAACUGUCAUAUAUUCACAAGAUAUUCACCACAAAAUUUGUAGGAAAUUUCUUCUUCCCUAAGCGGAAAAUACAAAACAAAAACAUAAUUGGCAAUUUCACUAGCAAAACUAAUAAUACUUUUGUUCCAUAUCCAGGGGUAGAGCUCGGGGUAAAUCUUCAUGACGCCCAAAUUCAAAUUUCAAGUGUUAGCUGGGAAUUAAUUUUAGACAAUUUUAUUUAUUUAUUUAUAGCUAGUAUGUAAUUGUUAGGUAUUUCAAAAUUUGAGAAUUUUGUGAUUCUGUGAGAAUGUUGAUUCAAGCAUGUUUGCAUUCUUCUUAUAAGUACCAUAGGAGAUAUUUAGUUUUUUACCCUCAAGUCAAUGUCAAUGUGAACGUUGUUUUGUGCUGCAAAUUAAAGGAGUCCCCACAGGAGUCACCGAUUUGCUUUGAGAAUUUUGAGAAUUAUGUUUUGCGAGUGAAAUUGCCAUUUUGUCAUAAUGGAAUUUUGCUUUCUGAUCAAUAAUUGAGAAUUUUGCUUGUAGCUACAGGCUGCAGCGAUUUUGAUUUGACGGCUUUGAUUCAUAAUUGAAGUUACUGUUGCAAGUAAAAACUAAAAAAAUUAACAAAAUAAAAAUCAAAGACUUAGGUCCAUGUUGCAAGUAAAAACUAAAAAAAUUAACAAAAUAAAAAUCAAAGACUUAGGUCCAUGUUUUAUCAAAAUUUUAAUAAAAGGCUAUUUGUCAUUUUGUCAUAAUGGAAAAAUGAUUAACAAAAUAAAAAAAUCGAAUUUACUUGAUUUUAUUUUACAAAAUAUAAAUUAAAUUUCUAUUAUAUGUAUAAAGUUUAUACAUCAAGUGCUUAGGGGUCAAAUCAAUCUUUUUAUACCUAAUUUUUAAUAUUUUACUUCGAAACCUCAAAAAUUUUUAAAGUUUGUUGGGUCACAAUCCCCGCUAGGAGUGGGCAAAUUUGUGUUCAUAUCAACUUGAAUAGGUUUUGGGUUGAUUAGGCUAGAACUGGAUCAGAUCAAAAAGUAUGAGAGAAAUUAAUUGAGCUUCUCCCAAGAAAAAUACAUACAGAUGAUUGAUAUAUAACCAUUAAAUAAUAAAUAUGUUAGACUUACAUUUAUUUUUUAGCCCUAAAAGUAUGAAAAAAUUAAUACUUUCCGAAUUUAUUUUUUGUACCGUAAAGAAUCAAAUUACUCACAAAAUUAUUUUUAACUUUCAUCAUGCAAACAAACAAAUCAUCAUCAAUUUCAAUAGAAAGAAGUAGAAUAUGAUGUAUUUAGGACUUCCUACUCUAUUAGCUAGGUUAAUAACAUGUUAAUUGUCACAUCAUUAAUUUUAGAUUAUAAAUUUUAUAUUCAAACUUUGUAUGACUGCUCCUUUUUCAAUGAUCUAAUGUUAGAGUGCAAUUUAUGCACUAGUUUUGCAUUGUUUACUUCCUUUAAUAUUGAUAUUUUACACUUAAUAAUAGUGAUUUACUUGUAUUUUAUUUUUGUAGGUGCAAUUCUAUUGAUUGGUGCUAAAAUUGAGAUACAAGAUGAUGUUUAAGGAUGGUUGUUCUCUUGGAUAAAUUAUGAGUGUCAGAAGAACUUUGUUGAUAAGGCGUGGGCGCGUGCUGUCAACUACGGACCUGCAGUUUUUAGUUUAAUGUGUUUUGUAUUUUUGGUUAUUUUUGUAAUUAUGAAUUUAAUGUUUCAGAUAUUAGUAUUUUAUUUUAAAUAGAACUCUAGAGGAGAAGAGAGGGAGAGUAUUUAAGGGAGGAAUCUAUUGUGAAAAAUGUGAGAGAUUGGAGAAAAAGAAAGAAACCCUAGAUCUAAACUUUUCUCUUCUCUCUAUGAAGAACUAAACCUAUUUUUCUAGUUGAAGGUUAAUGAAGCUUUGAUUCAUCACUACUGUGAGAUCUUUCUUAUGCUUUAAUUGUUUUAUUGCUUUUUGGGUAUUUGUUUAUUUUUUGAAUUAUUUUCAUGAUUAUGUUUGUUAAUUAGGUAAUUGGACACUAUUUAAUUAUCAACUUAAUCUAUUGUCAAUUCAAUGAUUCAUCGUAUGAAGAUUUUAAUGUUUGUGACAAAUAACAUAGCAGUGAGUUGUAUUAUGAGAAUAAACAAUCUAAUUUAAAUGAACCAUCGUAUGUGUUUGUUGAUUAGGAUUUGGGUCUCUCUGGUUUUUCAGGCUGUCAAUUGAUAUAAUCUUAUGAUUGUAUUUAGGGUUGUCUAUUGAUUAGGGAAAUAACCAACGGUCGUACCUUGGUUAUCGACUAGUUAAGGAGAGAUUGGCUAUUAGAGGGUCUCAGUAGCUAUAACCGGUGUAUUCAUAAGUAGUAAUAAUUUAUAUUUGAAUCAAUGAUUAGUAGUCGAAUCAAGCUCAGUUAAUUCCUUCAACCAAAGCUUUCUCCAAUUUGAAUUACAACUUUAAUUUGCAUUCUAGUUAUUUUAAUUUGAUUUCUAUUAUUGUCAACAACUCCCCCAUUUUACGUUUUACAUUUUAAAAGGAUUUAAAUAAUUACCGAUCUCUGUGAACACGACCCUGCUCAAUCAUUAUACAUAAUUUAUUUAGAGUAUGUAUUUAUUUUUGCUGUCUUCGACAAUCAUCAAAUUUUGGCGCCGUUGCCGGGGAUUGGUGUCGUUUAUUUAAUCCUUUUUACAUUUUACUUGGUGUAUGGUUCAUUCUUCUCGUACAGGUACACUUUCGUUUGAUCCUGAAAUUGAGAAGACAGCUCGCCAGCUGAGACAGCAGACGAAGCAAGCUAAGCAACGAUUCUCGUCGCCUUUGCUUUUUGAAACAGAUACAGUGUCUGAUUUGAUUGAAUCAUCUAGCGAUUCAGAAGAACAAGUGAUGGAUAGAGCUGCACCUGUAGAAAGAACUCUUAAAGAGUUAGCUGAACCAGACUUGAAUCAGCAACCACUCUGCAUUCAAUAUGUAGACUUGGAGGUAAAUUUUGAAUUAAAGUCUGGUCUUAUUAAUUUAUUACCCAAGUUUCAUGGUUUUGCAGGUGAAGAUCAUCAUAAACAUCUCAAGGAGUUUCAUGUUGUGUGCUCAAGUAUGAGGCCACAAGGCGUGACUGAAGAGCAGAUUAAGCUGUGUGCUUUUCCGUUCUCUGCAGAUGGGCUAGCUAAAGACUCGUUGUACUACUUGCCUCCUGGAUUGAGUACAACGUGGAAUGGUUUGAAGAAGCAGUUCCUUGAGAAGUACUUUCCUGCUUCAAGAGCUGCCAACAUCAGAAAAGAUAUUUGUGGGAUCAGACAACUUCCUGGGGAGAUUUUGUAUGAGUAUUGGGAGUGAUUCAAACAAUUGUGUGCCAGCUGUCCUCAGCAUCAGAUUUCUGAUCAACUUCUUAUUCAAUAUUUUUACGAAGGACUGUCAUUGAUGGAUAGGAGUAUGAUAGAUGCUGCUAGUGGAGGCGUGUUGGUGAACAAGACCCCUACUCAAGUAAGGGAGUUGAUCUCAAAUAUGGCUGCCAAUGCACAACAAUUUAGCAGCAGGCAAGAUCCCACUUCAAAGAAGGUGAAUGAGGUAAAUAUUUCUUCUGUUGAACAACGUUCAGAUAAACUUACUUCUCUUGUGGAAAAGUUUGUUUUAGGUAAUGUACAAUAGGUGAAGACUUGUGGCAUCUGUUACAAUAUGGGUCAUUCAACUGAUAUAUGUCCUACGCUUCAAGAAGAACCCGUUGAACAAGCCAAUGUAGUUGGAGGAUUUCCAGGCAAGCCUCAGAAGAGGUAUGAUCCUUAUGCACAAACAUACAAUUCAGGGUGGAAGGAUCAUCCCAACUUCAACUAUGGAGUUAGGCCGUCAGGAUUCCCACAACAGUAUCCACCAAGACAACCAGCACCUCCACAGUCAAACUCCAAGUCAGGUAUAUCUCUUGAAGAAAUUGUUAAAUCACUUGCAACUAACACUCAACAAUUUCAGCAGGCAACUACAGCAAGCAUUCAGAAUUUGGAGAACCAAAUGAGUCAAUUGGCCACUACAAUGAGCCGUCUGGAGUUUCAAGUAUUAGGGAGAUUGCCUUCACAAUCUGAGGUAAAUUUAAAGCAAAACGUUAGUACUGUCAUCCUUAGAAGUGGGAAGGAGUUACAAGAGCCUAGUAAGAAAGUGACAAAGCAUGUAGAAGAUGAGCUUGAGAAGAAUGAAUUGAUGCCUAAAUCUCAAGAUGCGCAACCCACCAAAGCGAAACCCCUACCUAUUGUGAUACCUCCUCAUUUUCUAAGCCGGUUUGUAAAAUCCAAGAAGGAGGAACAAGAGAAAGACAUCCUUGAGACAUUUCGCAAGGUUGAGGUAAAUAUUCCUUUAUUAGAUGCUAUAAAACAAAUACCUCGAUAUGCUAAAGUUCUUAAGGAACUGUGCACCUCCAAGAGAAAAUUAAGAGGAGAUGAAAAAGUUCACAUGGGGGAGAAUGUUUCAGCAGUUCUCCAAAAGAAAGUACCUCCUAAGUGCAUGGAUCCAGGUAUGUUUACUAUCCCUUGUAAAAUUGGUAGUGUUAGAGUUGAAAAUGCUAUGUUAGAUCUAGGAGCUUCUAUUAAUGUCAUGCCUCGUUCCAUUUAUUCAUCUUUGAAUGUUGGUCCAUUGAAAAAAACUGGCAUGAUAAUUCAACUAGCUGAUAGGUCUAAUGCAUAUCCUGAUGGGGUAUUAGAAGAUGUCUUAGUACAAGUUCAUGAGUUGGUUUUUCCUGUUGAUUUUUAUGUACUUGAUAUGGAAGAGGAUAACUCCUCUAAUUCUUUCCCAAUUUUGCUAGGAAGACCUUUUCUUAACACUACUAGGACUAAAAUGGAUGUACAUAAAGAGACUCUCACUAUGGAGUUUGAUGGAGAGGUUAUAGAAUUCAAUAUGAAUGAUGCCAUGAAAUAUCCUAAUGAGAAACAUUCGGCAUUUUCUGUGGAUGUUAUUAACCCUAUAAUGCAGGAAGUUUUUUACAAGGAAAAGACGAAGAAAUUUCAUGAUAGAAUGAUUUUGAGAAAGGAGCUCUCUGUUGGUCAAAAAGUUCUUUUUUAUUCUAAGCUUAAACUUUUUCCGGGUAAAUUACGUUCUUGCUGGGUUGGACCUUUUAUUAUUACUAAUGUUUUUCUUCAUAGUGCAGUUGAGAUUCGGAGUCCGACCUCUGACAAAGUUUUUAAGGUUAAUGGUCAUCGGUUAAAACCUUUUUAUAAAGGUUUUUCGGUGAAUAUUGUGGAGGAUAUGGCUCUCAAGAGUCCCAAUUAUGGAGAUUGAUGCAUAAAUGUGUCUAACCAAAGACAUAAAACAAAGGCGCUUUUUGGGAGGCAACCCAAAUGAUUUAUUUAUUUUGGUUUUUGUUAUAUCUUCUUUUCAUUUUGAUUCAGAUUUUUUAAAAAAAAUAACGUGUUUGCUUAUUUUGGCCAGAAGAAAAUGUUUGAUAAGGCGUGCCCACAUCUUAACUAAUAAGUACUUCUGUGAUUUUUAACGUAAAAUGGUUUUAAGGCGUGCGCACGUGCUUAUUAAAAAAGUACUUCUGAAAUUUUUAGUGUCUCAAGUGAUACAUCACUAAAAAAAAAAUUAUUUUAUUUAUUUAUUUAUUUGAAAAUUAAAAAAAUAAAAAAAGUUUUUUUUUCUUUUCUUUCUUUUAUAUUUUUAUUUAUUUGAAAAAAAUUUAAAAAAUGAAAAAAUAAAAAAAAGUUUUUUCUUUUUUUCUUUUAUAUAUUUUAUUUAUUUAUUUAUUUGAAAAAAAAUUUAAAAAAUAAAAAAAUUUUACUGUUCACAAAAUCCCUAAUUCACAGAAUUAGUGUUCUUCUCCAGCCGCUCCAGCCUUCACCGAGCAGCCACGCAGCACCAGCUCCAUCCCCAGCGCGCAGCAUCAUCCCCAGCCAGCGCGCAAGCAACCAGCCCCAACCCGCGCAGCACAACCAUCUGCGAAUAACCUGAACCAACAGCCGUGUACCUGCAAGCUCCAGCCGAGCAGCAACCAUCCGCAGCCGGCCUACGCCCUGCAUUCUAGCCGCGUGAAUCAAAAUCCGUGAGUUCAAUUAUUGUAACAAUGCCGAAGAGGAAAGCAUCAACUUCCAAGUCAUCUAAAAAGACACUCGUCGCAAAGAAAUCCAAGAUUUCCGCUCCCACUACGGUUCCAUGGAACACAGUUUUAGAUUCACGCCAAGCCGUGAGAUAAAGAUCGAAACAUGGAAAAGGCAUGAGUGUUUUGCCACUUGCGGAAUCCAAUCUCAGAGGGUGCCUCACAUUCACGACUCAACAAGAGAAAGAAAUGUACAAAGAUAUUUCCAAGCGAAAAAUACUUCCAGCUAAGUAUAUUCAUUACCCGACUCUUGAAAAAUUGAAUGUCAAGAAUAGUUUUGAUUCUUUGAUAGAUAAGAUUGGUUUGCGUAAGUUUGUUGAUGUUGAUUGUUUGGGUUAUGUUGAGUUGAUUAGGGAGUUCUAUGCUACUUUUCAAUUUAAUAUACUGAAUGAUUUUACUUUGCAUACCUCAGAUGUUAUAAAGUUUAGGUUAAUGGGACGAAAUUUUUCACACUCUAUCACGGAUUUUAACCUAGUUUUAGGAUUCAUUGAUGAUGAUUAUUCUUCUAGUGAUGUAUAUUUAGGGACAACUUGUGACUUUAGCGAAAAUUUUGAGCCUUAUGGUCUUUGGCGUAAUUUAUCUGUUGAUCACAAUGCCUAUGACCCAAGUAAAUCAAAGAGUUCUUUCUUACGUGAUCCUGUUUUGAAAUGUAUGCAUCGGUUCUUAGCAUAUAAUUUUUUAGGAAAGAAAGAUCACUCAAGAGUUUUCUCUAAAACUGAGUUUUGUUUUAUCUGGUGCAUAUUAAAUGAUGUGAGGCCUAACUUAGGUUUUUGGUUAGCAGAUCAAUUUCAAAGUGUGCUUAAACGGUAUAGGACUUUAUUUCUUGGUUCAUACAUUACUCUGUUAGUUAUAAACUUAUGUGUGCUUGAUCAUGACAACAAUGAUUUAUAUCCUGCUUGCAAAAAGAAAUUUUUGGAUAUGUCUGUGUUUGAAAGAACAGGUGUGGUCGAAUUCAAGGAGGGGAAAUUUCAGUUUACUGAACCAGGACCCACCCAACUUCCAAAGAAGUUUUAUACUAGGAGUGGUGCUACCUCUGAUGACGAGUUUGACGACGAAACUGCGGCCCCACCAACUAUUCCUUUUACAUCCGCACAACCUUUGAGCAUUCAGUUAGAGAAAAUGGAGCACAAGCUGAACAAGAUGGAGCAGAAUUUGGCCUCAUACUUCGAGAGUGUGGGAUUUAUCCCACCAUUUCCACUAAGCCCAUAGACGUUAUGAGGAUCAAAGCUCACAAUUCAGGAAAGUUUUCGCCUUUAAUCUUUUAUCCUUACGCUUUAAUUUUUAUGUGAGCUUUGAUUAUCUUACAUUGGGGACAAUGUAAGUGUCUGUCAAUGACAAAUUUAACCCACUACCACCAUUCAUAAUUAACCAAAAUCAAAUAAAUUAAAAAAGAAAACACAAAACAAGGAUAACUACUAGUUGUUUUGAUCAUCCUUGCUUCUUUUUCUUAGCAUAGCUCUUGUAAUGAAAAUUAACAAAAAGGGCCAAAAGGGAAGCAUUAAACACAGUAUUGAAGCACCAACCCCAAAACCCAGGGAAACCAAAUCCCGUGAAAUGAUAAUUCAGCAUCAAAAUGAAAAAUGUUAUGGAUGGCUGUGAUGGGUCUGAGGAUGUGGGGUCCAAUGAGAGGUGAUGAUGAUGGUGAUGUUGAUGUUGAUGUGUGGUAGAGGAUGGAUGUGAGGGAGAGGUAAGUAAUGAUGGAGUGAAUGAGGAUGUGUGGGAAGAAAGCUAGGGUUUGGUCUUGAGUCCACGUGAAGUUGAAGACUUGUGGGUGGCUUACAAGCAAUAAUGGAGUGUUAAGCUGAUUGAAUUUGAAGCCAUGGCUGGUUUUGGGGGAAGAUUGAUUUGGGAGAGAUGAUGGUCAGAGGAAUGGGGGAGUUUAGAAAGUUUGGGAUAUUGUGACGGGUGUUUUAGGCAUAUUUUUUCGUCUUAGCUUAAAUUUUUGUUAAAAAAAUGAUAAAUUCUUUUCUCAUAUCAAUUUAAAACUCCGAGUAUGUUUCCAAUUCUUCUUCUAUAGUGUCUAGACCUUUGUUUCAACGGCAUCUUUGGACGCGGGUUUCUUCUUUUUUGGUUAUUUCUUCUCAAACUUGUGCAGAUUACAUGCACUCAACGUGGAACCCUUUUGAAUGGAAGUUACUGUUUUGCUGGAAUCGGGACCAAUUUUUUGACAAAAAUUUCGCUAUAAAAUAUACAAUUAAAGUCGAGUAAGAUUAAGUAAAGUAACAUCUUGUAUGGUAAAGUACAUCGAGUAAGGAUUUCUAUAAUCGAGCUAGAAAGUAUAAUUAAAAUUAGAUAAGAGUGCCGCGGAGCAUUGUUUUAAAGUUACAGUAUCAAAGUAUUUAAUAAAUAUUUAUUAUUGUGACUUAAAAAUUAAGUUGGGAGUACAAAAAAAUCAAUAAUACAUUUAUUAAUUUUGUCAAAAUUAUUAUUUAAAAAUCAUAUAUACAAUACAAGAUCAACAAUUAUAUUAUAGCUUCAGUUCCUUUUUCACAAUAACUAUAACUACAACACGGUAGUACUAAAUAGGAAGUCGAGUAUGAUCAAGUAAUUACAUGUUAUGGUUUUUUGGUAUUACAUGAUUCUUCAAACUGAAAUUUGCGAUCAAAAUUGUAUCAAAGAAAUCACAGAGACACUCUGUUUGACAAAUCUGCAGUAGAAUUUGCACAAUUUAACUGGAUUGCAGAGAGUGAAUAAGAUUCCAAAGCAACAGGCAAUUAUUGUUAUUAAGAAAACAAUUCAUCGCUAGAACAAAAUUAACUUUUCUAACAUACUAGAAUUUAACUGGAGAAAAAUUGGAAUAUACGACGUUGUAUCACAUAUAGUAUUUAGACAUCAAGAAAAGAAUCCCUCUAUUAGUGAACUAUACUUGCCAGGAAACACGGUGAAAUACCACUACCUCCCUACUAGAUUAAUGCAGCAAAAUUGGGCAAUUGACUUGAUUAACUCCAAGAAAUUUACGCAGUCACAUUCUUCCGGACUAUCCUCUUUCUUCGCACUUUAGGAGCUGUUGUUUCCCCUUACAGAGUCGACAUUCCCUUGUUUGAUGCCAAGGAGCCCAAGCCCAGAGCCAAUGGCAUUCUUUGGUAUCAACCACUUUGGGAACUUUUGAGUUGAGCCAUUGACAUCCUGAGACGGCCUGUUGUGAGCCUUCUUCAAAAGGUCAUCUGACUGAAGUAGCGGAUCCGCUUCCACUCCUAGCCAAGCAAGCCUUGAUCUUUCUCCUAAUUGGACAUUAAGAACCCUGCAUGGAAUCCAUUUGAGAAGUUGAACAAUAGACAAAGUCCAACACAUAUAGGCAGUAAAGAAGAAUUUGGACAGCAAUUACUGACUGUUUAUGCACAGGGCUGAACAAAUGGGAAUAUUAAGGCACUUAAAAGUUGGAACCAUAUUCACCACUUGUAUUUCCUCAGAGAACUAUCUCAGAGUUCUGUUAAUUUAAAACCAUUCUAACGUAUUUAACUACAAAACUAGAGAAAUCGUACUUCUGUAGCGGAGUCUCACUAUUGUUAAGGAUCUAGACUUGGAAAGUAUGCAAGUUGAUUAGGUAAAGAAAAAUUGAAAUAAUACUUGGUGAUAGAUCAACACACUUCAAUAGAAACCACACUAACAUCAUAUCAGACAAAUAAACAGAUUCCCCGAGUCAAAGUUUAACAAACAAAACAUUAAAACAAGGAUAAUUUGGUACGACCAGAAUAGUCUAUCAAUGUAUAUAGAGAGGGAGAGACCUCAAAGCAGCGCUUAAGAACAGUGCUACUCCAAUAACAUCAAUAUGGUUGAUGACCGCUCUAUCAAAUCCAUUGGAAAUCGUAUACUUAUAAUUUUUUUUUUCAAACUUUGUCUAAAAUAAAUGAAUGAGAUAAGAUAAAUUCGAAUAAAUUAAUCUGCAUAAUGACACAAGAAACAAAUGUAAAUUGACCACAAGUAGAAAUAUACUUUUGUUAUCUUCCAAUUUCUUUCCCUUGAGCUCUGUUUCUGCGAGUGCUCAAAAGCAAGACACGGGCCUUGUUAAGAGUAUAGCUGAAGCUGGUGACGUGUAUAAGCUGCUGAUGAAGCUGCUGAGCUGGCUGGCUAGUGAUGUGUAUAAAUUGAAGGUGCUGAGCUGGAUUGGGUUGUUGUUUACACCAACUAAAGCUGUAACAGAUUAUCCAGCUGGCUUGUUAUGAUUGGAAAUUAGAUUAGUUUGUUAAUACAGCAAACGAUUAGCUCUGUUUUAGUAGUUAGCCUUGAAUGUAACUAUAAAUACUGGCUAACACGUUUUCAGUGUUAAGCUUGAGUUUUAAUCAAUAAAAAUCAAUUCAGUUAAAGUUUCUUUGUUAAUUUUCUUUCACUUUCUCACUUGCCAAACAACCUAUUAAUUCUAAAAGGCCUCAAGAUAUAAUUAUCAUCAUCAAUCUUUUGCAGCCACAUGCAGUACUUGGAAAAUGUUUAUGGCCCUAAAUAACUGGAAAAUCAGAAAACAUUAAGAACAAGAGACUAAUCAUUUUAAUCGCAACAAAACAUGCACACUAUGAAAAUAUAAAAUUGAAUUACUUCGAAUGGAUGUGCCUCUUAACAGGAAUUGCACAAGCUAAUGAGCAAGUGAGCCUUGAACAGUUAUCACUCAACUCAAACUAAAAUGAAAUUACUGUGGACAUGUGAAUUAAAAAUAGAUGUAAAAGUAGUUUUCUCAAAGCAAAGUCAAGAUAAGAGAUUAACUCUGCUCCGUAAUUACAUUAAAAAUAACAAACAAUGAAAAACAGAGCUAGAGAAGAACUUACCUGUGCGUUGAGACCAUGUGGGGAAUGUGAGAUAUCUUCUUAGAUUUGGUUUGAGAAACCCUGCCAAUUAAAAUUUCGGUCCCCAUGUAGCAGAAUUUCUUAUUUUUCCUUUGUACACAAAUGCAGACACUUAAGCAAAUUAAGAUUUCUUAUCUAAAGCAAAUUAGGAUUUCUUUUGACCCUGCAAAUUACAAUUUCAGUCCCCAUGUAAUAGGAAAAUUUUGUACACAUAUUUAUAGCAAAUUAAUAUUUCAUACCUCACAAUAUUUAUCAGAACCAUCAAUCUUUAGAAACCACAUGCAGACUUGGUAAACUGUUUAUGGCCCAAAAUAACAGGAAAAUUAGAACAGAUUUUUAAGAAUGAGCGACUAAAUAUUUCAAUGGCAACUAAAAUUACACAUCUUGGAAAUCUGAAACUCAAGUACUCAGAACACUGUUAGUGCAUUGCAUAAGUCAAUUGCAUAAUCUUGGGUAAAAAUUACGCAGCAAUUAAACAAGCUGGGAACUUUAGUGCAAAUGCUUUUUCAUAAUCUUCAAUUGCAUAAGUCAGUUAGAAUCAAUCUUUCUUAAUCUUUCAAUUCACAUAUGAGAGCCUGAUAACACAAGGAAACACUGUAAGUGAAUUGUCAACUGUGACAAAUUUUGGGUAAAAAUUAUCAACUGUAGUUAUCUGCAUAACAUUUAGUGUCAACCCCAAAUUCCUUACUGAUCCGUGGAAGCAUUUCAGCCCACAGACGGUUAGCUUUGUCAAUAUACGGCAACUCAGGAUUCUAUAUUUAAACUAUGAUGUUUGAUGACUUGCUGAUACAAAAGACAUUGCCCCAAGCACUUUUUUACAUUAGCUAAAAUCAAGCCAAUCACUUCCAUUUGUUGCAGUUUUAAUGCAGAAAGAAAAAGGUGGGGAAAAAAUCUGCAAGAUGCCACUUGUAAUACCGCAUGUUCGCAGAAGCAGAGUUAAAUAAUUACAAAAUUACAUUCUUUAUGAAAGCUUGCGAUUAUUGGGAGAGCUCUACUCAAAUUUAAUGAGAUAUCUCUCAGAAGGGAGAGCUCUAAUAAUAUAUAAAGCCAAAAAUCUAACACUCAUCAAAUUGGCUUGUGAACAAUUAAUCUUCCUUGCCAUCAUAAAUGCCAGGUGUGGUGAACAAUCUUCAUUCUGACAUUUGCCUUAAUAAGCUGCUUAGUAUCCUUAACCUGAUAACUUACACAAACAAAAACAACUUCACUAAAGUUUAUUCUUUAAAGGCAAAACAGUAAACCAGAUGAUGUAUGCUGAUACAAAAAAUUGACCUGAGUUAUCCUGAUGUCAAGAAUCACAGAACCUCACGUGGGCAAAAUCAUCGCAAUACAAGAUGCUGAAUUCAAGCAACAUCUUAUCACCUGUAAUUUAAUUAAGACAAUAACUUUCCUCAACUAUUAGCCUUCUCAAUUUCAAUGUAUUAUUGGCAACUAAAUUCAUAGGGGACGCAGCUAAUUAAAUGCCCUUUUAACAAUAUCUUCCCCACCUAACAAUUAUUUGGAAAAUCUAAAUGACAAUCAUGCAUUGAUGGCAUAAAAUAUUGGCCACAAAGCUGCCUACAAAAAGGCUUUAAAUUCUUAAUGAGACAACGUAUUCGAACAAAUAUGGUGAAUGAAGAGACAAAGCAUAACACCUCAAGAAGUAAAGCUCUGUUUCUGUAUAUGCUCAAACCAAUGGAAACCCAUGGAAAUGGAUUUCUACGAAUUAGACAUGUCAGCCAAAACAGGUACUCUGUACAGGCAAAGUAAAAGAGAGUUACAAAAAAUUUUAAGAUAAUUAAACUUUUAAUAACCAUAUAAUUAAUAGAAAACUUUGUACACAAUGAUUUAUAUGAGAUUAAGAUUGUAUACCUAAGUUUUAAUUGCAAACUAAAUAUACACAACAUGAUAUUAGCAUUAGAAGACUGCACCAAAACGUACCGAAUUGAAUGUACCUUUUAACGGCCAUUGUACAUGCAUUGAAAGUUUACCGCAAAAUCUGUUUCAAACGUGAUGCAUCUUAGAGAUGCAAGAUGAGAAAUUGUUAGUACAACUAGCAUUGAAACAUGUGUGAAAACUGUUAAUGGACCUAAAUAACUUGAAAAUCAGAAAAGAUUAGGAAUGAGUGACUAAGCCUGCUAAUCACAACUAAUCCAAAACUGUUAAUGGACCUAAAUAAUAGUGUUAAUACCGAAUUCCUUCCUCCAUGGAAGCAUAUGAUCAGCCCACAUGUGCUUUGCUCUGUAGCUUUUGAGUACCUGAAAUUGUUAUUACAACCAGCGGUGAAAAUUGGGUGAAAAAAUGGUAAUGUUAGCAUAAUUGAAUUUGCUUAUAGAGGAUAAACCGAUCAAAGAAAAAAACAAGAUAGAAAUGAUUAUCUUAGUACCUUAAUAUCAUGCAAUAAAAAUCACCAUGCCUUCCAGGCAGCUGUCCAUCCUCAAUUGAAACAGAGCAGACCUGGCCAUCACUUUCUUCUUCAAAGUCCAGCAACGGAACGUUGCACACAACACCACAGUGGAAGUAGUUCCAUCACCAGCCUAAUCCUUGAUUACCCCAAUGUUCUCCAUAGGGUCUUCAAAGUCAACCUAAAAAUAAAAUGAAAAUGCAAUGCAUUAUUAUUAGGGAUCUAGUGCUUGAGCUUGCUUUGACAUCAUGGUAUUAGCAAAUUCUGAUAUAGCCAAAAUGGUGAAUAAGAUGAUGUACUUGAUAAGAAAAACCUGAUUUAACAAAUAAUUAAGAAGCCGGUAACAAUCACAUAAUCUCAUCAUGUGGGGAAUGCCUUGGUAACAGAAGAUGGUGCUUUCAUUCAAGCAAUAGCAACUUUCCAAUUUCAUAAGGUAGUUUAAUGGCCCUUUUAAGAACAUCUGUACCAGCCUAACAAUUAUUCAUGGAAAUUAAAAUUCAGAAUCAUAUUAGAUUGAGAGAUGAAAUAUAAUAAGCGAUUUGGCCACCAUAUAUGCAUUUAUCACCUUCAAUUUGCUCAUCUUUGUCUAGAGUAUUGCUUCUGCAUUAACUUAAUUAGCUUGCAAGCCACCUACAAAUGGUUUUAAAUAAUGUGUGAGAGUGUGAAUUCGAACGAAUUAAUCAAAUAUGCUGACAGGAGAAACAAAAGUAAAUAACCACAAGAAGUAGAAAUAUACUUUUGUUAUAUUCAGAGCAUCUUCUUGCGUCAAGUUCUUUUCCUUUAGCUCUGUUUCUGUUUGUGCUCAAACGCAAUGGCUCAAGGGUCAAGAUAAUUUUAUGACCAUCAAUCUUUUUGCAGCCACAUGCAGACUUGAAAAACAGGUCGUGGCCCUAAGGAACUUGAAAAUUAGAAAAGAUUCAGAAUGAGUGACUAAAUAUUAUAAUCGAAACUAAUUAAACAUACACGCCUAGAAAAUCUGAAACUGAACUUCUCAAAUGUAUAUGCCUCUUCGCAGCAAUUGCUUGUGGUGGAACUUUACUGCAAGGACUUUCUCAAACCCUUGAAGAUCACACUCUACCUGAUAACAAAGAAACAUAGUCAAUAUACGAAGAUGAUUUUACUAACAAGUGAGUGCUUACACAUAUUGGAAGGAUAAUGAUUACUCAUAACCCAAAUCCCCAACACUCCCUAAUAUCUCACUCAAGUGAGUUCGAGCCCCCAGAAUUCACUACUGUGAAACUCUUACAACAAAAUUCCCUUCAAAGAUUCUCUACUCAAAUUUGAUGAUGAUGUCCCUCGAAAGGAGGCAAAAAAUCUAACACUGAUCAAAUUGGCUUGUGAACAAUUAAUCUUCCUGCGAUCAUGCAUACCAGGUGUGGUGAGCAAUCUUCAUUCUGACAUUUGCCUUAAUAAGCGGCUUAGUAUCCUUAACUUGAUAACUUACACAAACAAAAACAACUUGAUUAAAGUUUAAUAUUUAGAGGCAGAACAGUAAAGAAGAUGAUAUAUAUUGAUACUAAAAUUUGACCUGUGUUAUCCUGACGUCAAGAAUCACAGCAUCUCAUGUGGGCAGAAUCUUUGCAGUACAAGAUGCUUGCAAAAUUGAAGCAGCAUCUUAUCACCUGUAAUUUAAUUAAGACAAUAACUUUCCCCAACCAUUUCAAUGCAUUAUUGCCAACUAAAUUCAGAGGGUGCUAAUUAAAUAGCCUUUGAACAAUAUAUUCUAAUUCUUCUCCAAUCUAACAAUUAUUUGGAAAAUCUAAAUUACAAUCAUGCAUCGAUGGCAUCAAAAUUUGGCUACAAAGCAGCCUGGAAAAGGCUUUACUCUCUGAAUGAGAGCAUGAAUGAAGAAACAAAUAUCAUGAAUGAAGAAACAAAGGCAUAAUACCACAAAAAAUAAAACUUUUUCCCAGGCUCUCUGUUUCUGUUUGAACUAAAACCAAUGGAAACCGAUGGAAAUGAAUUUCUAGGAAUUAGACAUAUCAGCCAAAACAGUUACUCUGUACAAGCAAAGUAAAAUAGGGUUACAAAAAAUUUUAAGAUUGAUAUGAUAAUUAAAAUUUCAGUCACCAUAUAAUUAAUAGAAAACUUUGGACACAAUGAUUUAUUGCAUAUUAAAUCAAAUUUGUGGAAAUUAUCGGCUGUAGUUACCUGGACAAUAUUGCCAACACCAAACUCCUUCCUCAAUUGAAACCUACGAUCAGCCCACAAAUGCUUUGCUUUGUAGCUUUUUAGAGCCUGAAAUUGUUAUCACAACCAACAGUGAAAAUUGGGUGAAAAAAUUGAUAAUAUUAGCUUAAUUCCAUAUGUUUAUAUAGGAUAAACCGAUCAAAGAAUGAAAAAAGAUAGAAACAGAGCAGACCCAGCCAUCACUUUCUUCUUCAAAGUCGCACAAUAACCACAGUGGUAGUCGUUCCACUGCCAGCCUAAUCCUUGGUCACCCCAAUGUUCACCUUGAAGUAUUCAAAGUCAACCUAAAAAUAAAUAAAAAUGCAAUGCAGGUGGAAAUAAAAAUUCUAUAAAUAAAAUAAAAUAAAAAUGCAAUGCUUGAGCUUGAGCUUGCUUUAGCAUCAUCGUAAUAGUAAAUUUUGAUAUAUCUUUACUUCUCUGUUCUUGUUUAUUCACAACAAGAUAUCAAUAGAAGAAGAUGGAAAUGAAAUUCUAUAAAAUAAAGCAAGUGAAUUACCAGCAGAACAUUUUAGCAAUCCUUUGGCUAAACUUUUCAUUUUCUUUGCAAACUCUCCUGCCUGCAUCAUUAAAACCAAAUUACACAAUUACUUUAAAGUGGGCUAAUCAAACAAGUAUGAAAUAAAACAAAGUGGGCUAAUGUACUACUAAAAACAAUUACACAAUUACUUUAAAGAAUUAAUGUCACGUAUAUUAUCACUAUACAAGAUAAAAUUGAUAAUUUAGUUUUCAACAUUACUGCAAACGUAUCACAGAGAUUUUGUUACACAUAACAAAUUUUCGUACAUUAAAAAAUAAAUUACAUUGCAUGAAAUUUUACAAAAGAGCACAUAUUUUUUAAAAACAAAUAAAUAUAGAAAUUUCAACAGACUACACUUGUAUUUUUUUUUAUUUAAUCUUUAGAAAACAAGUUUAACAGAUUUGAUAACUAGGAAGUUUUACGUAUUUAUACCAUGAUUGAUUCUAUACAGAAUUUUAAUUCAAAAUAUAAUUAUUUUUAUUAAUUUCAUUGCAAGCAACAACGAAGUAAAUCAGAGGAGCAGGAGAAAUUACCGGCGAGUGAUAAAUUACCGCGACCACUUGAUGUGGGGAAAGCGAGAUAUCUUAUGCCAGUCUUCUCCUUUCCCCUCUCUAUAACGGUUUUCCAGAAGAGGACAUUUGUCAAUAGUCAAUUCCUGCAGCGUCGACGUUCGAAGAAGGUAAUCCGGCAGCGCCUUCAAUUUGUUGCAAGAACGAACUUCCAAGGAAGAAAGACGUGGCAUGAUAGAGAUGUUUUCCCUCCUCGUAAUCCUGUAAUUCCACUCUUCCAAUUCUUCCAUUGCCCCAAUUAUGAGUGAUUUCAAUUUGGGGAAGGCAAUAACUGAUGGUGCUGAUGAAGAUGAAGACGGGCCAUCCUCACUGCUUUCUUCUAUUCCCAAAAACUCAUUACCCACUCUUUUUACACUUUUCAAGUGGAUGAUUACGAGUUUUUCCAGAGGCAAUUUUCCCAAAGGAGGCAAAUGCUCACACUUAACGCACGAGCGAAGAUAUAAAUUCCUUAGAUUGGUCAGUGAAGUCAACCAUUUGGGAAAAAUGUUGCGUCCAUAUAAUAUAAUCCCUAAUUUCUCUACACUCAAAGGCGGUUGUAAGGCUUUAAGAAGUUGUUCAUCUUUCUCUUUCUUCCUCCUCCUUUCUUCAUCUUCCCCAUCUACGACUCUACCAAACUCAAGACGCAAACGAAGGAGGUUUUGCUGAUUGUAAAGUUGUAAUCUCUCGACCUCAUCUAAACGGGACACAUUACCCAGCCCUUCAAUUCCACAUUCUCGAAGGAGUUGAAGAUUUUUCAGAGAUUCAAGCCUACAAGUAUUGCUACCAUCAACACCUCCACCCACCACAAACUUGUCUAAUGUUCGAAGACUGGUUAAUUUGGAAAUCCCUACUGGCAUGUAUUUCAACGAAUAAGUUUCAGCAUUCAGUAAACUCCUCAUGUUCUUUAACUUCCCAAUCCCCGCUGGCAAUUCUUUAAGAUUUCGGCACCGCCUAAUAUCUAGCUUUUGUAAAUUAUAUAAUUCACACAAAGUCUUAGGUAGUCUCUCUAUGCCUAAUUCAGACAAAUUAAGAUAUCUUAAAUGUAUCAAUUUUCCGACAUUUUUUGGAAUUUCUCUAAUCAAACUUGAGUGAAGACGAACAGGCGAGGAUGAUAGCCUUAUAACUAAUGAUUCCCUUAUAACUAAUGCCCUCAAACAUGCCAAUUUACUAAAUAACUUUCGAGUUUCUCUAAUCUUAUAUGUGUUUGGACAAAAACAUAGGCGCAACAGCCUUAUAACUAAUGCCCUUAAACAUUCUUUGCUACUACUAAAAGACGAAAGGAUGCUACUAAGAGACAGAUUGAAAUCACUUCUAUCAUAAAUUAAAAGGGUACGCAAUCUAUCAAGUCCACGAAUGGAUAUAGGAAAUGAAGUGCCUCUUUGAAAAUUUAACCCUAAGUGACGGACUUUGUCACCAAAAGAGUUUAUGACUGAGUCUUUGGUACCAUUAAUUUCUACCCACAAACAUUCUUUUCUACUUACAAAUUGGGCAAAAUCAUGUAUUAUGUCAUGCAUCUUGCAGCUCAUAAUAUCAUCAUCAUCAUCUUUUUUAAACUCUUGAAAGAAAGAGCGUGCUGCUAAAAUGUUGAAAUACUCUUCCCCAAUCAUCUCCAUCUCUUCGUCUUCUUCUGUAUUAAGAUAACCUUGAGCCAUCCAUAGUGAAAUUAGUUCCUCUUUAUUCAUAUUGUAGUUUUUUGGAAAGACAGCACAAUAUGAGAAACAUUGUUUUACCAUAGAAUUGGAGGGCAAAUCGUUAUAACUCAACAACAAAGGAGCUAAAAGACCUUGCCCAAUUGCUUCUACUUUCCACAUUUCACUCUCUAAAAUUCUUUGCCACUCUUUUACUGUACUUUUAGAGCGCAAGAGAUUCCCUAUUACCUUUGCAGCAAGAGGCAAGCCUUUGCACUUAUGUGCAAUUUUGCGCCCGAUUGGUUCUAAUUUUUCACGAUCCUCAAAGGACCUACGCAGAAAUGCCAUCUGCUUAAACAGUAACCAACAUUCCCCUUCUCCCAACUCCUUGACAGGGAUAAUAUCUAUUGAUCCCAACUGUAGUGCAACUGACCUAUCACGUGUGGUAAUUAGAAUUUUACUUUCAUGGUGGCCAUUCUUUAGACAAGAAAAGAAUGGGUCCCAUUUUUUGUAAUCUCCAUCCCACACAUCAUCUAAAACAAGAAAAAAUUUCUUCCCCGUAAUAUAUUCCUGAAUCUGUUUCAUAAGAGAUUCGAAUUCACUUAAACCAGAAGCUGACACGCCUAGACCUUCAAUGAUUGCUAUGGCGACCCUAAUCUCCUCAAAAGUGUCUGAUACACACACCCAUAUAACUUUUUCAAAAUUUCUUUUCACCUCAUCAUUAUUAUAGGCCAGUUGUGCUAGAGUGGUUUUACCUAUACCCCCUAACCCAACUAGUGAGAUGACAUGAAGGCCUUCUUGUUGUUCACUACUUUCACACAACAGCUUGCUUAAGAGCUCAUUUUUCUCAUCAACUCUACCACAAACCUCUCUCUCAUCAAUCAAGGGGAUGGCUCGCACUCGCUCUGGUUUCUUAACAUUGUUGCUCACAUUCUCAACAAAUUUAAACCUAUCUUUUUGGGAGGCAAUAUCAUCUAGCUUUCCAUUGAUUUCCCUAAUCUUGACGGCAAUGUCAUGACGAAGACUGAGUUUUUUGAAACUACCAAAGCAGUUUGAUAGAGCACAAAAGAAGGAACGUACCUUCUUCUUAUAAGGAGCAAGAGCAAGAGCAUUGUCAUCAUCAACGCCCUCAAUCUGCAAUUUGAGCCUUGCAGUGGUCCACUCCUCCAACACGUCUUCCAUGUCAUAAGAUGCGUCUUUGAGCUGAUCCAGCCAAAAAGUAACAGCAUUGUCGCGCUGCAUUUGCCUUUUCUCUGCAUCUUCCAGCACAGCUCGAAUGGCUCGAAGAUUGCGGGUGAGCUUUUUCACUUCUUCCUCGACACCAGUCACAAGCCUCACCUGUUGUUUCACUUCAUCAGCCGCAACAGAGCUCAGCUGCACCAGGAGAGAGGAAACGAUCGCAUCAACCAUUCUGACAAAGAAGACGAGAAUUCUGAAGAGUUAUUAGAUGUGCUUUUGUUGCGAAAAUGCUGAAGAAAAGGAGUUAUUGCAUUCUUUUAUACUGCAUAGAAAAGGUUUAUGCUUAUCCCCAACCCACACGUCAAUGAUUGUAGAAUGUUUAAUUUCCCUGAUUCUACUCCACUAGUUGUGAUGCGUAAUUAUAAAUAUUCUCAAAUUAUGUAUGAAAAUAGCACAAAUUUGGACCUACAAUGAUUUUUAUGAUUUUUGUGUCUUUACUUUUUCAUAAUCUUCUACUGUAAGGGUUCAGAUUUAAUUACUGCUUUAAAAAAUGAGCAAACAAAUAAUAUCAAGCAUUAACUAAAAUUCACAAAGGAAUAAAUAACGAAAGAAAAAAAGAUUGGAAAAGUCAUAGAUGUAAAAUAGCACAUUUUUUUUAAUAAUCUCAAUAAAAUUAUUAAUAUUCAUGUCAGUCCCUAAAAAAUUAAUAAAUAUAACUAAAAAAAUCUUAUUAGUCUCCAUGAUCAAAAUUUAUUGAAAUAUUUUUAGCGUGGGUUAAAAAAAAAAAAAAACUUUCCCAACUUCACACUAGCUAAAUCUUAAAUACAUGUUCCAAUAUAUAUAUAUAGAUAUAUUCUUUCUCGCAGACGUCCGUACAAAAUAAAGUGCGAAUACGACAUUUUCCAGUCUAUCAAAAUGAUUUUUAUUAUUGUAAAACUAUUAAUAAUAAACUAAAAUAUUAUAUUUGCAUAUUAUUUCGUGCAAAAAUAUGUAGAGAGAUAAUAUCUUAAUUUCUAGGGUCCGGCUACGGUGCAACUGUGGUACCUUACCAUAGUUGCAUCCAGUUGUUGGAUACACUUGCAUGGAUAUGUGAAAUACUAACUAGGCAAUCCAAGAAGGGGGGUGAAUUAGGAUUUUAAAAAUUAAGUAAAGCAAACCACACAAAUCCAAUCUAAUGCCUUAAUAAAUUCGAAAACAAUAAAUUCAAUGAAAGCACAAUAAUAAAUGAGUAAGGGAAGAGAAAGCAAACUCAAUGAUUUUUACGUGGUUCGGCAAUCCCCGCCUACGUCCACGCCUCCAACCACACCGGGCUUGAGGAUUUCACUAUCCAAGCCUUUCCAAGGCUUCAAAUGUUUACAAUUGACUUUAAGGUGUCAAUGAACCUUUACAACAAGAGAUUAUCUCUCCAAUCUCUUCACUCCAAGUGUUUCUCACACUUGUACUCUCACAAUUUAAUGAGAAAUGAAAAAUACAACAAUCAAACUCUCUUUAAGAGUGGAUAUACAAAUUUAAGAACAAAGAUGAUUUAAUGAAUGAUGAUUCACGAAAUUGAAGCUCAAUAUAUGUUGUGUGCACUUGUUCUUGCUUUCUUGGAUUACCAAAAAUGAAUUGAUUUUGAGUUUAUAUAGUUUGAACUCAAAAACUAGCCAUUAUACACAUUCUGGGCGUAUCCGGUUUGCCAUUUAAGGAAUCCGGUAAGCUGGAUUUAUGUUACCACUAAGGCAAAAAUUUGAAUUUUGCCUAACCGGCUUGCCGGUUACGAAAUCCGAUAAGCCGUUUGCGUUCCGGAUGCUUACUGCCCCGUAUCCGGUUUUCUAGUUUUUUAUAUCCGGUAAGCCGGAUGCUACAGUAACCUGCAUAGUGCACUAUUUUCUGAAAUUACAGUUUGACCCCAAAACUUUACAAAACUAUAUUACGGCCCAAAAAGUUAUAAAACUUUUCAAAUAGAUCCAAUUUUAGAAUUUAUAAGUAAUGCUUUGUUAAUCCCAAAACUUUCUGAAAUUAUGAUAUAGCUAAAAAUGCUAUGACACUUUUCAAAUAAGUCCUCCAAAAUUUCAAGCAAUACUUGUUUAUUUCAAAGUUUUCAAAAUUCUUUUAAUUAAACCAUAAACUUUGAAAAACAACCAAUUUCAUAAAAUUAUUUUUCCAUUAAAUAUGAAACAUUUAUAAUGUGAAAAUAAUGAUUUAUUUAAAAAGAAUAAAAACAAUCAAUUUCAUAAAAUCAUUUUUCCAUUAAAUAUAAAACAUUUAUAAUGUAAAAAUAAUGAUUUAUUUAAAGAGAAUAAAAACAAUCAAUUUCAUAAAAUCAUUUUUCCAUUAAAUAUAAAACAUUUAUAAUAUGAAAAUAAUGAUUUAUUUAAAAAGAAUAUUAAAUAAUUUGAGCUUAAAAGAUUAAUCAUUCUUAAUUUUGUUUGUUAUCAUCAAAAUCAAUAUUAUGGAAACAUAUAUGUUAACAAUAGGGUCCACUAGUAUCCAACGGCUGGAUGCAACUAUAACACGGUACCACAGUUGCACCACAAGUUUUUCCUAAUUUCUAAUAACAUCAUAAUCAAAAUUUUAUCAACAUUUAUGCGAAGGAGUCCCCACUCUCCACCUGGGGGGAUUUGGCAUUUGAUGAAAAAAGUUAUGCUUAUCCCCACCCACACGUUAGUGGUUGUAGUAGCAUCUUUAAUUUCCCUGAUUCUACUCCACCGAAGAACGAAUGUUUUGUAGUAACAUCUUUAAAUUCCCACACGUUAGGAAUAUAUUCUUAAACUCGUCGCAUCUUUAACGUAUGAGGUUGAUGAAUAUAUUCUUUUCUCAUGUCAAUUUCAAACUCCGAGUAUGUUUCCAACAAUUGCUUUUCUUUUUCUACUUUUGGAUUUUUGAAUCAUAAUUUUUCAAUUCAAUAAUGGCCUCUUCAAUUAUAAAAUAUGGUAGAAGGGGAUGGGGUGUAGUGAGAUCUAGGCCUCCGCGACAACGGCAUCUUUGGACGUGGGUUUCAUCAUUUAUCCUUUUUUAUUUUAAAAAAAAAUUACUUCUUGCAUGAUCUAAUUGGUCUUGUUUCAAAAGAACCAAAAAAAUAAUUAAAAAAAUAACUAAACUAAAAUAAAAUAAAUCAUAUUCUUUAUCUUAAUUGCUUUCAUUUGUGAAUUACAUGUACUCAUGCAUUGUGUUUUUGUAUAUUUUUUUGAUAUGUUUCUUUAAGGGAUAAACUAAUUAUGUAGCAAAAUUUUAUUAGAGCUAGGAUUAUUUAUAUAUGUUCUAAUACUUUGAACAUCUUACUAUACAGUCGUCUAUCAAAUUUUAACAGUAAUUUUUACUACUCAUUAAAAUAUCAAAAUAGUCCUUGUUAAACAUUUUUCAUAAAAAUUUUUUUAUAUACUGAUAUAUUACAAUUAAAAUUCUAUUCCAAGAUAGUCCUUACCUAAACAUCUUUCAUUAAUGUUCAUUUUUUUUAUACACUCAUAUAUUACAAUUAGAAUUCUAUCAAAACUAUCCUUGAUAAUUCUAACAUGGUACAGCCCAAAUUUCUACCCUUGCAUAAUACUAGAGAGAUAUUUAUUCUACUCUUAUUAAUCGAGAGAUAAUUUUAUUUCUAACUGAUUUAAUUGGGAGGAAAAUCGAAAGAGAUAUCUACUCUGUCCUUAUUAAUUGAGAGAUAAUUUUACCCUUACCCAAUUUAAUUAGAAAGGAAAUCGAAUUCCAACAAUAACUAGGACUCGAAUCCAUGCACUUAAGCUAACUUUAAGUUCUUGGACGCAUGGUGAUAAUGUUCUUUAUUUAAAUCCUAACAAAUGGUGGGACUUGAACUUGUGCCUACAAACAUUGAGUGCUCAGGGGCUGCAAAAUUUCAUAACUUAAUUUUAGUUGAUGUGGCAUGUGCCCUAUCACAUAAAUGUAGAUAACGAUAAUUAAUACAUUAACAAAAUGAAAAAUAUUAGUUUACAAAAUAGAAAGCCAAAUUUUUUGUGUGAGAGGGGAUUUAAAAGGUAGAGACUAAACAAAUGUGGUGAAAAACGACAUGUAUUACUAAAACUGAAAAUACGAAGUCUAGGCAACUGAAAACAUCUCUGUCAAUUGCAAUGAACAGAUCACAACCCUUCUUAAUUAAACAAAAUAAAACUUAAAAAAAAAAAAAAAAUACACACACACACACAAAACAAUCACAACACACUAUUUGUUCUGAUCAUCCCUGCUUUUUCUUAGCAUAGCUCUCGGAAAGAAAAGCCAUUAUCUUACUAAUUCAUUUGGUCAUUUGAAACUCCAAGAUCUAAUUCAAAGAGCGCGACUCAAAUAAUGGCAAUUAGUAAUUUAUUACAUCUGCAGUUAGAUACUUUGUUUGAGAAAAAAGAAUAAAAUCAGUUCCAUAAUGAUUUUAAUUACAAUAAAUAUCAUACUAUGGUCUAUGGACACGCCUCAUAUUACAAAGAAAAUAAGUAAAAUAUAAUUAAGGGAUAAAGCUUUCGACAACCAUUUAUAAAAUUGCUUUUGGAAAAUUGUUCUGAUGAAAUGAAAUUAUAUGAAAUUACUAAGAAUUUAAUCUGCCUCUGAAGGAGGAUCAAUUUUAGAUGAUUUUUCUAUUUAUUACUAUUAUGUAGUCGUUAGAAAUUUCAAAAUUUGAGAAUUUUGCUUGUAGUUACAGGUUUCAGUCAUUUUGAUUUGGAGACUGAUUGAUAAUUAAAGCUAAUGCUGCAAGUAAAAAACAAAAUGAAAAAUAAUUAAAAAAUAAAAAUCAAGGAGUUAGGCCCAAACUUUUUAUUAAACUUUUAAUAAAGUCUAUUUGUCAUUUUGUCAUAAUGGAAAAUAAUUAAUAAAAAAUCAAACAACCGGUUUACUUUGACUUUAUUUCACAGAAUAUAAUGUCUGAAAUUUAUAUAUCAUGUAUUCUAGGGUCAAAUCAGUCUUUUUGCACCUAACUUUUAAUAUUUCAUUAAGAAACCGCAAAGAUUAUUUCAAAGCCUUUAGGGUCAUGGUCUCCUCCGGAAGUAGGGAUGGCAAAAUGUCGGGUCGGGCUCGGGCUUGGCCAAGCCCGAGCCCGACCUGAUAAAAAAAAUUUAAAACCCGACCCUAAAAAAGCCCGAACACUAUUUAGUUAGGGUCGGGCCGAGCCCGGCCCGAAUCGGGCCAACAUCGGGUCGGGCCCAACCUGACCCUACCGAAAUAAUUAACCUCACAAUUUAAUUUUCAUUUUCCACCACCAUUUCAACCAAUUCGGCAAUUACUCAACCAUUUCAAACACAAUCUAAUCCACUUUUCACAACUAUUUCAAUCAAUUCCACAACUAUUUCAACCCCACACACAAAUCAAUUCCAAAAUCUAACAUGAAAAACACACAAUGUAAUAAAAUAAAAAACACACAAUGUAAUUUCACAACUAUUUUACCCAUACACAAUUCAAAUUUUGAGCUUGUUUGUUUUUAUUUUUAUUUUUAUUUUUUCAUAUUACUUUAGUCAUUGAAGAUUGUUUUAAUGUAAUUAUCUCAUUUUAGUUCGUUUUUACCAAUUUUCAACAAAAAAUGAAAAUAAAAAUUACUGCUAUGAAAUCAAAUGAAUAAAAAUUAAAAUAAACUACUAUUAUCGAAUCAAAUCGAAUCACCAUCUCUUUGCCCUCUUCUGCAUUAAGGUAACCUUGAGCCACUGAUAGUGUAAUUAGUUCGUCUUUAUACAUAUUGUAGUCUUUUGAAAAGCCUCACCUGUUCACUUCAUCAGCAACAAAGGAGUUCAGCAGCUCUAGGAGAGUGGAAGCGAAUCAAGCGAUCAAAGAAAAGGAGAAAUAAUUUGAUGAGUUAUUAAGCGUGCUUUUGUUGCGAAAAUACCGAAAGAAAAGGAGUUGUCGCAUUCUUUUUAUACUGCAUGAAAAAUGUUUACUCUUAUCCUCUUGUAUCUAAUAGUUUAAAUCUCCAAAAUCUUUCUUUAUUUGAGUUUUAAAAAAAUUAUGUGAAUUUAUUGUAAUUAUUUCUUGGGAGUGGGGGUGGAUUUACAAAAAUUGCAGGGUGAAAAUAUCACUACCUUUUUUGUUUAUUAAUUAUUGUAAAAUGCACAUCUAUCAUAUGAACACAUGUUUUAUUUGAAAUUUACCUCCUACUUAGAAUAACAAUCUUUAAUUUAUUUCUAAAAGAUGUGAAACAUCAAUUUAACUUGUUUAUUUAAGAAGACAAAAUGUAUCUUUUGAACAAAUAUAAGGACAAAUUGAGGUUUUUACCCUUUAAGAAGUAAAUUAAAGUUUGUUAUUCUAGUUUGGCAUUAAAAAGAAGCUUACCUCUGUAAGAUAUAUAUCAGGUAGACCAAGGUGACUUCGUCGUGAAUUCUUGUAAUCAAUUUCUCUUGUUCUUUUAUCUAAUUAGAAAAGAAAAUUAAGGGGAGCAUUGUCUAUCGAAUUGAGCUUCUCUCAAGAAAAACACGCACGGAUGAUUUAUAUAUAACCAUUAAAUAUGUUAAGACUUUUUGUUAUUUUUUGAGUCCUAAAAGUAUGAGAGAAAUUAACAUUUUUUGAAUUUAUUUGUAUACCGUAAAUUAAAGAAUGAAAUUAUUUACAAAAUUAUUUUAACUUUCGUGAUUUAAACAAGCAAUCAUCAUUGAUUUCAAUACAAAGAAGUAUUAUGGGUAGAACCGAUUUCUUUACCAAGAUAUGAUGUACAUGUAUUUGGGACUUCUUACUCUAUUAGCUUAAAUAACUACAUAACAAAUAUGACAUGAUUUAAUUGGUCUUGUUAUUGACAUGUACUAAUGCAUUCUAUUUUUGUAUAUUUUAUUGAUAUGUUUCUCUUGAGGUUGAGGAUAAUUAAUAUUCACUAUGUGGCAAAAUUUUAUUAAAACUAAGAUUAUUUAUGUUCUAAUACUUUGAACAUCUUAAUAUACACUCAUCUAUAAAAUUUUAACACUAAUUUUUGGAUAAAUUAUAUUUUAACCCCUUAUGAGAUUGACAUAUAUUUUAAUUUACUGAAAAAUAAAAAAUAAAAACUUCAAUUUACUCUCUAAAAUCUGUUAAAUUUAACUAUCAACCACUAUUGACUCACUAAAAUACGUUAAUACCCCUGUUAAUUAUAGAAUAACUUAUGUUACUGAUAUAUUUAUGUUGGAAAGAUAUAUCACUUAUAUCCCUACUAUUUCUAAAAUAUAACUAAUUCAAAUUUUAUGUGUGUCAUUAAUGAAAAUCAUCCUCUAAUCUAUUUUUUAAAAAAUAAAACAAAACCUCAAUAAUAAUAUUACAUAAAACAAGCAUAUUUCAUGUUAACCCAACCAAAAACCAUCUAAAAACCUCCUUCUACACAUAGAUACAAAGAAAAUCUUACCCUUAAGAUUCUCGAAUUUAAACAAAAAUUAUAAAUUUUGAAAUAAAAAUCGGAAAAUUUAUAAAAAAGUAAAAUAUUUUUUCCCUCUCUUCUACUUUCUUCAUCUUCUUCGUUCCAUUCCCUGUUCAUCUUCUUCUUCGUUCAUUUUUUUUUUUUUCUCUUUCACUCACUUAACAACUCCAUAGCCACUGUUAAUUCCAAAUCAGCCCAGCAAAACCCAUGUCCAUUGCCCGGCAACACCCAUGGCCUCGCACCGCCAUGUCCAACAAAACCCAUGGAUACGCUAGCAAAACCAUGGCAGCUGGGUACGGGCAUUCCAUGCAAGCCCAUGGCUGUACGCGGCCAAUCCAAGCAAGCCCAUGGCUGCGCGUUGCGACCAUACCAAAGAGAACCUUGCAGAUGUUUUGACCAAGCCGAUAAAUACUGAUAAGUUUGUCUGGAGUAGAUCCUCUUGUGACCUAGCAGAAACGUAGGCAACAUGAUUAUGGCGAAGCAGAAAGGAUGGUGUGGAGAUUGAUUGCUUUUCAAACAAAUCUCCAAGUGGGAGAAUGUCAAAGUUUGGCAAAGUUUGGCAUGGCUGCAUCUUAGCUACAUCUAGAAGCUUGGCAUAAACAAAGAAUGGUGGCACAUGGCUUUAAAACUUGAACAUGGUUUUUACCCACCAAGCUUUGAUGAACAUGGUUUUGAAGAAGUUUUUAAUAUCCAUGGCUUUGACUUCCUUAGCCUUGAUUUUGCUAUAAAUACAAGUGAAAUUGAAGAGCUUAUUCAUUCCAUUUUUUAGAGCAAUUAAGGGAGUUGAGAGAGAGUUUAAGAGCUUGCAUUUAUAAGCUCUUAUUUUAGUGAUUUGAGAGUUUGGGUGUAUUGGGGUUUUGGGUAGUGAGCUAAAAUACUACAAUACUUGUAACUCCUUUUCACUAGUAAAAUAUUUCCUUCUGUCUUCGCCCGUGGAUGUAGGCUAAAAGCCGAACCACGUAAUUUUCGGUGUCCUCUAUUGUGCUUGUUCUUUAUUUUAUUUCCAAUUUUAUUUUAGCUGCGGUCCUGCUGCACCCACCAAUUUCCUAACAUUGACUACAUUAACUCCAAGAAAUUUAUGCAGUCACCUUCCUCCGGACUAUCUUGUUUGACGCCAAGGAGCCCAAGCCCAGAAACAAUGGCACUCUUUGGUAUCAACCACCUGGGGACUUUUGAGCUCAGCCAUGACAUCCUGAGAUGGGCUGUUGUGUAAGCCUUCUUCAAAAGGUCAUCCGUUGAUCUUUCUCCUAAUUAGACCAUCAAAACCCUGCAUGGAAUCCAUUGGAGAAGUUGGACAAUAGACAAACUCCAACACAUAUAGACAGUAACGAAGAAUUUAGACCGCAAUCACUGUGGCUGAACAAAUGGGCCUAUUAAAGCCUAUUAAAAGUUGGAACCAUAUUCACCACCCGCAUUUCCUAAGAGAACUAUAUCAGAAUUCUGUAAAUUUGAAACUAUUCUUACAUACUUAACUGUAAAACAAGAGAAAUUGUACUUCCGUAGCAAAGUCUCACUAUUGGUAAGUAUCUGGACUUGGAAAGGAUGCUAGUAGAUUAAGUAAAGGAAAAUUGAAAUCAGACUUUGAGGUGAUAGAUCUAUAUCCACUUUUAUAGGAACCGCAUUAACAUCAUAUGAGACAAAUAAACAAAUAACCCAGUCAAAGUUCAACAAACAAAACAUUAAAACAAGAGUAAUUUGGUCUAUCAAUGUAUAUUUAGAGAUGUCGAUCAAUAGACAAAUACGUAAAAGAGAGACGGAGAGACCUCGAAGCCGUGCUUAAGAACAGUGGUACUCCAAUAACAUCAAAAUGGUUGGUGACCGUUCUAUCAAAUCCACACAAUAGCUGAUAUCUCAUGUUUGCAUAUAGUCCAAUGAAAGCACCAUAACCCGGCGCUUUAGUACUUACU